CAACAAGAGUGAACUGCUUCUCAAAUACAACCCUGUUCACAAGAAGGUUCCGGUGUUUGUUCACAAUGAGAAGCCCAUAGCAGAGUCUCUUGUGAUUGUUGAAUACAUUGAUGAGACAUGGAAGAACAACCCCAUCUUGCCUUCUGAUCCUUACCAAAGAGCCUUGGCUCGUUUCUGGUCCAAAUUCAUUGAUGACAAGGUGUAUAACUCUUCUUUUCUUUGUUUGUGCUAAUUUAUCACUAAAACAUCAUCUUUCAUGACAUCUAAAUAUGAGAUGUUGUUAUAUGUUAGAGAACUCAAUAGUUAACUGCCAAUUAUCAUGAAUUUCUUUAAUAUUUUUCAUUCACUAUUAAUUGUAUACCAAUUUUGUCUAAAAUUAUAUUAAUGAUUCAUUUAACAACUACCUCCAUUUAUUUUUGGGACGUUUAUUUCAUGCAAUUUUUUUUUCAUUUCUGAGAAUAUCAUUCAUGACUAUUUUUUAAAAAUAUGUUUGAUCACGUUUUUAAUAUUUCUAAAAAUAACUUUAAAAUUCAAAAUAAUUUAAAUAAAAAUAGAUAAAAAAAAGAAUUGAAUGGUAUUUUAGGAAAUAAACGUGUGGAAAACUAUGAUAAAAAAAUGGAAGUUAUUAUAUUUCCUAGAAUCAACAAUAGGUGUGAAUAAUUUUUUAAAAUUUAUAACAAACGUCAGUAUGUAAUAUUUUCAUGCUAAUUCGUGAAACAAACGCACUUUAUGAAUACUAAUAAAUAAUGUGAUUUGUGAAAUUAGAUUGGGGGUGCUGUAUGGAAAUCUGUUUUCACGGUUGAUGAGAAAGAGCGUGAGAAGAAUGUUGAAGAAUCGUUGGAGGCUCUGCAGUUUCUUGAGAGUGAGAUCAAGGGCAAGAAGUUCUUUGGAGGAGAGGAGUUUGGGAUGGUAGAUAUUGCUGCUAUCUUCAUAGCAUUUUGGGUCCCUAUGGUUCAAGAAAUUGCAGGGUUGGAGUUAUUCACAAGUGAGAAAUUUCCUAAGCUCUACAAUUGGAGCCAAGAGUUCAUGAGCCACCCUGUUGUGAAAGAAGUUCUUCCUCCUAGAGACCCACUUUUUGCCUUCUUCAAAGCCCGCUACGAAAGCCUGCUCGCUGAUUCAAAAUAGAUUUAUUUAAGGAUACUUGUGUGAACAACUUGUCUCUCGUUGAGUUAUUGAUGUUUGAAUUUCAUGUCAAUUUGAUACUAUAUGUAAUGUAACUUAGGAUCUUAUUCCCAUUUUGGCCAUUUCAUUUAAUAAAGAAAUUCUUUAUAUAUAUAUAUAUAUAUAUAUAUAUAUAUAUAUAUCUAUAUAUAUCUGUGUAUCUGNNNNNNNNNNNNNNNNNNNNNNNNNNNNNNNNNNNNNNNNNNNNNNNNNNNNNNNNNNNNNNNNNNNNNNNNNNNNNNNNNNNNNNNNNNNNNNNNNNNNAUAUAUAUAUAUAUAUAUAUAUAUAUAUAUAUAUAUAUAUAUAUAUAUAUAUAUAUAUAUAUAUAUAUAUAUAUAUAUUUAUUUAUUGUAGUGAGAAGCUUUGUCUUUCGGUGGAUGCUACAUGGAUCACACCUUUAUAGGUAGUUUGGGGUGCAUCAUCUUUAUCCACCAUUAGAUUAAUUUAUACCUUAAAAUCACACCUUACGCUAAUCACACUAGAUUAUAUCUCCCCAUCAUCUUUCUUAUACCUUUACCCUCCAGCAACUCUUCUUCUGACUACCAUUCUCCGUCGUUAAAGACGAUUUUCGAUGGUUACAUUUCAUUUUUUUCCUCACAACCUCCACACCUUUCCUCCCUCUCUCCACUUCAGAUUAACAAGCGACAUAAAAAAUGGUGAAUUUUGAUGAUAACAAAAAUAUGUUUGAAGUCAUAACCAAUAAUGGUUUAUUCUUUGAUCAUGUGGCAUGUGGUUUGAAAAGAAACCCUAAUCAAAAUAGAGAUCGCUACAUGUGCAUGAAACAACAAAUAAUAGACAAAUUUACCAAAAUUUAGUGGAAUGCAUGUUGGGUUUUUUGGGCUCUCUUCCUAUGUGAAGUAAAGGCCCAAAUGAGAAGACUCAUUUUGUCUUAUUUAAGUGGAGAUGGGUCAGAUUAGAAAGAGACACACAGAGAGAGACUCAUCUGAGAGGAAAAAAUAAUUACAAAUCAUUGAGAGAAAAAGAAGGAGAAGGAAAAUCAGUGAUUUUCACAUACCCACUAAAGAGCAUUCUUCAUAUUGCAACAAUGAAUUCGUUCACCAUUGGAUCGGGCUGAUAUUUGAACAACAAGUUCUACGCAUGUGAUACUUCAAAUUUUCCGGUUGGAUCGGGAGAAAGAUAUCUUUAGAGAGAGAUAAGUGUUUUGCAUUAUCUACUUUAUAUUUUGGGGUUUUAUCUUCUUGUCUCUAUUGUACCAAUUAAGGGUUUGUUUUGAUUUGACUGUUUGUAGCACGUUUUAGUGCACUUGUUGGAGGUUCUCUUGUAUAUUCAUUGAUUAUAGUGAAAUUAUUUCUUUGGUCUGGACGACCUGUGAUUUUUACCCUUGUAUUGAGGGGUUUUCCACGUUAAACAAAUUGUCUAUGUUUUUUUCUUAAUUUCUAUUUUGUGCUUUAUAUUUCAUUGGUACUCCUCACAGAUUCUUGCAAGUUUGGAGGAAUUUAUUUCCGUUGCUUAUUACUCUAUUAUAGAGUUUGUUAUUAUGUUUGCUUAAUUUCCCCCAUCAGAUUUCGAUAAAAUUAUUAGAUUUUUUUUCAAUAUAGAACACUCAUCUCGAUAAAAUGGCUUGAAUCCUAUUUACUUACGACAAGAAAUUGAAAAACGGGUUAAUUUAACCCUCCCUUUUGUACAAUGUGUAAUCGAUGACCUAUGUAUAAAUGAAUAAGAAUUCUUUGGAUUUGAAGAAAAAAAACAACUUUGCUGACAUAUAUUUGUUUGGUCAGAAAAGUCCUCCGAAUAUUCUGGUCUUAUAUUGGUAAUUGUUUUCAAUAUUUUAAAAAUAAAAAAUAAAAAUAGCGAAGAGAGGAUAGGCUCAUUACAUCAGAGCUUUUGGUUAAGGGGCUGUUUUUUCUACUUGCUUGAACAAUGGAGGCACAUAUGAAGGGUGAUAGAGACAAGAGCAAAAGCAAGUUCAGGUCUCGGUAAUAGAAUGCUGAGUGUCAUUAUUGUCACAUAACAGAGCAUAUCCAGAGGAAUUGUUUUCUAUGGAAGAAGGAGAAUAAAGAGAAGAAGGGUAAGCAAAUAGAGAAGGAUCAUGAUGAUGAUUGUGUGACUACUACUACCAGUGAUGAUCUUGUUAUUCUCCAUGACCCUGAUUCGCUUAAUCUUGUAUUUGAUGAAAGCAUGUGGAUAAUUGAUAGUGGUGCUACACUGCAUGUUACAACCAGGAAGGAGUUCUUCACAUCUUACACUCCAGGUGAUUUUAGAAUUUUGAAGAUGGGUAAUGAUGGCAUGUCCAAGGUGAUUGGUGUUGCUGAUGUUUGUUUGCAAACCAACAUGGGAAUGCAAUUGCUACUUAGAGGAGUGAAACAUGCUCUAAAUGUUCACUUUAAUUUGAUCUUUGUGUAGGUACUUGAUGAUGUUCUGGGAAGUGGAAACUCACCAAGGGUAACUUGGUUGUGGCCAAGGGGGAGAAAAUUUCAAAGUUGUAUUGGACAAAAGCUUUGGUUGCUAGAGACAGUGUGAAUGCUAUGGAUAUAAAGGCAUCUUUGAGGCACCGAAGGCUUAGUCAUAUCAGUGAGAAGAGAUUGAAUUGUUUAGCCAAGAAGGAUAUGCUUCAGGGAUUGAAGAAUGCAAAUUUGGAGAAAUGUUCUCAUUGCAUGGUUGGUAAGCAAACCAGAGUAUCCUUUAAGAAGCAUCCUCCCUCUAGAAAAUCUGAGUUUUUUGAAUUGGUGCAUUAUUCAGAUGUUUCUGACCCUUUGAAGGUGAAAUCCUUUAGUGGUGCACCUUAUUUAGUUACCUUCAUUGGUAACUGUUCCAAGAAACUUUGGGUCUAUGUUUUGAAGACAAAAGACCAAGUUCUUGAGAAGUUCAAGGAGUUUCAUGUCUUAGUUGAGAGGAAGUUAAGUAAGAAUCUGAAACGCAUUUAUACUGACAAUGGUGGUGAGUAUUGUGGACCAUUUGAUGUCUACUACAAGCAGCAUGGUAUUGCUCAUGAGAAAACUCCUCCUAAAACUCCUCAACUGAAUGGUUUGGCGGAGAGGAUGAACAAGACAUUGAUCGAGGGAGUGAGAUGUAUGCUCUUCAAAGCAAAGUUACCCAAGCACUUCUAGGGUGAGGCACUGUACACGGCGGUGCAUGUUAUCAAUCUUAGUCCUGUUGUUGUUUUGAAUAGUGAGGUGCUGAGCAAAAUUUGGUUUGGCAAGAAUGUGAAGUAUGAUCAUUUAAGAGUUUUUGGCUGCAAGGCUUUUGUGCAUGUUCCAAAGGAUGAAAGAUCGAAGUUGGAUGUAAAGUCAAGGCAGUGUAUCUUCAUUAGUUAUGGUUAGAAUGAAUUUGGUUACGAGUUUUAUGAUCCUUUUGAGAACAAGCUUUUUAGAAGUCGUGAUGUGAAAUUCAUGGAAGACCAAACCAUUGAAGACAUUGAUAAGGUGGAGAAGUUUACACCCAAGGAAGACAACGGUGUGGCUGAUUUUCAACCAGUUCAACCGUCUAUUCAGAAUCUGAAUACUGAUGUUCAGAAUGAUGUUGGUGUCCAACAACUUAGAGAUGAAGUAGAUGUUCCUACUGAUGAUGAUGAUGAGGAACAUGACAUGUCACAAGAUGAAAAUCUUGGUGAUGCUAUCGAACCACCUCAAGUUCAACUCAGGAGGUCCAACAGGGAGAGGCAACCUUCUAAGAGGUAUUCUCCUAAUGAGUAUGUGAUCCUAACAGAUGAUGGAGAACUUGAGUGCUUUAGAGAGGCUAUGGAAAGUGAAGAAAAGAGAAAGUGGUUGGAUGCAAUGAAGGAUGAGAUGAAAUCCAUACAUGAUAAUCACAUUUUUUAUUUAGUGAAGUUACCUAAGGGUAAAAGGGCCUUGGAUAACAGGUGGAUCUAUAGGGUAAAGCAUGAGAGUAACUCUACAUCUCCAAGGUACAAAGCCAGAUUAAUGGUGAAGGUCUAUAGUCAAAGAAAGGGUGUUGAAUUUAAUGAGAUUUUUUCUCCCGUAGUGAAAAUGUCAUCCAUUAGAACCGUAUUAAGUUUGGCGUCUACUCUUGAUUUGGAGGUAGAACAAAUGGAUGUAAAAACUGUUUUCCUUCAUGGUGAUUUGGAGGAAGAGAACUACAUGAAGCAACCUGUAUGUUUUCAUGUUGAAGGGAAAGAAGACUAUGUGUGUAGGCUGAGAAAGAGCCUAUAUGGUUUGAAGCUGGCUCCGAGGCAGUGGUACAAGAAGUUUGAGUUUGUUAUUUGUGAGUAAGGCUACAGGAAUACAACUUCUGACCAUUGUGUCUUUGUUAGAAAGUUUUCUGAUGAUGACUUCAUUAUCCUGUUAGUGUAUGUUGAUGACAUGCUUAUUGUUGGGAAAAAUGUUUCCAGGAUUGGCAGGUUGAAGAAGCAAUUGGGUGAGUCAUUUGCCAUGAAAGACAUAGGAGCUGCUAAAUAGAUUCUUAGUAUAAGAAUCAUGUGUGACAGAAAAGAGAAGAAGUUGUGGCCGUCACAAGAACACUACAUCAAAAGAGUGUUGUAGAGAUUCCAGAUGGAAAAGGAUAAGGCGGUGAGCACUCCUGUUGCUACUCAUUUUAAGCUGAGUUCUAAACAGAGUCCAUCAAAUGAAGUUGAGAAAUUAGAUAUGCAACAGGUUCCUUAUACAUCUGUGGUGGGAAGUUUGAUGUAUGCAAUGAUAUGCACAAGACCAGAUAUAACACAUGUUGUUGGUACAAUUAGUAGAUUUUUGUCAAACCCAGGUAGAGAGCAUUGGAAUGCUGAGAAAUGGAUUUUGAGGUAUCUUCAUGGUGUUGUUGAUAUGAGGCUUUGUUUUGGUGGUGAUAAGCCUACUUUGGUGGGAUACUCAGACUCAGAUAUGGUUGGAGACAUUGAUUCCAGGAGGUUCACUUCGGGCUAUUUGAUUAAAUUUGCAGGGGGAGCUAUUACUUGGCACUCCAAGCUAUAGAAAUGUGUAGCUUUGUCUACUACAGAGGCAGAAUUCAUUGUCAUUACCAAAGCAUGCAAGGAGUUGCUAUGGGUGAAGAAAUUCUUGCAGGAGCUUGGUUUUGUUCAGGAUAAAUAUCUACUAUUUGUGGAUAGUCAGAGUGUUAUUCAUCUUGGUAAGAACUCAACCUUUCAUUCAAGGUCUAAGCAUAUUGAUGUGAGGUAUCAUUGGAUACGAGAUACUUUGGAUGCUAAGCUAUUGGAGUUGGCCAAAAUCCAUAUUGAUGAUAAUGGUGCUGAUAUGAUGACUAAGGCAUUACUAAGAGGGAAGUUUGAAGUUUGUUGUGAGAUCGCCGGUUUGGCGGUCACCUCCCCAUAGUUGUAAGGGAGAGAUUUGUUGGGUUUUUUGGGCUACCUUCUUAUGUGGAGUAAAAACCCAAAUGAAAAGAUCCAUUUUGUCUCACUUAUUUAAGUGGAGAGAGGUCAGAUUAGAAAGAAACACACACAGAGAGAUAUAGUGAGAGAGACUCAUUUGAGAAGGGAAAAGAGUUACAAAUCAUUGAGAGAGAAAGAAUGAGAGGGAAAAUUAUUGUAAUUUUUGCAUACCCACUAGAGAGCGUUUUUUAGAUUGCAACUGCGAAUUCGUUCACCGUUGGACCCAGUUGAUUUUUGGAAAACAAGUUCUACACGCGUGAUUCUGCAAAUUGUUUGGUUGGAUCGGAAAAAAGAUAUCUUUAGAGAGAGAUAAGUGUUUCGCAUUAUCUACUCUAUAUUUUGGAGUUUUAUCUUUUUGUCUCUGUUGUAUCAAUUGGAGGGUUUAAUUUGAUUUGACUGUUCGUAGCAUGUUUUAAUGCACUUGUUGGAGGUUCUCUUGUAUAUUCAUUGAUUAUAGUAAAGUUAUUUCUUUGAUCUAGAUGACCCGUAAUUUUUAUUCUUACAUUGAGAAGUUUUUCACGCUAAACAAAUUAUGUCUCUGUUUUUUUUCCUUAAUUUCUAUCUUACGCUCUAUAUUUCAUUGGUGUUCCUUAUAGAUUUUUACAAAUUUUGAGAAAUUUAUUUUGACUGCUUAUUACUUAUUAUGUUUGUCUAUUUUCUCCCAUCAAUGUCAUUUAACUUUUGAAUAAUCGGGGAGUCCAAAUUUUUAAUUGUAAUUAAAAGACUAAUUAAGUCAUUAUAGUUUAUUGAGAUAAAAAGGAGUCAUUUUUUUUAUGAUGUGACUCCCGACAUAGCGUUUUAGCUCCUCAUUUCCGACAAACAACAAGUUGAGAUUGUUGACAACUGAAAAAUUUUCAAAAACUCCACGAAAUUGAAGUCAGGAUUCACUAACCAACCAAGCUACAACAUAAUAAAUCAAUUCAAUCUGAAACGAAGAGUAUUAGUAAGUAAUAUCACGUUCUCUGAUACAUUUUAAGACGAGGAAGGUUUCUUCAAUAUUUUUGAAAUCCUCCUUGAAUUUACUAAUUGCGGAACAUAUUCAAUUAGAAAAAUAUUUAUUAGUAAAAUCAUUAAUAUCAUUGAUUGUUUUUUAAAAUUCCUUUAUUGCAUGUUAUUAUAAUUUAUAGAAUAAAUUAUAACACUCCUUAUUCCUUAAGCCUUUAUGAAAUUACAGUUAACUUUCCAUUUUUUUUACACUAAUUCCUUUUUAAGUUUAAAAAUGUUAUAUUAAUACUUUCUUAUAUGUUUAAAAAUAUUAUACUAUGUUAACAUUCCUUUAAGUUUCAAAAUAUUACACUAAUUUUUUUUUAAAAUACUUAAAAUGUUAUACUAACAUUCCUUUAAAUCUUACGGUAACAUUCACUAGAAACAAGGAUGGUCAAAGAUUCAAAGUAAUGAAUUUUUUUUAAAAAAACAGAAAAUAUUUAUAUAAUUACACAAAAUCUUAAAAAAUGUUGUUAUUAUUUACUCUAAUUUAUAAUUUGAAUUUAGGAUCGAGUAUAUUUAAGGAAAUUUCUCUACACGGUUUACGCAAUCUCUUACAUCAUUUAUUUUUCCACAUUUGUUUACUCUGAGGAAUCUUCUUGAUAGGGGAAAGUUUUUUCAUAUUUUUUCUAGAUCCUUCUCAUGUGCAAUGUCUCCGCAUUCAUACGCAGCAAUCAAAAUGGAAUUAAUACACGGUAGCACUUUCCCAUUUUUUUGUUAUCGUCCCCACUAUUGACUAUACCCAUGAUAUGUAUAUAGGUAUAUCUUUUCUAAUUGAUUACGUAUCUGCUGAAUACUAGCUAGUCCUGAUUCCUAGCUCUAUAAAAGGAGAAUACCAUAGGAAUUCAUCACAGACAAACAAACAAUUUACCAGCUAUACUUGUUCCUUUUGAAGGUUAGAAGUGCUACAAUACAAACAAUGGCAGCUACUCAGGAAGAUGUGAAGCUUUUGGGUAUUGUGGGAAGCCCAUUUGUGUGCAGGGUCCAGAUUGCCCUUAAGUUGAAGGGAGUUGAAUACAAAUUUUUGGAAGAAAAUUUGGGCAACAAGAGUGAUUUGCUUCUCAAAUACAACCCUGUUCACAAGAAGGUUCCAGUGUUUGUUCACAAUGAGCAGCCCAUAGCAGAGUCUCUUGUGAUUGUUGAAUACAUUGAUGAGACAUGGAAGAACAACCCCAUCUUACCUUCUGAUCCUUACCAAAGAGCCUUGGCUCGUUUCUGGUCCAAAUUCAUUGAUGAUAAGGUAACUCAACAUUUCAAAAAUCUUCUUAGUUUUCAUGAUUUGUGCUGAUUUGUCAGCAAAACAUCACGAUGAAAUCUAUAUAUGUGAAAUCUUUCUGGUGUGGAAUAUAUAUGUGAAAUCUUUGAAUAUGUUAGAGAACUCAAAAGUCAACAGCCAACCAUGAUUUUUUUUUAAUGUAUCAACUUUUUGUAAAACAAUAUUAGUGAUUUGAAACUUUAUGGAAUCAUAUACUAUGAUUUUGGGAGAAAUUUUAUUUUAUUUUACUAUUUUUAUCUGGGGUGGGGGGAUUCUGUCACGUAUUUGUUUCUAUAUAACUCGAUCUAAAUUCUGUUUGUCCUAAUCACUUUAUGAAAUAAUUACUAAUAAAUAUUGUGAUUUGCGAAAUCAGAUUGUGGGUGCUGUAUCGAAAUCUGUUUUCACGGUUGAUGAGAAAGAGCGUGAGAAGAAUGUUGAAGAAACAUAUGAGGCUCUUCAGUUUCUUGAGAAUGAGCUGAAGGACAAGAAGUUUUUUGGAGGAGAGGAAUUUGGGUUGGUAGAUAUUGCUGCUGUCUUCAUAGCAUUUUGGAUCCCAAUUUUUCAGGAAAUAGCAGGGUUGCAGUUAUUCACCAGUGAGAAAUUUCCUAUACUCUACAAAUGGAGCCAAGAAUUCCUUAACCACCCUUUUGUGCACGAAGUCCUUCCUCCUAGAGACCCACUUUUUGCCUACUUCAAAGCCCGCUAUGAAAGUCUUUCUGCUUCAAAAUAGACUUAUUUAAGGAUAUUUGUUGAACAACUUGUGUCUUGUUGAGUUAUUGCUGUUUGAAUUUCAUGUAAAAUGAUACUAGCUAUAUGUAAAUCCCAGAAAAAAAAAAAAAAGAAUCCUAGGAUCUUGUUUUCGUUUUGGCCAUUUCAGUUAAUAAAGAAAUUAUAUUUUUCGAUAUAAAUUUUGUUGUGAAAAGCUUUAUUCUUCCUUCAUAAAAUCCUUCAAUGUGCAUAAUCUUAUUCGUAGAGAGACUUAGAGCGGCUAGUAGCUACUACCUUGAAAUUUUUUCUUUAAUUCGAAGGACAACGUAUAUAUUAUAUAAUAAUAAUUAUUGCAAGUUGGAAAUCGUGUAAGCAUGUUUCAUGACUAUAUGAGUUAACAAUAUACUGUCUUGCCUCUGCAACCUUCAUGGAUUCUAAAAUUAUUCCCUUGGCUGCAGUUGUUAUUUCAAUGUUGCAACAUGAGUUAACAAUACAUUGCAUUAACAUGAGUGAACAAUACAUUACGCAUGCUGUUUUUAAGGAUUGUUUUAUGAUUUUCUCUGCUGUUUUCUGUGCUGCACAAGUGAUGGCCUUUCAAUUUUCUGAUUUUUUGUUGUUGUUUAUAAACUGCUCUUUACUUUGGAGUACGACUUCACUAUUAAUUCAUGAGACAAUUGCUGAAUUGUUGAAGUCGUGAAAUAUCACUCGACUUCACUAUUAAUUAGUUUUGCAUUUUUAAUAUCACUUAGUUAUUAUUAAUUUAUGGUUUAGUAUUUUAGAAUAUUAGUGUUUAGUUAUUAUUAAUUUACGAUUUAGUUAGAUAAAUUAUUAUACAUGUUAAAUUAAUUUUGUUAAAUUAUUAUUUUGUGUUUUAGAAUAUUAGUGUUUAUUACGGUUUAGUUACAUAAAUUAUUAUAGAUGAUCAAUUAAUUUUGUUAAAUUAUUAUUUUAUGUUUUAGAAUAUUAGUGUUUAGUUAUUAUUAAUUUACGAUUUAGUUAGAUAAAUUAUUAUACAUGUUAAAUUAUUAUUUUGUGUUUUAGAAUAUUAGUGUUUAGUUAUCAUUAAUUUAUGGUUUAGUUACAUAAAUUAUUAUAGAUGAGCAAUUAAUUUUGUUAAAUUAUUAUUUUAUGUUUUAGAAUAAUACCGUUUAGUUAUUAUUAAUUUACAGUUUAGUUAUUAUUUUGUGUUUUAGAAUAUGAGUUAGACAAAUUAUUAUUACACUGUUCACUCCCGUGAAACCUAUAAAAAGAGAGUUCAUUCUCACUUCGAUGCAUCUGUUGCAUCCAAACAAUCACCCUAGUUCUCUGAUUUUGACGUGUUUCUUAGAGUCAUACUGACAUAAUUUUUUUAGUGUUACAUACAUGAAAAAGGUAUUUAAAAAUGUUUUAAUUUUUUACAUUACAUGUAAUCCAAUGAUUCCUUACUAAUCAAUAAUUUUUUUUUACAAAUGGCUACUGAAGAACCCAUAAUAAGAGAUAAUGUUAGUGACUUCAGUGAUGAUGAGCAACAACAUGAUUUUGGUGAACAUGGUGAACCAAGCAAUCAAAGUGAGUCAUCUUCAUAUUUUGAAACUAUUAGUAGCCAAAUUUCUAAAAAUCAAGAGUACUCAAAUCCUUAUCAAAGGACAACGAGUGUUAGUACAAAUGACCUUUAUGAAGGGUUGAUAUUUGAAUCAAAACAAGCCGCUGUGAAUGCCAUUAAACAAUUCCAUUUUAUGCAUUCAUUUAAUUUUGAUGUGGUCAAGAACAAGCGUGACAAGUAUGUUGUCAUGUGUAAUCAAUAUGGUAAUGGAUGUUAUUGGAGGGCGAGAGUAUCGUUCAGCAAAAUACGCAAAAGGUGGGAGCUGAAGAAAUUAAACGGUAUUCACACAUGCACAAAUUCUACCAUAUCACAAGAUCAUGUUAGGUUAGAUUCUUCUGUAAUUGCCCAUAAUAUUGUUCAUUUAGUGAAAACAAAUUCGGAUAUCGAAAUCAAAACCUUGAUUGCAGACAUGCAUCAACGGUUUCAUUACAUUGUUUCAUACAAAAAAGCAUGGACAGUAAACAAAAAGAUCUUGAAAUGGCAUUUGGAAGUUGGGAACAAUCAUAUAGUUACCUGCCUAUAUGGUUCACAGCUGCUCAACACUUUGUACCAGGUACCAUAGUAAAAUACACAACUUCAUCUUCAAUGGAGGAAGGUAACGAUAACCCUCUUAGGGUGAUUCUUAACCGUGUAUUUUAGGCGUUUAAUCCAUGCAUUGAAGGCUUCAAAUAUUGCAAGCCACUUGUGCAAGUAGAUGGGACAUUUUUAACUGGCAAAUACAAUGAUACUUUGUUGACUGCCAUCGGACAAGAUGGUAGUAGGGACAAUUUUCCACUUGCUUUUGCAAUUGUUGAGAGCGAGACUAAAGAAGCUUGGAUAUGGUUCUUGCAUUAUUUGUGAAGAUAUGUUACUCCGCAACCAAAUUUGUGUAUUAUAUCAGACAGGGGAACUGGUUUGCUAGCAACUUUACAAUCCAAACACGUUGGUUGGAAUGGACCAGAUGUUUCGUCUGUGUAUUGCAUUCGUCACAUUGCAUCAAAUUUCAACAAAUAGUUUAAAAAUGUUAACUUAAAAAAACAAGUCAUCAAUAUGGGUAUGUUUCUUCCUAUUUCAUGCAUCAUAUUCUUGCUUUAUUACAUGUUCACUAAAUUUUUUACUCAUUAUUCUAUCUUUUCGCACAGGGUAUGAGAUGAGGAAAUCAUGAUUUGAGGCUAAGUUGCUCGCUAGGCGAGCAGAGUUUCCACAAGCAGCAGAUUGGUUGGAUCAAAUUCGUAAGAGUAAAUUGACUCAGGCCUACGAUGAAGGAAAACGGUAUGGCCAUAUGACUACCAACCUUGUUGAAUGUAUGAAUUCUGUUUUGAAAGGAGCCCGAACAUUACCUAUUACUGCCUUAGUCAAUGAAACAUUUAAUAAAAUAAAUGAUUCAUUUGUCACUAACGACAUCAAAAUCAUGAAUAUGAUAAAGGCAGGGCAUAGGUACUCCGAAGACGUAUAUGUCAUGAUGCAAGAAAAUCAACACAUUGCUACCUCACAUUAUGUUCGCAUGUAUGUUCGAGAAACAAAGGAGUUUGAGGUUCAAGAAAUUGCAAAUACGCGACUUGGUCGACGAGGAAUGGCAUGCACUGUCAAAUUGAAUGAAUGGUUGUGUGAUUAUGGACAAUUUCAAGCACUUCGACUACCUUGCUCACAUGCAAUUGCAGCGUGUGCUUUUUGCAAUUUAAAUUAUGAUGACUUUGUUGACCCUGUAUACAAGUUGGAAAAUAUUUUCAAAGUUUAUCAACAUCAUUUUCAUUCCCUUGGAAGUGAAGACACGUGGCCUCAAUAUUUAGGUCCGCAUUUUAUGUCUGAUCCUUCGAAACGACGACAGAUAUCAGGCAGGCCAGCCACUACUCGGAUACAUAAUGAGAUGGAUGAAUCAAUUCCAAAUAGGCUUAAGAAAUGCUCAUUAUGUAAAACUGAAGGACAUAAUCAGAGUAACUGUCCAUACAAACAAGUACAUAACUAAAAUAACUUGUAAUUUUUAUGUUUUUCUUUCAUUUGUAUUGUGCGUUUUAUAUUAAUGUAUUAAUUAUGUUGUUUUUAAUUUUUAUUGAUAAAUUAUUUAAACUUUAAAUAAAAAACAUUUAAAGUAAACUAUAAUAAAAAUAUAUAUAACAUGUUUUAAAUAAUUAAACAUUAAAAUAAAAUAAUAACAUAUCAAAUAAAAUCACAAAAAAUAUACUAAUGAAAUCAACUUAAUAUUAUUUAUUAUAUAUUUAAAUAUAUAUUUUUUAACUUUUUUAUUUUAAAAAAAUAAAAUUGUUAACAUUAUAAAAUUAAAAAACAAAUUUAUGAAAAAAAAGGUUAACAAAUUAAAAACAAACUACAAAUAGUAAAAUAACGUUUUUAAAAAAAAAAGGAGGUUACGAUCUCAAAAUCGUAUACCUCAUGAAAUUUUUAAAAAAUAAGUAAGACAGUUUUACAACUUUAAAGUAAUAAAACAAAAUACGAGUUUUUUUUUAAUACGACUUUAAAGUCGUAAAAAAAUUAUAUUUACAUUGAAGUUGUAAAUAUUUUUACGAUUUCAGUUAAAAAAAUAAGAAAACUAAAAAGUCGUAAUAGGUGCUAACAACUGUUACAACUUAACCCGUUUUAGAUAAUUUUUUAAAAUAUACCCCAAAUGAAAAAUUGCGGAUUAUUUUAUCCCCAAUUGGUAAAAAAGCACCUGAAUACUAGAAACAAGGGUGGUCAAAGAUUCAAAGUAAUGAAUUUAUAAAAAAAAAAAGAAAAUAUUUAUAUAAUUACACAAAAUCUUAAAAAAUGUUGUUAUUAUUUACUCUAAUUUAUAAUUUGAAUUUAGGAUCGAGUAUAUUUAAGGAAAGUUCUCUACGCGGUUUACGUAAUCUCUUACAUCAUUUAUUUUUCCACGUUUGUUUACUCUGAGGAAUCUUCUUGAUAGGGGAAAGUUUUUUCAUAUUUUUUCUAGAUCCUUCUCAUGUGCAAUGUCUCCGCAUUCAUACGCAGCAAUCAAAAUGGAAUUAAUACACGGUAGCACUUUCCCAUUUUUUUGUUAUCGUCCCCACUAUUGACUAUACCCAUGAUAUGUAUAUAGGUAUAUCUUUUCUAAUUGAUUACGUAUCUGCUGAAUACUAGCUAGUCCUGAUUCCUAGCUCUAUAAAAGGAGAAUACCAUAGGAAUUCAUCACAGACAAACAAACAAUUUACCAGCUAUACUUGUUCCUUUUGAAGGUUAGAAGUGCUACAAUACAAACAAUGGCAGCUACUCAGGAAGAUGUGAAGCUUUUGGGUAUUGUGGGAAGCCCAUUUGUGUGCAGGGUCCAGAUUGCCCUUAAGUUGAAGGGAGUUGAAUACAAAUUUUUGGAAGAAAAUUUGGGCAACAAGAGUGAUUUGCUUCUCAAAUACAACCCUGUUCACAAGAAGGUUCCAGUGUUUGUUCACAAUGAGCAGCCCAUAGCAGAGUCUCUUGUGAUUGUUGAAUACAUUGAUGAGACAUGGAAGAACAACCCCAUCUUACCUUCUGAUCCUUACCAAAGAGCCUUGGCUCGUUUCUGGUCCAAAUUCAUUGAUGAUAAGGUAACUCAACAUUUCAAAAAUCUUCUUAGUUUUCAUGAUUUGUGCUGAUUUGUCAGCAAAACAUCACGAUGAAAUCUAUAUAUGUGAAAUCUUUCUGGUGUGGAAUAUAUAUGUGAAAUCUUUGAAUAUGUUAGAGAACUCAAAAGUCAACAGCCAACCAUGAUUUUUUUUAAUGUAUCAACUUUUUGUAAAACGAUAUUAGUGAUUUGAAACUUUAUGGAAUCAUAUACUAUGACUUUGGGAGAAAUUUUAUUUUAUUUUACUAUUUUUAUUUGGGGUGGGGGGAUUCUGUCAAGUAUUUGUUUCUAUAUAACUCGAUCUAAAUUCUGUUUGUCCUAAUCACUUUAAGAAAUAAUUACUAAUAAAUAAUGUGAUUUGCGAAAUCAGAUUGUGGGUGCAGUAUGGAAAUCUGUUUUCACGGUUGAUGAGAAAGAGCGUGAGAAGAAUGUUGAAGAAACAUAUGAGGCUCUUCAGUUUCUUGAGAAUGAACUGAAGGACAAGAAGUUUUUUGGAGGAGAGGAAUUUGGGUUGGUAGAUAUUGCUGCUGUCUUCAUAGCAUUUUGGAUCCCAAUUUUUCAGGAAAUAGCAGGGUUGCAGUUAUUCACCAGUGAGAAAUUUCCUAUACUCUACAAAUGGAGCGAAGAAUCCCUUAACCACCCUUUAGUGCAAGAAGUCCUUCCUCCUAGAGACCCACUUUUUACCUUCUUCAAAGCCCGCUAUGAAAGUCUUUCUGCUUCAAAAUAGACUUAUUUAAGGAUAUUUGUUGAACAACUUGUGUCUUGUUGAGUUAUUGAUGUUUGAAUUUCAUGUCAAAUGAUACUAGCUAUAUGUAAAUCCCAAAAAAAAAAAAAAAGAAUCCUAGGAUCUUGUUUUCGUUUUGGCCAUUUCAGUUAAUAAAGAAAUUAUAUUUUUCGAUAUAAAUUUUGUUGUGAGAAGCUUUAUUCUUCCUUCAUUAAAUCCUUCAAUGUGCAUAAUCUUAUUCGUAGAGAGACUUAGAGCGGCUAGUAGCUACUACCUUAAAAAUUUUGCUUCAAUUCGAAGGACAACGUAUAUAUUAUGUAAUAUGUAAUUAAAUUUCAGCCAUACAAUUAUUUGUGUCUCUGGUUGACUUAAUGUUGUUCAAAUUUGAUGUCAAAUUGACACUUAAAGUAAUAUGUAAUAUGAUUUCCUAAGUUCUCUUUUGCUUGCCAAGCAGCAACAUGAAAAGCUGUGUGAAACAUAGAAUUUAUAGUUUAUUGAGAUAAAAGAGCCGAGUGAAAAAAAAAUCAUGGUGUGACUCUCAGAUAAACCACAAGUUGAGAUUGUUGACCACUGAAAAUUUUCAAAAACUCCACAAAAAUGGAGUCAGGAAUCAGGAGGAUUCACCAACCAACCAACAACAUAAUAAAUCAAUUGAAUCUAAAAGGAAGAGUAUUAGUAAGUAAUAACACGUUCUCUAAUACAUUUUUAAGACACUUUUUUUUUAUAAAGAAAUCUGUAUAGUAAAUUUUAAAUUAAAUAAUAAAUUGUUAAUAAAAUAUAAAGCACCAUUAAAUUUUUUUUAUUUUUAGAAUUAUUUGUUUACAUGCAGAAAUAAUUAUUAAUUCUUAAGUAUCCCUUAAAAGGAUAUAAGAAAAUUAGUGUUUAUAACACACAUUUAUUGUAGGGGUGUUCAAAUCUAAACAAAUCCAAAAAUAAAUCACAAAAAUUGAUAAAAAAAAAACUUCAAACCAAUAAAAAUUUAUUUGUUUUGGAAUUUUUUAUUACUAUUUUGUAUAAUCAAUCAGGUUUGAAUUUGGAUGAUAUUUUCAAAAUUGAACCAAUUCAAAUCAAACCUCACAUUAUAUUAACAUCAAUCUUACUAGGUAUUGAGCAUUAGGUAAUUGUAUUUUAAACUUUUAAUAGUUAUAAUAUAUAAUUUAUAAUUUAAUUCUUUUUAUAAGAUGUUCAUAAUAUGUGGUUUUUAUUAUUCUAUUAAUAAUAAAUAUUAAAUUAAUUUAUAAUAUUUUUUGCUCUGUAAUUUGAUCUGCAUAAUUUACUUUUACAUGUUACAGAAAGAGCAUAGCAAUAUAGUUGAAGAAUAAUGCUAAAUAUCAAAUAUUAUGCAAGUUACUUUUACAUCACAAGAUGAUGAUGCCAAUAUAAUUAAGAAAAAAUGUUAAACAGUAGUAAAAAGUAUUGUUUUUCAAAUUUUAAAAAGAGAUAGAAAAGAAAAUUUAUAUUUUAGAUCAGUAUAGCAUAAUAAUAAUUAUGUAAAUUUAGUUAUUAAAUUUUAUAUUGUAUUUAUAAAUUUUAAAAAACAUAAAUUCAUCAAACUGAACUGUAAAAAAUUAGUUUGGUUUAAUUUAAAUUUCAUGUUACUUUUAAAUUCAACUAAUCCAAAUCACAUAUUAAUUCUAUGUUUGGUUAUUAUUUUUCUUCUAAAAAUCAAACUAAAUCGCAUUACAUAUACCAUGUGUUUUCAGUUUGAAGAGAAAGAAGUGACGAGAGUUUUAAGGGAAAAGUGAAAAAAAAUGUGGGACUUAUUUAAAAAAAUGAAAUGACUCAUCUGGUUAUCUAUCAUUUUAUUUUGAAAUAUGUAAAUAUAAUAUUAAUACGAAUAAAUACAUAUUUACAACAAACACACAUUUUUCUAUUUCUUCUAUUUAUUUCUACUUGUCUCAAUCCAAGUAACUUAAAAAUCUUCUCAUUAAAUACUCAUUCUCUCUUCUAUUCUCUUCUCUUUUAAAUCUUUUUAAAAUUUUCUCUCAUUUUUUCCAUACGCUUUGGCAUGCACGAGCAUUGCAAUAGGACCUUCUUUGACAUCUCACAAGAAUGUUAGCACCUCAAAUCAUUUAUCAUACAAACAAAACAUUAACGCACUAUAAUUCAUUUGUAUUAAAUAUAAGAUUUAAAUAUAAUUUUAAUAUUAAUCCUUAAAAAAUAAGACCAUUUUGACUUUGGUCUUUUAAAAAAAUUAUUUUAAUUUUAGUCCAUGUAAAAUUUUUUUUUUUAAAUCUUUAUUGUCAAAUAGCAACAUUAACUGAUAUGAUAACUACAAUAUUUCACAUAAUUAUGAAAUCUUAAAGAAUAGGUACAUCUAAUAUGCUUAAAACUGAGUAAGUAUAUCAGACUGGUCGAUAAGAUUUUUUUUUUUUUAUGUAAUUUGAUGAGAUAUAUUAAAACAUAGUUUAUUAAAAAGUAUAUGCAUAAUUGUUUUGUCAUGCUUUUUAAUUACGUGGCAAAGUCAAUAAAAUCUAAAUAUCAUUGUUAUGUCAUCAAAUUGGAUCAUUUGACAGAGACUAAAACUAAACAUAUUAAAUUUUACGUGAACUAAAUCAAAAUAAUAUUAUUUUUCAGAAUAUAAAAAUCAUAUUUAUGCCUAAUAAGAAAUUACAUAAUCUCUUGCAUCAUUUUUUCUCUCUCUUCAUAUAUAGGUGCAUAAAAUUAUUUUGAUGAGGAAGGUUUCUUCAAUAUUUUCAAAAUCCUCCUUCAAUUUAGUGAUUGCGGUAGAUAUUCAAUUAGAAAAAAUAUCUCUUAGUAAAAUCAAUAUCAUUGAUUAUUUUUUUAGAAUUCCUAUAUUGCAUGUUAUGAUAAUUUAUAGAAUAAAUCAUAGCAAUACUCGUUGAACUUUUAUCAAAUUAUACAUAAUUUUAUCCUUUUUUAUUUUCCUAGACUUCUUUUUUUAAGUUUGAAAACAUUAUAUUGACGUCUCUUUAAAUGUUUGAAAACAUUACACUACAAUAAUCUUCCUUUAAUUUUCAAAAUAUUACAUUGACACUUUCUUAUAUGUUUAAAAAUGCUAUUGUAAUAUUCCUUCAAAUCUUACACUAAUAUUUCUUAUAAGAAAUGUCAAAAGUAAUGAUCCUAUAAAAAGAUGUAUAAUUAUAUUAAAUUUUUAUAGAUGUUGUUGUAAUUUACUCUAAUGUAUUCAUCUUUUGUUCUAAAAUAAUUAUUGUGUGAAAAAAAUAUUUAUUCUAAAAUAAGUAUCAUUUUAAAUUUUUAAAGUAACUUUUAUUAUUUUUUCUAUUCAUAUUCCUUAUAAUAUUAAUGAUAUGGGUAACAAAAAUUAAUAUUAAUGAUAUGGGUAACAAAAAUUAAAAGUGAAUUAAUGGUGAUAAAGUUAAAUUUAAAAAAAUGUUAUUUUUUUAUCUAUUUAUUAAUUUUUUUUAUUUGUGUAAAAUAAUCUAGUAUGAUAAUUAUAAAUAAUGAAAUAAGAAAGUAUUUUUUUUUUGUUGACAACAACCAUAAUCACUCCUUUUCAAGGGUGUGUAUUUUAUGGGAUCGAAUAAAACCACGGUGUGUGUUACUAUCUAAGUUUUAUCUAUGGAGUAAAAAGUACAUAUUUGACUAUUCAUUAGGAGAAUAUAUAUAAAAAAAAUUCUAUACGGUUUACGUAAUCUCUUACAUCAUUUAUUUUCCCACAUUCUAUAAAUAUAUAAUACAUCUUAUCUAACUGAUGACGUAUCCGCUGAAUACUAGUCCUGAUUCCCGGCUCAAUAAGAGGAGAAUACCUUAGGAAUCCAUAAGAAACAUUAAUUCACCACUAUAGUUGUUCCUUUUGAAGGUUAGAAGUGCUACAAUGGCUGCUAAUCAGGAAGAUACUCAGGAAGAUGUGAAGCUUUUGGGUAUUGUGGGAAGCCCAUUUGUGUGCAGGGUGAAGAUUGCCCUCAAGUUGAAGGGAGUUCAAUACAAAUUUUUGGAACAAAAUUUGAGGAACAAGAGUGAACUGCUUCUCAAAUCCAACCCAGUUCACAAGAAGGUUCCAGUGUUUAUUCACAAUGAGAAGCCCAUAGCAGAAUCCCUUGUGAUUGUUGAGUACAUUGAUGAGACAUGGAAGAACAACCCCAUCUUACCUUCUGAUCCUUACCAAAGAACCUUGGCUCGUUUCUGGUCCAAAUUCAUUGAUGACAAGGUAACUCAACAUUUCAAAAAUCUUCUUAGUUUUCAUGAUUUGUGCUGAUUUGUCAGCUAAACAUCACGAUGACAUCUAUAUAUGUGAAAUCUUUUUGGUGAGGAAUAUAUAUGUGAAAUCUUUCAAUAUGAUAGAGAACUCAAAAGUCAACAGCCAACCAUGAUUUUUUUUAAUGUAUCAACUUUUUGUAAAACGAUAUUAGUGAUUUGAAACUUUAUGGAAUCAUAUACUAUGAUUUUGGGAGAAAUUUUAUUUUAUUUUACUAUUUUUAUUUCGGGUGGGGGGAUUCUGUCACGUAUUUGUUUCUAUAUAACUCGAUCUAAAUUCUGUUUGUCCUAAUCACUUUAAGAAAUAAUUACUAAUAAAUAAUGUGAUUUGCGAAAUCAGAUUGUGGGUGCUGUAUUGAAAUCUGUUUUCACGGUUGAUGAGAAAGAGCGUGAGAAGAAUGUUGAAGAAACAUAUGAGGCUCUUCAGUUUCUUGAGAAUGAGCUGAAGGACAAGAAGUUUUUUGGAGGAGAGGAAUUUGGGUUGGUAGAUAUUGCUGCUGUCUUCAUAGCAUUUUGGAUCCCAAUUUUUCAGGAAAUAGCAGGGUUGCAGUUAUUCACUAGUGAGAAAUUUCCUAUACUCUACAAAUGGAGCCAAGAAUUCCUUAACCACCCUCUUGUGCAAGAAGUCCUUCCUCCUAGAGACCCACUUUUUACCUUCUUCAAAGCCCGCUAUGAAAGUCUUUCUGCUUCAAAAUAGACUUAUUUAAGGAUUUUUGUUGAAUAACUUGUAACUUGUUGAGUUAUUGCUGUUUGAAUUUCGUGUCAAAUGAUACUAGCUAUAUGUAAAUCCCAGAAAGAAAAAAAAAGAAUCCUAGGAUCUUGUUUUCGUUUUGGCCAUUUCAGUUAAUAAAGAAAUUAUAUUUUUCGAUAAUAUCAAUCUUACUUACACACAUUCAAAUCAAACCACACAUUAUAUUAAUAUCAAUCUUACUUACACACAUUAUAUUAAUAUCAAUCUUACUUACUAGGUAUUGAGCAUUAGGUAAUUGUAUUUCAAACUUUUAAUAGUUAUAAUAUAUAAUUUAUAAUUUAAUUCUUUUUAUAAGAGGUUCAUAAUAUGUGGUUUUUAUUAUUCUAUUAAUAAUAAAUAUUAAAUUAAUUUAUAAUAUUUUUUGCUCUGUAAUUUGAUCUGCAUAAUUUACUUUUACAUGUUACAGAAAGAGCGUAGCAAUAUAGUUGAAGAAUAAUGCUAAAUAUCAAAUAUUAUGCAAGUUACUUUUACAUCCCAAGAUGAUGAUGCCAAUAAUAUAUAAUUAAGAAAUAAUGUUAAACAGUAGUAAAAAGUAUUGUUUUUCAACUAAAAUAUUUUAAAAAGAGAUAGAAAAGAAAAUUUAUAUUUUAGAUCAGUAUAGCAUAAUAAUAAUUAUGUAAAUUUAGUUAUUAAAUUUUAUAUUGUAUUUAUAAAUUUUAAAAAACAAAAAUUCAUCAAACUGGUCUGAAUCAAACUGUAAAAAAUUAAUUUGGUUUAAUUUAAAUUUCAUGUUACUUUUAAAUUCAACUAAACCAAAUCACAUAUUAAUUCUAUGUUUGGUUAUUAUUUUUCUUCUAAAAAUCAAAUUAAAUCGCAUUACAUAUACCAUGCUUGUUUUCAGUUUGAAGAGAAAGAAGUGACGAGAGUUUAAAGGGAAAAGUGAAAAAAAAUGUGGGACUUAUUUAAAAAAAUGAAAUGAAUCAUCUGGUUAUCUAUCAUUUUAUUUUGAACUGUGUAAAUAUAAUAUUAUUAGGAAUAAAUACAUAUUUACAACAAACACACAUUUUUCUAUUUCUUCUAUUUAUUUCUACUUGUCUCAAUCCAAAUAACUUAAAAAUCUUCUCAUUAAAUACUCAUUCUCUAUUCUAUUCUCUUCUCCUCUUUUAAAUCUUUUUAAAAUUUUCUCUCGUUUUUUCCAUAAGCUUUGGCAUGCACGAGCAUUGCAAUAGGACCUUCUUUGACAUCUCACAAGAAUGUUGGCACCUCAAAUCAUUUAUCAUCCAAACAAAACAUUAACGCACUAUAAUUCAUUUGUAUUAAAUAUAAUUUUAAUCCUUAAAAAAUAAGACCAUUUUGAUUUUGUUCUUUUAAAAAAAUUAUUUUAAUUUUAGUCCAUGUAAAAUUUAAUUUUUUUUUCAAUCCUUAUUGUGAAAUAGCAACAUUAACUGAUAUGAUAACUACAAUAUUUCCCAUAAUUAUGAAAUCUUAAAGAAUAGGUACAUCUAAUAUGCUUAAAACUGAGUAAGUAUAUCAGACUGGUCGAUAAGAUAUUUUUUUUUUUAUGUAAUUUGAUGAGAUAUAUAAAAACAUAGUUUAUUAAAAAGUAUAUGCAUAAUCGUUUUGUCAUGCUUUUUAAUUACGUGACUAGUCAAUAAAAUCUAAAUAUCACUGUUAUGUCAUCCUGCAUCAUUUGAGAGAGACUAAAACUAAACAUAUUAAAUUUUACAUGAACUAAAUCAAAAUAAUAUUAUUUUUCAGAAUAUAAAAAUCAUAUUUAUGCCUAAUAAGAAAUUACAUAAUCUCUUGCAUCAUUUUUUCUCUCUCUUCAUAUAUAGGUGCAUAAAAUUAUUUUGAUGAGGAAGGUUUCUUCAAUAUUUUCAAAAUCCUCCUUCAAUUUAGUGAUUGCGGUAGAUAUUCAAUUAGAAAAAAUAUCUCUUAGUAAAAUCAAUAUCAUUGAUUAUUUUUUUAGAAUUCCUUUAUUGCAUGUUAUGAUAAUUUAUAGAAUAAAUCAUAGCAUUACUCGUUGAACUUUUAUCAAACUAUACAUAAUUUUAUCCUUUUUUAUUUUCCUAGACUUCUUUUUUUUAAGUUUGAAAAUAUUAUAUUAACACCUCUUUAAAUGUUUGAAAACAUUACACUACAAUAACCUUCCUUUAAUUUUCAAAAUAUUACAUUGACACUUUCUUAUAUGUUUAAAAAUACUAUUGUGAUACUCCAUCAAAUCUUACACUAAUAUUCCUUAUAGAAAAUGUUAAAAGUAAUGAUAAUAUAAAAAGAUGUAUAAUUAUAUUAAAUGUUUACGGAUGUUGUUGUAAUUUACUCUAAUGUAUUCAUCUUUUGUUCCAAAAUAAUUAUUGUGUGAAAAAAAUAUUUAUUUUAAAAUAAGUAUCAUUUUAAACUUUUAAAGUAACUUUUAUUAUUUUUUUAUUCAUAUUCCUUAUAAUAUUAAUGAUAUGGGUAACAAAAAUUAAAAGUGAAUUAAUGGUGAUAAAGUUAAAUUUAAAAAAAUGUUAUUUUUUUAUCUAUUUAUUAAUUUUUUUUAUUUGUGUAAAAUAAUAUAAUUAUAAAUAAUGAAAUAAGAAAGUAUUUUUUUUUUUGUUGACAACAACCAUAAUCACUCCUUUUCAAGGGUGUGUAUUUUAUGGGAUCGAAUAAAACCACGGUGUGUGUUACUAUCUAAGUUUUAUCUAUGGAGUAAAAAGUAAAUAUUUGACUAUUCAUUAGGAGAAUAUAUAUAAAAAAAAUUCUAUACGGUUUACGUAAUCUCUUACAUCAUUUAUUUUUCCACAUUCUAUAAAUAUAUAAUACAUCUUAUCUAACUGAUGACGUAUCCGCUGAAUACUAGUCCUGAUUCCCGGCUCAAUAAAAGGAGAAUACCUUAGGAAUCCAUAAGAAACAUUAAUUCACCACUAUAGUUGUUCUGUUAAAAGUGCUACAAACAACAAUGGCUGCUAAUCAGGAAGAUGUGAAGCUUUUGGGAGUUGCAGAAAGCCCAUUUGUGUGCAGGGUUCAGAUUGCCCUCAAGUUGAAGGGAGUUCAAUACAAAUUUUUGGAACAAAAUUUGAGGAACAAGAGUGAACUGCUUCUCAAAUCCAACCCAGUUCACAAGAAGGUUCCAGUGUUUAUUCACAAUGAGAAGCCCAUAGCAGAAUCCCUUGUGAUUGUUGAGUACAUUGAUGAGACGUGGAAGAACAACCCCAUCUUGCCUUCUGAUCCUUACCAAAGAGCCUUGGCUCGUUUCUGGUCCAAAUUCAUUGAUGACAAGGUAACUCUACUUUUCUUCUUUUCUUGCUUUGUUACUGAUUUAUCCCCAAAACACCACCUUUCAUUACAUCGAUCUAAAUUAUUUUGCCCUCAUGAUUAUUUAUCAAAAUAUUACUAGUAAAUAAUGUGAUUUGUCAAAUUAGGUUGUGGGUGCUGCAUGGAAAUAUAUUUAUACUGUUGAUGAGAAAGAGCGUGAGAAGAAUGUUGAAGAGUCAUAUGAGGCUCUGCAGUUUCUUGAGAAUGAGCUGAAGGACAAGAAGUUUUUUGGAGGAGAGGAAAUUGGGUUGGUAGAUAUUGCUGCUGUCUUCAUAGCAUUUUGGAUCCCUAUAAUUCAAGAAGUAUUGGGUUUGAAGUUAUUCACAAGUGAGAAAUUUCCUAAGCUCUACAAAUGGAGCCAAGAGUUCAUCAACCACCCUGUUGUCAAACAAGUCCUUCCUCCUAGAGAUCAACUUUUUGCCUUCUACAAAGCCUGCCAUGAAAGUCUUUCUGCUUCAAAAUAGACUUAUUUAAGGAUAGUUGUGUGAACUACUGGUCUCUCAUUUGUGAGUUAUUGCAGUUUGAAUUUCAUGUCAAUUUGGUUUUAUAUGUAAUUUAGUAACCUGGGAUAUCUCCCAUGGAGAAAAUAAUCCUUGGAUCUUGUUUCCAUUUUGGCCAUUUCAGUUAAUAAAGAAAUUCAUUUUUUCCAAAUAAAUUUUAUAGUGAAAAGCCUUUGUCUUCCUUUAUAAAAUCCUUCAAUGUGCAUAAUCUUAAUAUUGGUAGACUUGGAGCGACUAGCCAGCUACUACCUUGAAAGUUUUAUUGCCUCAAUUCGAAGGACAACGUAUAUAAUAUCAUAUGUAAAUUCCAGCCUUAAAACUAUUUGAGUCUCUCGACUUAAUGCUGUUCGAAUUUCAUGAUUGUCACUUACAAUUAUAUGUAAUGUGUGAUCUUUGCUAAUUAAAUUCUCUUUUGCUUGCCAGCAACAUGAAAAGCUGUAUGAAACAGAGAAUUUGUAGUUUCUUUAAACAUGAAAAGAGCCUAGUCAAAUAUGUUUAUUAUUAUUUUUAUUUAUGGUGUGACUCUCUUUAAUUGGCUCCCUAUUCUCCGACAAGCCACCAGGUUGAGAUCGUUGACCACUGAAAAAUUUCCAAAACUCCACAAAAAUGGAGUCAUGGAUUCACCAACCAAACCAUCCAUCCCUAGAACAUUAUAAAUCAAUUCGAUCUAAAAGAAGAGUAUUAGUAAGUAAUAAUACCUUCUCUAAUACAUUUUUAAGGCACUUUUUUAUUAUUAAGUAAUUUGUAGUAAAUUUUAAAUUAAAUAAUCGAUUGUUAUUAAAAAUAUAUAACAUCAUUAAAGAUUUUUAGAAUUAUUUGUUUUCAUGUAGAAAUAAUUAGGUGGCACCAUCUACAUCAAAAUGGAAAUGAUACGUGACAGCACUUUCCCAUUUUUUUCUUAUCGUCCCCACUAUUGACUAUGUCCAUGAUAUGUAUAUGUAAUGGAUAUAAUAUAAUAUAGGUAUAUCUUUUCUAAUUGAUCACGUAUCCUCUGAAUACUAGUCCUGAUUCCUGGCUCUAGAAAAUAAAACCUUAGGACCCAUCACAGACAAAGAAGCAAUUAAUUCACCAGCUACAUAGUUUUUCUGUUUGAAGUGCUACAAACAAUGGCAGCUAAUCAGGAAGAUGUGACGCUUUUGGGAGUUGUUGGAAGCCCGUUUGUGUGCAGGGUCCAGAUUGCCCUCAAAUUGAAGGGAAUUGAAUGCAAAUUUUUGGAAGAAAAUUUGGCAAACAAGAGUGAUCUACUUCUCAAAUCCAACCCCGUUUACAAGAAGGUUCCAGUGUUUAUUCACAAUGAGAAGCCCAUAGCAGAGUCUCUUGUGAUUGUUGAGUACAUUGAUGAGACAUGGAAGAACAACCCCAUCUUGCCUUCUGAUCCUUACCAAAGAUCCUUUGCUCGGUUUUGGUCCAAGUUCAUAGAUGACAAGGUAACUCAAAUUUCAAAAUAAAAUAAAAUUCAUGCUUUGGGCUUAUUUAUCCCCAAAUAAUCACCUUUCGUGACAUCUAACUGUGAAAUGUUAGAAUAUGUUAGAGAACUCAAUACUACCUCAAAUUCAUCUAACAGCUUACCAUGAGCUCUUUUUAAUUUGUACUAUAUUUGUCCUAAUUUGUACUAUCAUAUAAGUGAAUCCAUAACCUGUUUGUCCUCAUUACUUUAUAAAAUACUAAUUACUAAAAAUUAAUCUUAUUUGUGAAAUCAGAUUGUGGGUGCUUCAUGGAAAUCUGUUUUCACGGUUGAUGAGAAAGAGCGUGAGAAGAAUGUUGAAGAAUCGUUGGAGGCUCUGCAGUUUCUUGAGAAUGAACUACAAGACAAAAGGUUCUUUGGAGGAGAUGAAUUUGGAUUUGUAGAUAUUGCUGGUGUCUUCAUUGCAUUUUCAAUCCCAAUUUUCCAAGAAGUAGCAGGGUUGCAAUUAUUCACCAGUGAGAAAUUUCCUAAGCUCUUCAAAUGGAGCCAAGAGUUGAUCAACCACCCUGUUGUCAAAGAUGUCCUUCCUCCUAGAGAACCACUUUUUGCCUUCUUCAAAUCCCUCUAUGAAAGCCUUUCUGCUUCAAAAUAGAUUGUUUAAGAAUGAUUGUGUGAACUACUUGUCGCUCAUUGAAUUAUUGUUGUUUGAAUUUCAUGUCAAUUUGAUACUAUAUGUAAUUUAGUAACCUGGGAUAUUAGGAUAUCCCCAAGGAACAAAGAAUCCUAGGAUUUUGUUUCCAUUUUGGCCAUUUCAGUUAAUAAUUAAAGAAACUCUAUUUUUUCUUGAUACAAAUUUUAUAGCGAAAGCUUUUGUCUUCCUUUGUUAAUUAAGACGAAAGCUGGCAUGUAUAAGGCUACUAGCAUAUCAAGCACCGUGUGAAAGAAUUUACGACAGUAAGAUAUAGUUAUUACAAUAACAGAAUUAAGACAUUUCAUUCAUGAUAAUUUGAUAAAUACAAGAAGGGAUAUAAUGAAAAUCUUGUCUUCAUUUUCGUGAUUUUAGUUAAUUUUAUUUUUCUAUUCUCUCUUAUAUUUUGUGCUUCUUAUGUAAAACUCUCUUUUUUACCCAAGUAAAAUAAUUUUAUUGGGAAAGAUAUCAAACUUAGCACAAGUGAUGACAAAAACUUGCCAGCUGUAAGGACAAUUACAAGUUGGGUUGGGCAGAGUGAGCUAAAAUAGUUUGAGCUUAAAUUUUUAUAAUAUAGACCGAUCAAUCAUUGGGCUAAUGGGACCAACCCCUUUUAAGACCCCUACCUUCAGGCAAUUGCUUCCUACACCGUUAGAUUUUUUCUACACCCAACAAUAUAAUUGAAUUGUUGAUUUUGCUCUUACACCCCUACACGCAUCCCCUUCCUCCUCUGCCGCUUCUGUUUUUACUCUCCCUUCUCCCUUCUUGCGCAGUGAUCUCCCCUCUUUCACUCCUCUGUUUAACUUCACUUGUUGGUGUUUCCUUCUACCGCUUUUACGUCACCGUCACCGUCAUUAUUAUUGUAAGUAGUUUUCUUCCAAUUUUUCUACAUUAAAGAAUCGGUAUCAUUCAUACGGAUGGUCAUUCAUACAGAUGGUCAAUCAGUAUGAACUAUUUUAAAAAAAUAAUUAAAAAUAGAUAUUUUAAUGUUUUUUUAAUAAAUUUAAUUAUAACUUUUUAUAAUUAUUACAUUAAAUUGAUUCUUUAUUUUUGACUUUAUUACAAUUAAUUUUGAUUUAAUAAUAAUUUUUUAAAAUAUAUAAAUUUUAAAUAAAAAUCAUAUAUUUAAUAAAAAUUUAUAUAUGUAAAAUAUAUAUUAUUAGAUCAAAAUUUAUUAUAUAGAUUUAUAUGUGUAUUAAAUAUACAUUAGAAAUUUUAUUAUUAUAUAUAAUAAAAUUACUUAUUUUAUAACAUAAUUAAUCUAUUAACUUAGUUGAUUAAAAUAUUGUGAUAAUAACAUAAAAAUUACAUUUUCGAAUUUUGGGAUAAUAACCUUACAUAUUAACUAUUCAUAUGAACUUUACACAAGAAUAAUGUUAAAAUUCUAAAAAAUCUACCCGAUAUAAAAGAAAAAGGAUGAGUGGAGGAAGAAAACGUCCUACCUUCAAGGGAAAAAUGUCCUACCUUCAAGGGAAAAAAUCUUGUUCUUGAUGCAUUCCCAAACUAACAGAGGGAUUUACUCCAUUGAGAAAUUUUAUUAAAUGCAUCUUACCCAUCCAUAUGUUUGAUUUUAUUUUUUUUACCGCUCACCACUUUUCAUCAAAUAACAUGAAACCAAUUGAGCUUAUAAUUAUGGAUUGGGGAGAGGUGGCGUGAAACUAAGCAGGGGCCGACGAAUAGAUAAUUACGGAAAGAUGGAGGGAAGAAGACAAGUAAGAAAAGGAAAAAGAGAAAAAGAGAAAAAGAAAAGAAAAGACAGAAAAAUGAGCAGGACCAAAAGAAAAGACAAACAAAGAGAUGAUACUCUCUGCAUAAAUGACGUUUAAUGGUUCUUUAUAGAAAUAACGAAAAUCUUUAGAACUGAUUUUAUGGUAUUAAUUAUUUAUUAGAGUAAAAUUAUAAUAAAAAACUAUAUUUUAUCAGAAACCUAAAGCGUCGUUUAAUGAAUUCUUUUAGGAAAAAUAUGUUUUAUUUUUCAUACUUUUAUAAAAUCUUAUUUUUAGUUGUUGAAAUUUCAUACCAUCUAAUUUAACCCAUGUAUUUUAUAAAAAAAAUUGUUUUUAAAUUCUUUUUACAAAAUUCUUACAAACAACGUUGUUAACGUCUAUUUAACGUGACAAAUAAGCAAAGUAUAUUUUUUUUUAUUUUUUAAAUUAAUUAAAAUGAUAUGUAAUUUUUUUUUUGAAAAAUAAUUAUUAAUAUGUCUCUACGAUAUACAUCAAACAGUAACUUUUAAUGGUUCUAUUUUGUUUUUAUUUCCAUUCUAUGAAUUGGCAUGAUAGGUAAAUAGUGUAAUUUAUGUAUCAUGUAAGAAAUGACGUUAACAAUAGAGGUCCUCAUAAUUGGAUAUUUAUGCAACUAUAACCAUACCUAAUAAAUAAUUAGAUUAUAAGUAGGUAUUAUAAUUAUAACUAGUUUUUUAAAUAUGGGUAUAAUUUAAUAUAACUAGUUAUUAUUUUUAAAAUAGAGGUAUAUAACUAGUUAUGAAUAAACUAGUUAUAUAUGGAUAAAAAUAAGUUGUUUGAAAUAUUCAUUUCUAUAAAACUAAUUAUAUUUUUAUAAUUAUAAUUAUUUUUUAAAUAAAAAUAAAUUAUUUAAAAUACCUACUUUUAUAUAACUAAUUAUAUAAAAAUAUUUAUAGUUAUAGGUAUUUUCUAAAACUAGUUUUUUUAGUAGUCUUAGUCAACAUAAUUUAUGACUAGAGACUAAAAAUAAGAUUUUUGUAAAGAGAGACUAAAUUAAAUCAUAUGAAACUUUAAUAACUAAAAACAAGAUUUUAUGAGAAAUAAUAACUAAAGAUAUAUAUUUUUUCUAAUUCUUUUUAUAUUAAAAUAUCAUUUAUUUUAAAAUAAAAAAUUAAUGCCACGUUUAUUAUCUUGGAAUUACUAUUUCGUAUAAAAAAAAACAGCUUAGACGAAUUCAUAUAAAGACCACUGUUUUUAUUUGACCGAAUAAAAGUUAAAUAAAAAAUUGUGACACAAUAAGUUGUUUGACAGGAAUACGCAUGCAUGUACCUGGUAACAUGGUAUUAUGGAUUUCGUGUUACACGAAUUGGUAAUUGGUAAAGUAAAGCAUUUUCCGUUUUUUAUACGAUAAAAUUUGAGCAAGUUUCAUGUAAAACUUGUGGUUUUUCUUAUUUUGAGUUUUUCAUUUUCAUUUGAAUGUAAUUUAUACGUUUUAGAGUACUUGUCUAAUUAUUUUGUUUAAAAAUAACUGUUUUUUUUAUAAAUAAAGAUCAUGUCUAAAAAGGUUUAUGAUAAUUAUAUAUUUUUAAAAUUAAAACAAUUCAACUCUAAUUUAUUUUUGAAAAAAAAAAGGCAAUGCUUAAAGAUUAAGGAUCGAUUAAAAAAACGUUUUCAAAGCAUAUUAACGUCAACUGGUUUUGUCUUAUUCAUUUAUGUUUUUUUAGGUUUGCUUCAUCUGAGAAUUCGUUUUCUGUCCUGUUUUUCUUUGCUCUUUAUUAAUAAUCACAAAAUAACCACAUCAAUUUUACUUUAUUUUAUAAUUCUAAGGAAUUGUGAAGAAAAUAAUGAAUUUACGUAUACAUAUUUAAAAAGAACAAAAUAAAAAUAUUAUAUAUAGUUAUUAAUAAAAACUAAAUAAAACUCAACAUAAAAAAGAGUUUACCCGUUAUUUUCUUUUUAUUUUUAAAAUGCCGUAUAUUCAAGAUUAGUGACAUGAAUUAUUUAUAAUUUUUUUUUUUACUUUUAUAGUAUUCAAAUAUUAUUUAAAUUAAUCUUACUUAUUUUAUGUAAUAUUGUAAAAAAAAUAUUUAUAUUUUCUAGAUCUAGACACAAGGGCUUUCUAAUUAGUUUUGUCAUCUUGUACCACUCUAUAUAAUAAUUUAAUUGCUGAAGAGUGAAGACCACAUAGGAUUCAUCAUUUUCCAAACGAGCAUCUUCGUAGUUUCUUAAGUCAAGAGAAGAAGUGAAGUGCUGCUUCAAUGGCUUCAAGUCAGGAAGAGGUGAUCCUUUUGGGGGUUAUUGGAAGCCCAUUUCUGCACAGGGUGCAGAUUGCUCUCAAAUUGAAGGGAGUUGAAUACAAAUAUUUGGAAGAUGAUUUGAACAACAAGAGUGAUUUGCUCCUCAAGUAUAACCCAGUUUAUAAAAUGAUUCCAGUGUUUGUUCACAAUGAAAAGCCCAUAUCCGAGUCCCUUGUGAUUGUUGAGUACAUCGAUGACACAUGGAAAAACAACCCCAUCUUGCCUGAUCCUUACCAUAGAGCCUUGGCUCGUUUCUGGGCCAAGUUCAUUGAUGACAAGGUAACUCUCAAUUAGAUCCCUUCCUUUUAUUCUUUCCUUUUCUUAAAAUAAAUCGCUUAUAUAUAUAUAUAUAUAUAUAUAUAUAAUAUGGAUCAAACUUCUUUAAGAACUGUCUUGAAUUAUUGUUAUGAUUUGUAAUUAUAGGAUUAUGGUAGAAUUUUCAACUUGGGGAAGAAAUAUUUGUGUUAUGUAUUCUAAAUUUCUAACCGUAAAUAAUAUAGAAAUUAGAAGCUUCUACUACUCACUGACAAGGGGGAGAGGUGCAGGGUUGUUACGGUGAGGCAUUGCCGCACACGAUUGGAUCUACUACUCACUCCGUUAUGCUAUGCUUUCACUUUAGAACUCAUAUCCCUCACACGCGAAAUGCUUUUGAGGAACCGAAACGACAAUGACAGAGAAGAUGAACCAGCUCGAUUUGAACGCGCGCGUAGAUAAUUAGGGUAACUUAAACAAAGACGGUCCUUCACCCAAACCCGUCUUUGUUCAAGUUUUUCAUAUUUACAAAAAUGCCAUGAACUAGCAUUCUAAGACGGUUCUCUACGACCGUCUUAGAAUGCACGACGUAAAAACAAAAAAUAUUACUUCUAAUUAUAAAAAUGUCACCGUCUUACAUUUUAAGACGGUUAUUAAUAACCGUCUUAGAAUACGCAUCGUAAAAUCAACCUCUUUUAGUAGUGAAGGCAUUAUCAAAAAUUAAAUUUUAAGGAGCAAAAAGGUAUUUAAAUCCAAAUUUUAUUUACUUUUACAUAAGUCAAUCAUAUUUCUGAUUGAUGUAAUGUAACUUGGUAGGAAGACUGCAUCCUAGCUUUUAGAUUUCUCCAAGGAGAUUAGCAUCUAUGAAUGAUGAUUGGAGACAUUGGUUGCUAUUAUAUAUGUAUCCAAGAAAAAUCAUAGUUGUUUUUAUAUAUUCCAAUUAUUUACUAACAUACAAGUAAUGUAACUUGGGAAAUCAGUGCGUGGCUCCAGCAGCGAAAUCUGUUUUUAUUGUUGAUGAGAAAGAGAAAGAGAAGGCAAAAGAAGAAUUAUUUGAGGCUCUGAAUUAUCUUGAGAAUGAGUUGAAGGGAAAGUUUUUUGGUGGAGAUGAGUUUGGCUUUGUGGAUAUUGCUGCUGUGAUCAUACCUAUAAUUCAAGAGAUAGCAGGGUUGCAAUUGUUCCCAAGUGAGAAAUUCCCAAAGCUCUCCAAAUGGAGCCAAGACUUUUACAACCAUCCACUUGUUAACCAAGUUAUGCCUCCUAAGGACCAACUUUUUGCCUAUUUCAAGGCUCGGGCUCAAAGCCUCGCUGCUAAAACAAAGAAUUAACAAAGACUCAGAAUUCCCAAGGAGAUUUUAAUAUUGUAGGAAGUGAAAGCUACUUACUAUCUAUGUUUAGUUUUCGUUUUGUUCAACAAUCUAUGUUUAGUUUUCGUUUUGUUCAACAAUCUAUGUUUAGUUAUUGCGGUUAUAUUUUCAUUUCAAAAUGAAUUAAGCGAUAUAGGAUUUCGCCAUGUAAAAAAAAUAAAAAUCCAAGGUUGUUGACAUUUUCGCUAUUUCAAAUGAGUUGUGUUAAUUAUUGGUUUAAACUAUUUAGUAAAGGGACCAAUGAGAUUUAGCUUAAAUCAAAUGAGUAUCCAAUGAUUUUUUAUUUUAUUUUUUUACUUUUUAAAUCAAUGCCUUCUCCUUUGGGUCUUGGUCUUGUUGACAUUUUCGCUACUGCAAUCAAUAAAAGGAAAAAAAAUAUAUCCUCCCUUCCCCACACCAUAUAAAUCUUUUGGUGGAUAUGCUUUUUAGGGAUACGGGUGUCGGAAGAGAUAAGGAUUUGAUGCAAAGAUACAACGAUUCUUGAAAGAUAUGAUAUGCCACAUGUGAAAAUAUCAACAUGCUGUAAGUUGAUAGAUAGUCAAUUAAAAUUUGUUUAGAUAGCACUUUAGAAGAAAAAAAACAAAAUUUUAAAUUUAUCAGAUCAACAACAACAGCAAAAAUUAAGAUAAAAAACAAAAUUUAAUCAUUUAUCAAAAUCAAAACCAAAAGUAUAUUUAAAUUUUUUUAUUUAUUUUCUAGAAAAAAUUCUUGCGAUGAAUUUUUUAUUUCUAGAUUUUGAUUUUGGGCUCGAUUUUUAUAAUCACUCAUUUCACCACUUGAAUAUAUGAUUAUUUUUUUUUAUUGUUUUAGUCGAUUUUGAUUUUGGAUUCUUCUAUAAGAAUGAUUCCCUACGCAGUACACCACACUAAAUGAUAAAAAUUCUCCAACAAUAAAACUUGUUAAGAAAUAUAUAGUUCUUCCACAUAAGAACUAAGUUAGUUAAGAACAUGCAUUGAAGAUGUGGUAAAAGCAUAUUCAAUAAAUCAAUGGUGUUUAUUUAAGCAAUUCAUUUGGAAUUUUUAGUUGAGUCCAAAACGGGUUCCACUAUAUGUAUCAUUAUAUUUAAGCAACUAACCAGCAUUUAUUAUAUUUCAAUGCUACAACCCUUUAAAAACUUAUAAUAUUAUUCUUUUUAUUUGCAUUUGAUUUUUUUUCCAUUAAAAUAUUAAUUUCAAACCACUUUUUUCAUAAACAACUACUUUUUAUAUAAGUAACCAUGCUUAAAUUUAAGCAAUCCAUUCUACCAAUCACAUCAACUCCAAUAAUGAAAAUAAAUAAAGAAUGAUUUCAAAAUUUACACAAUCCAGUAAAAAAACUCCAUUAAAAUUACUCUAAAUUUAAGAAAGAUUUAUUAUGUUUUUGAUAGUUAAACUUUUCCGGACUUCUUUUAGUCUAAAUCUAAAUUUUGAGCUAAGAAAAUCCCUAAACAUUUCUUUCUUACAAUUUUUAGUUUGUAUUAUCAAAUAAUAACAUUAAUUGAUAUUAUAAUAAUAUGGUUGAUAACUCAAUGACUUAUUAUGUCAUUAAGGAGUUGAUGACAUUAGAUUAUCUGAUAAAUAAUUUAAAGUACAUUUUACUAAAAAAAAAUAUGUGACUAUUUUAUCACAUUUUUUGGUAAUGUGAUAAGUUAUUAGAUCAUUAAUGUUGUUAGGUCAUUGAUUAAUAUUUUAUUUAAAAAUUACUAAAGUGAUAAUAGAGAACAAAUUUAGAAACUUUAAGUGAUCAAAAUUUAAAUUAAGAAUAAGCCCACCCCAAAAAAAUUACAAACUAAAAAAUAGCAAGCCCAUGUACAAAUCUCAUAAAUAAACUAUUCUAGUAAAAGAUAUUUCAUUAUUUUUUUUGUCUCCAUCUUUCAAUUAAUUAAAAAAAAAGAUUAUAACUAAUCUAGAGUUGGACAGAGAUAAGUAAAAUAUGAUUUAGAAUUCUUUUUAUUAAAUAUCAAACUCAUAUAUGAUCCGACAAUUUAAUCUUAAGUAUAACAUAUUAAAUUUUUGGAGUGAGUCACUUACUUGCUUAGAUACUUCAUCGUAUAAUAUAAAAUGCUAAACACGUGCUCCCACGUAGAGGUGACGUAACUCUUGUAUCAUUUCUAAGUCAUUGACUAUAUGACAAUGGAGUUUUCUUCACUUCAUGCAAAAACAACUUUUUUAUUUGAUUUAAUUACAUUUUUUCAUCUUAUUGUUUAAUUAGUUUUUGACAAAUUUUAUUUUUAAUAAAUUAAUUGAACACAUUUUAUCUCUUAUUUUUUUUAAAAAAAAGAUUGCAAAUUUUUUCUUUUUUUUAUUUUACUCAUAAUAUAAUUAUAAAUUUACCCCUAAAAAAGUUGGGCAUUUGAGGAGAGUUCUAUGUUGGAUUUGAUGUGGAAGAUAUAUUUUUUGUUUAAAUUGAUUCUGUUGGUUUUUAAACUGCCGAAAUUAUAAUUUAACUUUUUAAAAUGAAUAUUGGUGUUUUCAAAAUGGUCACAAAUCAUAUUUUGAAAUUUUUAACCAACAUGUUGUCACAAUUUAAUUAACGACAUAUAUAUAAAAUAAAAAUUUUCAUGUAUUGCGGAACUAAUACAAAAGAAAAAAAAAAUUAGAAACUCAAAAUAAAAUCCGAUUAUUUAUGACGGAGUUAAAACAUAUUUAACCAAUAUUUUAUAAAGUGAUUUGAAACCUAUAUUGCAAAGUCUAGAAAAAAAGUUUUUAAAAAUCGACUAUAUUUCACAUAAAAUAAAAAUAUCUAAACCUUAUGUCAUCUAUCAUGCACCUUUGAUAACCUUUGUAAUUGAUCUCGUGUCCAUGAAUACUAGUCCUGGCUCCAUAAAAGGAGAACACCGUAGGAAUCCAUCAUAGACAGAGAAACAAGACCAGAGAUAGUUGUUUGAGUGAAGGUUUGAAGUGCUACGUACAAACAAUGGCCAACAAUCAGGAAGAGGUGAUACUUUUAGGAGCUGUGGGAAGCCCAUAUGUGUGCAGGGUGAAAAUUGCCCUCAAGUUGAAGGAAGUUCAAUACAAAUUUUUGGAAGAAAAUUUGGCAAAUAAGAGUGAACUGCUUCUCAAAUCCAACCCAGUUCACAAGAAGGUUCCAGUGUUUAUUCACAAUGAGAAGCCCAUAGCAGAAUCCCUUGUGAUUGUUGAGUACAUUGAUGAGACAUGGAAGAACAACCCCAUCUUGCCUUCUGAUCCUUACCAAAGAUCCUUGGCUUGUUUCUGAUCCAAAUUCAUAGAUGACAAGGUAACUCUACUUUUCUUCUUUUCUUGCUUUGUGCUUAUUAUAUUUGUCCCUAAAACAUCACCUUUCAUGACAUCUAAAUGUUAAAUCUUUGAAUAAGUCAGAGAAGUUGAAGAAACUUCAUUCACUAAGUGUACCAAAUUUGUCUAAAAUCAUAUUAAUGAUAGAUCAAAUUCAUUUAAGAACUACCUCCAAUUAUUAUGAUUUGUUUGGAAUCUUGGGAGAAUUUUGUUUUUUUGGGGUGUCACAUUUGUUUCUAUAUAUAACUAAAUCUAAAUUCUGUUAUCCUAAUUACUUUAUUAACUAAUUACUAAUAAAUACUCUGAUUUAUGAAAUCAGGUGGCGGAUGCUGCAUGGAAAGCUGUUUUCACUGCUGAUGAGAAAGAGCGUGAGAAGAAUGUUGAUCAAUCAUUUGAGGCUCUUCAGUUUCUUGAGAAUGAGCUAAAGGACAAGAAGUUCUUUAGAGAAGAGGAGUUUGGCUUGGUAGAUAUUUCUGGUAUCUUCGUAGCAUUUUGGAUCCCUAUAGUUCAAGAAGUACUGGGUUUGAAGUUAUUAAACAGUGAGAAAUUUCCUAAGCUCAACAAAUGGUGCGAAGAAUUCACCAACCACCCUGUUGUCAAAGAAGUUCUUCCUCCUAGAGACACACUUUUUGCCUUCUUCAAAACUAUCUUUGAAAGACUCAGAAUUUCUAAAAUAGGCUCGUGAAGUAACUAGUGAGAGACUCAGAAUUUCUAAGGAAAAUUGUGUUGACUACUUGUUUGUUAUUGUUGUUAUGAUUUCGUUUCAAAAUGUUGUUUGUAAGUGUUAGGUAAUUCUAUUCCACUGAUAAGGAACAAAUUGUAAAGAUAAUUUUUCUGCCCAUUCUUAUUGAAACUUUAGAUAUUUAAAGAGUAACAUAAUACUGCAAAGCACAAAACUACAAAGCUGAUAAUGGGCAUAACAGAAAUGCCACCUAAGGAAUAACAGAAUUCCAAUAACAGCCUAAUGAUUGUCUAUCAGAGGGAGAGGGAAUUCUUUAGCGGUAUCAGACAUAAUCCUCCAAAUGAGUGGGCCUUCUGGUUAUCCAUUUGGGUUUUUAAUCUCCCUAGUUUGAAUUGCUAACAAAACCCUCCCUAGGAAACUCGACAUCAUCCUCGAGGUCGUACGCAUUGUGCAAGGUGGUCCAUUCUUCCCAAGAGGCAUCCUCUGGAGUGAGGCCGUUCCACUGCACCAAAACCAUACAUGAAGGUGUUGUUGUUAAAUGAUCCCAUUUCCAAUCUAAGAAUGACAAAGGUUCAACCACCGGAUGGUUCUCUGUUUGGAUGGGUGGGAGAGUAGCGGUUUGAGUGGGUGAAGGUCCUUUGUGCGCUUUCAAGAGUGAAAUAUGGAAUACAUGAUGGAUUUUAGAAUCCAUCGGGAGUUCAAAGUGGUAUGCUACAGGGCCUACUUUAUCUGUUAUUGGGAAGGGUCCGUAGAACCUCUUUGAAAUUUUGGUGUAAUAGGGACACACAUAGGUUUGGCGAUAAGGCAGUGGGCAGACGUAUACCAAGUCUCCAACAUCAAAUUAUAUAUGACAAUGAUGUUUGUCAGAAUAGUGUUUCAUGGCCUCUUGUGCUUUCCGUAAGCGUCUCUGUAACUGAAUAUGAGUAGCUUGGCGUGACAUUACCAUAGAAGUCAUGACUUCCAUCGGAGAAGAGUCGAGCAAUGAUGAUGGAGGGGACGGGGGAGGUUUGUUGUAUGUAUCUUCGAAUGGUGAUAGCCCUGUACUAGAAUGAGUGGAAGUCUUGUAACACCAUUCUGUCAAUGUCAGGAAGUUGUACAAUAGGGAUGGACGAUCAUGCACGAAUGAACGUAGAUACUGUUCCAGAAUGCGAUUAAGGACUUCCGUUUAUCCAUCGGUCUCUGGAUGGUACACGGUGCUAAAUCGCAACUCGGUGCCACUGAGUCGAAAAAGUUCUCGCCAAAACAAGCUAAUGAAGAUUGGCUCUCGAUCUGAAAUGAUACUCCUGGGGAAACCAUGCAACUUGCAGAAGAUGUCCAUAAAUAGGGUGGCGACCUUGUAUGCGGAAUGGUGUGGGGGUAAAGCACCAAAAUGGGCCCCUUUAGAGAAACGGUCGACCACCACCAAAAUUGUGGUAAAGCCAUGGGACUGGGGAAGUCCCAUGAUGAAGUCCAUUGAAAUGUCCACCCAAAUUCCAUUUGGUAUAGACAGAGGUUGAAGGAGGCCUGCUACUUCCUUGGUCUCUUACUUUGUUUGUUGGAACGUAGGGCACUGAGACACAAAACGGUGGACUAAAUUGCACAUUCCUUCCCAAUUAAAAUUAUCUUGAAUGCAACACAAUGUUUUCAUGAUUCUGAAAUGUCCCCCCAGGGCUAUAGAAUGGUAUUCAUGCAGUAAUAAAGGAAUGAAGGAGCAAUCAAGAGGAAGCCAAAUUUUGCUAUGAUAAUGAAGGAGGUCCCGUCAAAUGGAAUAUUCCGGGUGGGCAUUUGGAUGAAGCCCAACCUUGUUCCAUAAGUCCAAAAAAACAGGGGACUGCUAAAGUGACCUUUGUAGGUCUACCAAGAAAUCGAAUGCUGAAGUGAGAUGGUGAGAAGUUGGCCUUGGUGUGGCAUACGGGACAAUACAUCCACGUCGACAUUGCCGGAGUCGGACCUAUAUUCAAUUGUGUAAUUGUGGCCCUGUAAUUUGGACAAAUAAGUUUGCUGCUUGGGUGUUUGUAUUACUUGUGUCAUAAGUUCUUUUAAGCUUUGAUGAUCCGUGAGAAUGACAAAUGGGUGUCCCAGUAGGUAAUGUUGCCAUUUGUGCACCAUGAUGGUUAUAAUGUGCAGUUCCCUGACAUAGGUUGAGCUGUGUUGUAAGCGGGGGUAGAAGAGUUUGCUGAAAAAGGAUAUUAGAUGAUGUUGUUGAGCCAGCACUGCACCCAUUGUGAAACCAGAGGCAUCGAUUUCUAGUGUGAAAGGGAUGGAGAAAUCAAGAGGAACCAAAAUAGAGGCAGUGGUCAUGGCGUGUUUCAGUUGGUCAAAAGCAGCUUAUGAGUCUGAGUGCCAAUGGAAUUGGUCCUUGUGUAGAAAUUGGUUAAGUGGUGUUGCGGUCAGUGCGUGGUGCAGGCCAAUCAACCAUGGCGCUAAUUUUAGAUGGUCAAAGGCCACCCCUUCUGCAGACACUACAUGGCCUGGGUAUUGAAGAAAUCAUUUGGCAAACAGGCACUUGGAUUGACGAAGGUGAAAAGAUCCCUGAGACAACAUUGCGAAUACUUCCUCCAAAGGGAGCAUGUGGUAGUGAUGAAUUGUAGAUGAGUAUAUCAUCAAAGAAAACAACAACAAACUUACACAAAAAUGGUUUAAGCAAUUCAUUCAUUAUCUCCUGAAAAGUUGUCAGCGCGUUACACAACCAAAAGGGCAUUAUGCGAUAUUUGUAAUGACCUUGAUGUGUUUGGAACGCCAUUUUAGGGAUGUCUUCGUCCGCCAUGUGUAUUUGAUGGAAACCUUGACUAAGGUCAAGCUUAGAGAACCACGAAGCUGAGUCUCAAUUCAUCUAGUAGCUCUUCGAUAGUGGGCACUGGGAACCUAUCCUUCUUCUUCAUGAGAAGGAUUGGAGAAGAAAAGGGAUUGUGGCUAAGUUGAAUGAAUCCGACUUCAAGCAACAAUUGAAUUUGUUUCUCCAAUUCAACUUUCUGGCUGUGGGGGUAAUGGUAUGAUUUUACAUUAAUGGGUUUGGAAUUUGAUGGAAGGUGAAUGUGAUGGGAGAUAGGGCGGGGUGGAGGGAGCUAGGUGGCCUCGAUGAAAAUUUUUAGCAUAUCGGAAAAGGAGUGUGCUGAGUUCUGGUGGUUCUGUGUGUUGGUCAAGGCUCAGGGAAGGUGAUAUGGGGUGAUCUUGGGUUGGAUCUGGUAUGGGUGUGAGUAUGAAAAGGGCGAAAAAUGCUUGUGUUUUGAAACAUGUGCUUCAAUUGGUGAGCUGAAGCAAAAACUAGGCGAACGGGAAUAUCAACAACUAAUUGGACCGGCUGGCCCAAAUAGGUGAAAGACAUUGAAAGUGUGGUGUAGUCAGUGGUAAUCGGGCCCAAUUGGCGAAGCCAGUGUACCCCGAGAACAAUGUCGGCUCCACUGAUGGGUAGGGCAUAUAAAUCAAUGGUAAAGGAAUGACCCUGGAUGCUUAUCGGCACCUGAGGGUGGUAGUGGUUGUAGACCAUGACCCCGUCGUUACCCACCAUGACAUUGAGGGGCUCUAUCGCAGAGGAGGUUAAGUCCAAAAACUUAGCUACCCUCAUUUGUAUAAAGUUAUGCGUACUGCCCCCUAUCAAUGAGUAUGGUUAGCUGGUGAUCAUUAAUGGUGUCGUAAAGACAAAAAAUUUUGGAGCUGGCAUAUCAGCCAUUGCGUUGAGGCUAAGGUGGGGAGUAUUGGUCUGGUAAAGGCAAAAGGCAUUAGCUUGGAGGGCAUGUGGGUCAUCCGGCACCAAAAGAGGGUAAGGGUAUUCAAUAUCAUCCUCGACUAUGAGGAGAUGGAAAUGGGGCUAACAACGGUGGAUGGAAGUCCAUUUAUCAUCACAAUGAUAACAAAGACCUUUAUCGCGUCACACAACCAUCUCCUCCGGGGAUAAUCUUUUGAAGGGUAUUUUAGGUAGUGGUUUUGUUGGGAGCACAAGUGGGGAAAGAGAACAGUGUUGUUGAGUAGCACAUCGACAGUCAAUAAUUUUUUCCGCCUUGCGAAUCGCAUUGUCAGGUUACCACCAGCGAAGGAUAAGGAGACAAGCUGAAAGGCUUGGACCUCGCAGCACAAUUCCAGGUUGAGACUGGAAAUAAAACAACUAAGGAGGGACGUCGGUGGUAACCGAUAACUGUGAAAUAUGAGCUAAUUUAAUAGUCAAUUUUGGCUAAUAAAUGGGUGUAAUUUCUUUACUUUAUUAUUGUUUUUAAGGAAAUAAUGAAGAAAUUAACAUCUUUGCAAUUUUUUAUUAGCAAAAUUCAAAAGAAGAUUUCAAGUGCUUUAGAAGAAAAAUUGGUGCAAAAACUGGAAGAAAAAACCUUGAUGAAAAAUUGAAGAAUUGUACAGCUCGCUCAACACACACUCUCACAUAGUGGGCAAAGUCAGACUCAAUGCGCAAUCUCGCUCAGCGUGCAACUCGGGCUUAAUGUGCAGUCUCGCUCAACGCACAUGUCAGACUUAGCCUGAGAAGGUCCAUGAGGAAAGCCCAAGGUGCACUUAGCGCGCAAAUGCGUGCUUAGCACGAAGUCAGCGUGAAAAGUAAGCUACCUCAUGCCUAUAAAAGGAGUAGGAGGCAGAAGGAAAACACACACUGAAUCUCAGAGCUAUCCAAAAAUUGGGCCUAUCCUUUAGGGGAAACCUUCUUUCUUAAUCAUUCCCCAUUUUCUUGUUAUUAAACUCCCUUGUAAUGUAACUGUUUUUCUUAUCUAUUAAUGCAAUUUCAAUUUUCUAUUCUCUUUUUUCUACUUUUCAUCUCUAUUGUGUGGUUUCACUACUAAAAAAGUGAUUUUUUAUGACGUCAAUUUUACAUCAGUUGGAAAAAACUGUCUUAGAAAGAACACGGUGGCAUUUCCAUAAAUAAUUAUAAUAAUUCUACGACGGUUAUGCAAAACCCUCCUUAGAAAAUUGUUAUUCUAAGACGGUUUUAUAAAAAUCACCUUAGAAAAUUGUGUGCUAUUUUUAAUAUUUAUUGUGUCCCUCUAGCUACUCUUUGUGCUCCCUCAUUCUCGAAAGAGCAAGCGCCGCUUCCACUCCCUCGUCCCGCAGGUCGAAAAUGUCGUUGUCCGCGUCGACUACUUGAUCUCUGACUACGACUGUUCCUCCUCUUCUACCGCCUCCAACGGAGGCCCUUUCUAGAACCUCCUCCGCCUCGUCUUCGACAGAAUCAUGAAACCCAUUCAAACCCUCAACCAAUUCCUGAGUCCCAAACGCCUUUCUUCCUCUGUCACCGCUACCGCUGCCACAUUCCCUUCCUCCACCUCCUCCCUCGCCGUCGAUUCCGACGAAGACUUUGACGACGGCGUCACCCACCACUCCCCAACCCAAGUCCUCAAGAACUUCAACGAGAUUUUCCUCCUCCGGAUCGAGUUCCCUAGCAGCGACAAUCAAAGCAUCACUGACUCCUUCUACACCAACGGGGACCUCAAACUGCGCAUUGUUUGGACCAUAAGCUCCCUCAACACUGCCUCCGCCAGACAUUACUUGGUUCAACUGAUAAUCUCUGAGCACGCCACCCUCGACAAUUUGUUGCUCACGAACGCCGAUGCCCAAGGGGUGUUUUACAUGAACCGGGAGCAGCUGGAGGAGCUGAGGGUGAAGCCGCUAUCGGCGUCGUCGGCGUAUUCUUACAUGUUAUUCUUAGCGGGCAUAUGCUUGCAGCACUACAUGUUUUUUUUUACGGUAAGGUGUGCAUUUCUUUCUUCUUCUUCUUUAAAUUUCAAAUUAUCCUUGAUGGGAGCAAAAAAUGGCAGCUUUCUUGAUGAAUCUUGGUCUGACAUGGUGGAUUUGAUUGGAAAUAGAAGAUUUGAUUGAGUGUUUUGUCUGAUUUUUGUGGAUCAAUCUUGCUUGGUUUCCUUUUUCAUAGUAAUGUUCUUUCUGCUUUGAGCUCUGAUUCAUUUAUUCACUACUGUUUCAAAGCUAUGUCUAUUUUUGGCAUUGCUUGCCAUUUUAAAGGUUCCAAUUCUAGAUUUUGGGUUCACAAUGCUUUGUCAAUGCACUGUUUACAAAUGAAUUUGGAAUUGUAGUCCUUGAUUGAGUUUUGUGCUGUCUUGUGUUUUAAUUUAUGUGUGGCUAAUGAAUUUGAGCCGUCUUAGUUGUUUUUACUUUGGUACCAAUUAUUUUGAUCUUGUAUGGGUUGUUUGCUUUUGUUUGGAAAUUAAUAUCACCAACAUAUGACCUUAAGUUGAUGAUUUUUUUUUUCUUUUUUGCAUUGUUAGACUAGCAAUAUUUUCCUUAUUUGUUCUCUCGAUGGAAACUGAGCUUUCCUUCCCACAAGCUUUGUUUGAUUCAACUUGCUGCUAAGUUGUUCUGUAUUUCCUUUCCUCUAUUUAUUGCAUCAAUCCAUAAAUAGGGCUGCUUUUUCUCCUUAGGUGCACUUCUUAAAAUGCUUUAUCAUUUUCGUGUAGUCCAUGAAUUUCAACACACUCAUAUCUUACCAAGAGGCUUCCUGUCUUUCUCUCUCUCAUAAAAUGUUUUCCAUAAAAUAAAGUAAUUAGCAUAACAAUGAUUUCUAAUUUUCUAUGAUUUUUUUAUGCUCCAUGAAACACUUAGGGUCUUAAAACAAUCAUUUGAUUCUAUGGUUAUAUAAGAGCGAAUAUUUGUUUGAUAUAGGGUGCUAUUGUGAAUUCCAACAAAUAUUUAUUUAUUUAGAUGAUGCUUUUUCCUCUUUCUUUUCAUUCUUUACAUGUUACAGUGUUGGAUCGGAUGUAGUAUGUGUCGUUAUUGUGGUGUGGGCUUGUCAGAAUCAAAUUUUGACAACAAGCAACAGGGACAUGAGAGUAGUCUAAAGUUGAAUGUUAAAGUUUCCAUUAGGCCUUGCAAAUCUUGUGGAGAGAAGCUAGAGCGAGCAAAUGUGAAAUGGCAUAGUACAAGUCCUUAUGCAACACCACUUAUCAGUUCGACUACAUGUAUAACUAAGUACUGAUAGUUGUGUCUCCACUUGCAGUAAUUACUAUCCCCUUGUCCUCAUUUUAUAAUGUUGAUGAUAUUAGUCUUAUAUGACAAGAUGGUCUUUAUAUAACCAAGUCUUUCUUCAAUAUAUGAUAUUUCUUCAAUAUCUAACUGCCUCCUUGUUUCUAUGUUUUUGCUUUGCAAUAUGUGAAACGGAUUUUCAAACACAUACUAAAUAUAUAGAUAUUUAUUUGAAUUUGUGUUUGAUGAGUCAUGAUUUUGAAUUGUACGUGUAGGUAUGGAGAUAUAUUCAAGACAAACAUAUUAGGGUGUCCUUGUGUGAUGAUAUCAAGCCCUGAGGCAGCUAGAAUUGUGCCUGUGACUCACGCACAUCUCUUCAAGCCAACGUACCCUCCAAGCAAAGAGAAGUUGAUAGGGCCAGAGGCUGUGUUCUUUCAACAAGGUGCCUAUCACUCCAUGCUCAAGAGGUUGGUUCAAGCCUCAUUUUUACCCUCCACAAUUAAGCACUCAGUCUUUGAGGUCGAGCGAAUUGUCAUCAAAAUGGUGCCAACUUGGACCAACAAAACUAUCAACACCUUUGCAAGAGAUGAAAAAGGUAUCACACAUGACAUAACUUAACUACAUCUACACAUAUGUCGAUCAAAACUUUUAGAAUUAACCAUAUCUUAUCAUAUUAAGAGCAUGCUACUUAGUCGGCUUAAUGGUGGAAAUUUGAAUAAUAUGCAUGAGCUUAUAAAUUGUAAUCUUAGUUUGACUUUUGUGUACCAAAAAAUAUUAAGAAUCACGAUAAAUAUUAACUUCAUUUUGGUUGGAUUAUAGUAGAAAGAGGAAUAACAAGAAAACGAAAAUGUGAUAAGUAAUGUGAUAAAAAUUAUUUAUUUCAUUAUAUGGAUUUAGAAUCUCAAGAAAUUUUCUUGGUUUUAUUUAAUUAGUAUGCAUUUGAAGUAGCUGCAAUCUCAGCCUUUGGGGAAAUAUAGGAGCUUGAAAUGGAAGAAAUCAGGGAGCUCUAUCGUUGCUUGGAGAAGGGAUACAACUCUUAUCCAUUACAUGUUCCUGGAACUUCCUAUUGGAAGGCAAUGAAGGUAUGUAAAAUGUAUUUCUUAUUAUCCUGUUUUGUAUUUCUUGCCCUAUUUUUGCAUAGUUUGUGCAUUUUUUUUUUGGAAAAAUGUAAAUUAUAUUAAACCCAAAAUGAUACAACAAUAAACGGGGCAUACCCCAUAGCUAGAGAAAAUCAAAAGUCUCCCUAAUACAAGAAGGCCUAUAUCAAGAUGUUAAAACAAAUGCAACAGGUGCGCUUAUCUAUACAUAAUAAACUUAAUCUUGCUAAUAACCUCUAUUAUAGAAAAUUGGUAAUCUUCAAAAAUCAGCUUGUUCCUAGACAGCCAGAUGCAGUAGACUGUAAUUGUUAUAGUUAGACAACAAAAUUUUCCUUGAACACCUGAUGUGGAUCGGCCCCUAAUUAAAGAGUCAGUAAUACGCUGCAAAGAAGUGAAACGCCUGCGGAAAGGAGCCAAAUCACGAAUGUGAGCCCAAACUUGGAGAGAUUUCCUGCAAGAAAAUAACAAAUGAACAUUUGACUCAGCCUCAUUUGAACAUAAAGGGUUGAGGGAACCCUUGUUCAAAAAAGCAGCUUUGUCAAGAGUAAGCAGCCGGUUCCUUUUAGCAAACCAUAGAAUGAAAGACAUCUUAGGGGGGAUUGCUGGGUUCCAUAUAACAGAACACCAACUAACAGUAGGCUUGGCACCUCUAAUGUAUUCAUAGACUUUGCCAACAAGCAAUUGUUCAUUGGUGCUCCAAGAUUGAAUCCUCUUUUUGGCCUCUUCCGUACUUAGCUCUUUGGAGAUAAUAAAGUCCCUUAUUUGAAUGAUUUUCUUUAUCAAAAUUGAAUCUGAUGAAGAAGUAUUGUAAUUCCACACAUCGCUCCCUUUGAAAUAGUAAUGGUGAAACCCAUAGAACCCAUAGAGAAUCUUUCUUACAAUGAAAGUCCCACAGGAUACGGGAAAGAAGCGCAAUGUUCCAGUCCUUGAGAUUAAAAAGGCCUAAACCCCCUUCUUUUUUCAAAGAACAAACUACUGACCAAGCAACCAAGGGCUUGUUUUUGCCAAUAUCUGCUUUGCCCCACAGAAAAUUACGACACGAAGCGUUGAUCCGGUCCAAAACAGAUUGAGGCAAAGGAAAAAUCCCCAUCCAGAAAUUCAUAAUUCCUUGAAUAACUGCUCUGAUCAACUCUGGCUUACCUGCAUAAGAUAAAGACUUCUUGCUCCAUCCCUGAAUCAGGCCAGUAAUCUUGGAAAGCAAGGGAGCAUAAUGGCAUACAUUUAAUCUAGAUGAUAAAAGGGAACACCCAAGUAUCUAAAAGGGAAGCCACCCAAGCUAAAUCCAGUAAGCUGUUGAAUAUGAGAAAGCUCAUAAGGCCUAAUACUGACUGAAUAUAUGGAAGAUUUAUCAGAGCUGAUGGAAAGCCCUGAAACCCUAUAGAAGUGCUGAAGCUUGACAAACAUAGUUGACACAGAAGGGAUAUCUCCUCUAGAUAGAAGCAUAAUAUCAUCUGCAAAAGCCAAAUGAGAUAGUUGAAUACCUGCACAGUUGGGAUGAAAUUUAAAAUUGGCAUCAUCCUUGAGGCUGCUCAUAUCUCUGGAAAAGUACUAUAAACAAAGCACAAACAGAUAAGGGGAGAGAGGAUCCCCUUGUCUAAAACCCCGCUGCCCUUUGAAGUGGCCAUAAAUGGAUCCAUUGACUGCCACACUAAAGGAAGUGGAAGAAACACAUUCCAUGAUCCAAGUACAGAACUGGGUUGGGAAGCCAAUGGACUUAAGCAUCCAAUCCAAGAAUUCCCAGGAAAUGUAAUCAUAAGCUUUAUGCAAGUCAAUUUUCAGGAGGCAUCUUAGAGAGGAUCUUUUUCGUGCAUAUUUGCACAAAAUCUCUUGAACUAGGAAGAUGUUGUCCACCAUCUUUUUGUUCUUAAUGAAGCCAGUUUAAGUUUCCCCAAUAAUAGUCUCAAGCACUAGGGCUAUGCGGUUGGCCAGAAUUUUAGACACAAUCUUGUAUAACAAAUUACAACAAGAUAUGGGUCUAAAAUGGUUAACCUAGGAGGCCUGAUCGUGCUUAGGAAUAAGCGCAAUAAUAGCAUGAUUAAUCUGCUUUAAAAAAAUUUAAGUUGUAAAGAAUUCAUUAACCGCCUCAAAGAUAUCAUCACCAAUGAUAUUCCAAGCCUUCUUGAAGAAUAAAGCAUUGAAACCAUUUGGCCCUAGAGCUUAAAUAAUUAUUGCAAAUCGUUAGAUAGUACGAAUAAUUUUGAUACGAAUGGAUUACGAGAGAUAUUUCCGUACGAAUCAUUAUGAGACAACGUGGCAAAAUUUUAUUUAGUUAAACAAUAAGUUAAAACUUUUAAAAGAAUAAAAAUAAAAGCAAAGAAGUGGGACAAGACCCAUGGUGUUCAUAUACAGUUUUUGCUAUAAAAAAAUUCCAUACCAUAUAGCCUUUGCAUAAUUAUUUUCAACCAUUUGUGCAUAAUUAAAAGAUCAAUCUUAGUAUUAAAAAAAAGACUAAUCUAUUUUCAACCAUUUAGUAACUUUUUUUAUCAGGGAUAUUAAUUUGUUAGGAAGAAAAAUUAAACUCACCACUUAUCUCUUCUUUCUUCGGCUUCAACUUUCAAAUUAAAUUUGUAAGUCUAACCAUUUUGUGUAACAGUAUUAUAUGAUCUUUAAAUUAUGAUAAAAUUCAACAAUUUUACUACAUAUAUAAUAAUAUAGGAUUGGACUGUGGUGCUAACACACACUACUAAAAGAAGCCCUUUUUACCACACCAAUUCUAUGACGGUUGUUUACAACCGAUUUGGAAAGUGGUAGAAUGACAUUUUUGUAAUUAUUGUCACUAAAAAUGCAUUUUACGACGCACAUUCUAAGACAGUUAUUGAAAACCGCCUUAGAAUGUUAUACGAAUUAAAUUUUACAAUGGGUUUUACUGAAUAACCGUCGUAAUUUAAAAAUAAAAAAAUCAAAAAACCGCAAACCCGCACGUACUAGCUAGCCACCUGCUUGUUUCUCCUUUCGCAUUCAAGCCCUAGCUACCCUGUUCUUCAUUCUUCCGGUCCAUUGAACCCUACCCUCUUCGUUGUUCACCAUUGAACCCUUCAAUCUUUGACAAUCCAGCAACAUACCCUAGCCUCUUCUCCUUCCAUUCAACCCCACGACGUCGAGGAACUUCCCGGCUCGAACUUUCAAGUUCGUGAAGAAAUUAGUUUGAAUGAAGGAGUGGUAGUUCGUGAAGAAAGACAUUGGAGUCACUGCAAAGAAACCAGGUUAGUGAAAAAAUUAGCUUAUUUUACUCAAGAUAAGGUUGUCGUGGUGUUAAAUAAAGGUCGUGGGUUCGAUAUAACCUAGUUUUGCUGAUGAUGUUUGGUAAUGGUGGUUGCAGGGAAGAUAUUUGAUGUAUUGAAUGAGUUAUUGGUGAACAACAGUUGAUACGUAGUUCACUGGGCUGCAAACGGGUCAGUGGGCAUUUGUUUAUUUUCUCUGGUUCAUGCAUGUUCGUAUGGUAUCUUGAUAUAUAGUUGAUACUUAGGUUGGUGUUGUUUAAGGGACUUGAGUUGAAUGGAUUGAAGAUUAAUUAUGUUGAUCUUAACAAUUUUUUAUUUCCUGUCUUUAGGGAAAUUUGUGUUUGCCUGCAUUUAUGUGUUUAUAGUGUAUGUAAUUUUAAUUUAAGGUACUAGAUAUAAUACUGUAGGUUUUGUAUUAUAUGAAUGAAUGCAAGGUAUAUGGGUUGGGUUUUGGUAGCAAAAGAGCCAUCUUUCUUUGAUUUUGUGGAACUGAAGUCUGCAUUUUGUUCAUGGUCCUGACCUUAAUCAUAUUUUAAUUUCCUGAGUUCACGUCAGUGUCUGUAUUUGCCUCUUCCAUAACUUCAUUUGGAGAGCAAGUCUCUUCAUUUUGAUUCCCUUCAUUUCUAUUCUAAGGUAAAUGAACUUGCCCAUCUGGUUCUCCAUCUCCAAAAUCAUGCAAAUGAAGCACUUAUGCAAACUUAGAAAUCUCGUAAGUUGUGUGCGCCUUGCAAAGACAAAGAACUUGUUGGGUUUUUUUAGAAGAAAAGAUUUUUCAAAAGAAGUAGUGAUAUGUUAGGCAUUAGGCAAAUGAACUUAUUAAACUUUUAUUCUUUAGCAUUAUAUAUGGAGUCAAAGGGUAACCUAAAAUUAAAAAAUUUCAACAGACAACAGCACUGUAAUCUUAAAAUCAAAGUGAUUGUAUCCUUAAGUCUAAAUGAUAAAAAUAAUAUCCUAAAAAUUUGAAAUAUAACAAAAAUUCCUAAAAACUAGGGAAUUGCAGAUAUUUAGGCAUAUUUUCAACCAGACUCCUAUAUCAAUUGUAAGUGCCUAUAAUUAACCAACAUCCAAAGUCAUGUCUUUGGCAUCAAGCAUUCAAGCUUCUAUGUAUAAAAUGCAAAAGUUUCCCGUUUUGAGUCUUGAAUCCUUGUAAUAUGUAUAUAUAUAUAUAUAUAUAUAUAUAUAUAUAUAUAUAUAUAUAUUGUUGAAAAUUCAGAACUACAUUGCUUAAGGACUUGAGAUACUCUAGAACUUGAAUUUGAAUGAAUGGAGAUAAUUGUCACACUCAGCCCUUAGCUUUUUAUUAACACACACACACACACACACACACACAUAUAUAUAUAUAGUACAAAGAAAGAAAAAGAGAGAGAGAGAGAGAGAGAGAGAGAGAGAGAGAGAUGGGGAAAGCUGCCUUUGGAUAAGGAUUAGACACUCAGCUUCCCACACACUCAACAUGACAACACAUAAAGCUUAAUACAUACUCAACCUCACUCACACACUCAAAACAACCUUUUACCUACACAGUUGUCUACACAAUACAGUUGUAUACAAUAUAUAUUUAACACUCUUCCUCAAGCUGGAGCAUAUAAAUUAAAUGCUCCAAGCUUGGAACAUGAGCUGAAGCAUAAGAAAGAUUCUUCUUCUAAGUUAGAUGAUGCGGUGAAGCUUGAUUGCUUGAUUGAAACCCCUGAUUGAAACUCAGUUGACUACCAAACUGGAAAGGACUGCCUCCAGAUGAAGUUGAUGAUUCCAAAUACAAAAUUUGAUUUAACUGGGGCAGGUUGCUGACUUGUGUGGAUGUCGAGGCUGCUGCUGUCGGAGUGAAUGAGGAUUGAGGAGUUGAUGCACUGGAGGUUGAUCAAAACAUUGAGGGAGAACUGUCAGAAGUAACAAACACAGUGGAUGACGAUGAUGUACUAAAUGUGGAGCCAAAUGCAGACUUAGUGGGCUGCCAACUAAAGUAGAACUUAGACCACAUUGGCAGCCCACUAAGAGUAGACCACCGAAGAGGAAGCAGGGGUGCCAAGUUCAAAAGAUGUGGCAAGACUUGAAGAAGGAAACAACAAAUUCCCAAAAACAAAAGCUGCACUUGCUCCAGGGCUAGACUUCAAAGUGAUUAGUAUUGAUUAGGAGACCACACACUCCCCCUCACGAGAUGGAAGGUGGAGUCAACACUUCCAGCUUGGGAUGAACAAUAAAGUACAAAAAUAGACAAUGAAACAUGUCAAAAAUACAUUGGCAGCAGAUUGAAAAUGACUGAAAAACAUUCAAAGACAAUUGGAAUAUGUUAAACCAUUAAGCAGAAGCCACAACACAAUGCUUAACCACUUAACAGAAGCAAACACACUUAACCACCUAAAAGGUAGAAGCAAACCAAAGCUUAACCAUCAAGAGCAGAAGCUAAACAUGGUGCUUAACCACUCAAGACAGAAGCAAAACACAAUUUUUGAAUGCUUAACCACUAAAGGCAGAAGCAACACAACAAUGUUUAACCAUCCAUGGUAGAAGCUUGACAUCAAUGUUUAACCACCAUGGAUAGAAACUUAAUGACCUUUUUUUAAUAGUAGGGGUUCUUGACCAGAUUGAACCCCCGGGAACAACAAUUGCUUCAAGGACAGAGACAAGGAAGAAAUUGCUGGACAACAGGAUCAACAAAUGACUUAUAAUAGGGUUCUUGACCAGAUUGAACCCUAGGGACAGGGAUAUUAAUCAGUAGACCACACAACAAAUGAAUAAAAGGACAUGAGACAAUGGAGCUGCACAGUAAAGGGUUAAGAGAGACAAACUAAAAGAAGCCUUGUGAGCACUUCUGGCCAAACUAAAAGAAAACUUAAAAAAAAAAAAACAGUAGCAUCCCUACCAAUCUUUCUUCAAAAGUACAAUGGAGGAUGACCAAGGAACAGAAAGAACAGGGUCUAAAGUUGACAUUUUUAGAACCAUAACACAAUGGAACUUCAAAGGCAGCUGGAAGGGGAACCUUGGCAACAUUCAAAACCAUACCAAACUGAGUAACUGCUUUUAAGGAAGCCAAAGCAAUGGGUAACGACAGUGGCCUUAAAUAGGACCAGAACAUGCCAUAGUUCUGUAGACAAAGAAGAAGGGCCAAAAGGAGAGGUUUGAGCGGCUAACGACGGUGGCUGACAGUAGAGAAGGAGAAUACGGGAUCAACAGAGGCCAUUUCUGAUCAAGGAGAAGAAGCCCUAAUGGAGAAAGAGAAGGGAACGCAAGGGCUGGAACAAUCAAGUUGUCAAUACCGGAAAACAGGGAUUGAAAUGUGCCCAAAAGGAGACAACAAAGCUGUUAAAACUGGGUGCACAGUGCCGGAAGAAGCCAUUUCUGACCAAAGAAACGAAACCCUAAUAGAGAAAAAGGAGGAAACACGAGGCUGACACGUUCCAGGUGGUCAAAAUUAAAAAACAAGGGCUGGACCGUACCCAGGACUGGCCGACGAAGCGACUGGAGGUGGUCCGGAGAGGUUCCGACAACAGGAAGGCAGCACGUGGCCUUCACGUGCCGGAAAUGAUGCGUUGCUGAUCACGCGACGUGCAGGGGUCGGUCGCGCUCUUCGAGGUGCACCUAACCCUGGUUUUGCCAGAAAAUUUGACGGCGACCGGAGGCAACGGCGGCAGACAGCGGACGGCGGCCAUAGCAGGUCAUAACGGGAUCGUUCCUGCUCUGAUACCAUGUUGAAAAUUUAGAACUACAUUGCUUAAGGACUUGAGAUACUCCAAAACUUGAAUUUGAAUGAGUGGAGAUAAUUGUCACACUCAGCCCUUAGCUUUUUAUUAACACACACACACACACACACACACACACAUAUAUAUAUAUAGUACAGAGAAAGAGAGAGAGAAAGGGAAAACUGCCUUUGGAUAAGGAUUAGACACUCAACUUCCCACACACUCGACAUGACAACACAUAAAGCUUAAUACACACUCAACCUCACUCACACACUCAAAGCAUCCUUUUACCUACACAGCUAUCUACACAAUACAGUUGUAUACAAUAUAUAUUUAACAUAUAUAUAUAUAUAUAUAUAUAUAUAUAUAUAUAUAUAUUAAAUAAAAGUUGCAUUUUUUAUAUAUGUAUACUUUAGUUGUUUUAUCCUUGAGUCGGCCCUGCCUUUCAACUGGAUGAAAUUCUUAAUUCAAGAGUCAUAACCAGAAAUGUCAAGCUUAUUUCCCUCAUUCUUGUGAAAUGAUGUAUUCAACCAAUCAUUAAAGCUACUAGGGAAGAUGCAGAUGUUAUCAAAGGACAAUUUCCUUGUUUUAGCCUUAAGGACAAGGCUGCUUCUGCACCUGGGAGUAUUGAUAGCCUAGUCCAACAUGAUAUGACUGAAUUUUUGGAGACUGAAGGUCUUGUCAAAGUCUAUGUUAGAAGAAGAAAAAAAGGUGAUUGAUGGUUGUUAUGCAAGAGGACAAUUAUGUGCCUAGAAGGACAAUUUUGUGUGUUUUAUUUAUGUGUAUGGUGUGGUAGUUAUUAUUAUUCUGGGUGUGGUUUUUUUGUUGUGUGUUUGUGAGAGGACCAAGAGAACUCUCUAUUAGGGCUUAAACCUAUGUAAAAUGUUGCUUUACUUUAAUUCUGGUUUAAUCCAAACUUUCAAUAAAUAAAAUUCUUGUCUUAUUUGUGUGUUCGAACUCUUGAAUUUAAGCAAAAAACUCGAAAGAAUGAGACAAAACUGUGUUCUUUCGGCUGGAGAAGUCUCAUUAAAUCAGCUAAACUAACACAAUUAAGGGAGUCUAACUUAGUUAGUUAAGGAGGUGCAUGAGUUGUUAUAAAAAAAAUAACACACAUAUAGGCACAAACACAUAACAUACAUACAUCCUAAUUAAGGAGAGAAUAAAACAUUUACACAGUCCAAUUUUAGGUUUUGCUAAUUUAGCUACCAUACUAAAGCUUUUCUACAUAUACAUGAUAUAUAGACCCAAUAUUUGUUAGAGAAAACUUAGCUAGCAUACUAAAUGCUUUUCUGCAUAUAUAGAUUAUGCAAAUACAAAAUAGAAAACCUUUCCCUGACAAGAACCCAGGUACAAAUUAGAAGCUGCAAGGGCUGGGGCAGGGACAAGGAUAGUGUGUUUAGCAAUUUUCCCAUUGAAGAGUGUUGUCUUCCACCUCACUUUCUUAGAACUUGUAGUUGGGCUUGGGCUCCUUGAAGGAGAAAGAGUAGUAGUAGAACAUGAAGUUGCGCAGCCAUCCUCAUCUUCUCAAUCAGCGCUUCAGUAUUCACUUGCUUAGAUAAAAUUUCCUCAAGUUGUCUCGGGUCAAUCAACAACUUCACUCUCCACACCCCAUUCUUAGCUUUUGGCAGCACUUCAAGCGCUGACCCAUGUGACAAAUUGUCAACAUAAUCACAUGCUGCAGAUUUGCACAUUUCCUCUAAAGACGUGCUUCUUAAAGGGAUGGUAGCCUGUCAUGACCUCUACAAAUUCCUUGGCUUGCUUUAGUCAACUGGACAACAAUGCAAGGCCUCUUUCAGUGUGAAUACCAUUUCCUAUGGUAGCUCAAAACCUGUGUGAAGUGCUUGUUCAUCAAAUUCUACAACUUUUGUUGAUAGAAUGUGUCCUACUGUGUCUCAUGUAAACAUUGCCUUUACUAGCGCUAUUUGUUUUGGUAGUUGGCAUUUCAGAUUAGGUCAUCCAAAUGUUCAUAGUAUGAAAGUUGUGCUCAAAUUGUGUAACAUACUUUUUUAUCAAUACAACAGGUUCUGAUUUCUGCAUUGGCAAGUGUCAUUGUCUUCCCUCUUUCCCUUCCCUUACUCAGUACUCUAGUACCUUUGAACUCAUUCAUACAGCUUUGUAGCAUCCAUCCCCUUUCUUAUCCAGCGCUGAUUAUAUAUAAUAUGUAACCUUUGUUGAUGGUCACACUGACUUGGGUUUUUCUGUUGAAAUGUAAUUAUAAAAGUCUAUAAUCUGUUUAAAUUAUGGUGGGGGGCUAUUGGGAGUUCUAUUGCAAGCUCGAGGUGAGAAGAACAAGAUGUACUAUCAGCAGCACACAGAUUCUCAAGUUGUUGAUAAUCUCAUUGGUGUCAUCUUUGCUGCACAUGACACCACAACAAGUGCUCUAACAUGGGUCCUCAAGUACUUGCACGAUAACACCAAUCUAUUGGAAGCUGUGACGGUCACACUCUUUCUCUCUUUCAUUAUUCAAUUUUAUUUUCUCCAAUUAUUGCUUAAUUUCUCAUUUUUAUACACAUUUUUUUCAUCAUAUCAUCUAUAAUGUUUAGAACUUAAAUCAUAAUUAAUAUGAAUUUUAUAUUUUUUAUUAUUAUUAUCAAUCAAUUUACAUUAUAUGAUAAUAUGUGAUUGAUUAUGUAAAAAUUAAUCAUCUUUGUAUAUGUUAUUUACUCGUAAUAUUAAUUAUUAUUCCAAUUUUUUUAUAUCUUCUCUCUCACUUAAAGUACAUAUGCCCCCAAAGCUUGUCAACUCGUAAUAUUAAUUAUUAUUCCAAUUUUUUUAUAUCUUCUCUCUCACUUAAAGUACAUAUGCCCCCAAAGCUUGUCAACUCGUAAUAUUAAUUAUUAUUUCAAUUUUUUCUUUUCCUUUUUAUCUUUUGUGGAAAGUAUGGUUAUGAUAACUUCAGCUCAUCUCCAAGGCCUGAUUCAAAUUUAAUCUAGUUUUUAUUCUCAUUUUUUAAAAAUAAGAAUUUAAUUAAUAUCUCAAUCAUGCAUGAUUAAUUUUGUUAAAUAUUAGAAAGGUUGUGAAAUAAUUAUAAUACUACUAAACUGAAUUUCAUCAGGUGAUCCAAGAAACAUUGAGAAGUGCAAGCAUUUUGUCAUUCACAUUCAGAGAAGCAGUGACAGAUGUUGAGUUGGAAGGUUACACUAUUCCAAAUGGUUGGAAGGUCCUUCCACUCUUCAGAAGCAUUCAUCAUUCUGCUGACUUCUUCCCUCAGCCAGAGAAGUUUGACCCUUCAAGAUUGGAGGUAAAAUAUGUUGGAAAUUUAACAAUGAGUUUUAAAUUAUGAUAAUGGAGUAUAAAAUAAAAUAACUCAUGCAUAUAUAUCCUUAACAUAUAUGUGAUGUCAAAACCCAUUAUUGCAUUCUUUUUCUAAUCUUAUUGAUGAAUAUCUCUCUCCUUUUACACAUCCAACAACAAAAUAUCUCAUUUAUCUAACUUCAUAUAUAUAAGUGUGCACAAAUUAAAUAAAUGAAUAAAAUAAUACUACAUUAUAAUAAGAAUUCAAGCAAUGAUUUCGGGACUAGGGGUUAUAGAGGGUGGGGGGGGGGGGGUUAUAUUUUAUCUUUUACGUCAGAAACAUAAGGUUAUGAAUGGUUAGAGAUUAUCCUGCUGUAAAGUCCCAUUCGUUACCUAUUUGAAUCUUCCCCUUCUAAGGUGAUUCAGUGUUUUUCACAAUCUUGCGAGUAUCAGAGGCACGUGAUAUAAAUUUGUAGGGUAGUAGGAUAAUUAAUUUAUUUCUCUAUCCUUUUUGCUCAACAGCAGACAAAUAUUGCUACAUAUAUGAUAUUAUAUUAUUUAAUAAUAUAAUAUCAAUGCAUAAUUUUUUCCACUAAUAACAUACAUCAUAUUCAUCUGUAUGACAUAGUGACAUUAUCCUUAAGGUAUUUGUGUAGAAAUUAAGGCUGAGACAUAUAACCACGAGCAAAUAAUGCCUGAAAUAAAAACUUUGUAACUUAACCUUUCUUUGUAGGCAUGAUUAUUGUGACCAAUUAUAUAACAUUUUCCGUUUAUAGAGUUCAUUACAAGCUAAGAAUUAGCAUGGGUCUUGCAUGAACUUUUUUGCAAAAUUAGUUUGUUAGCUACGAUAGAGAUCUCUCAAUUAUAUAGUGCUAGCUGCAUGUUCCUUAAUAUAUGGAAAUGGUCCUUUUUGACGCAUUAAAAAAAAAGGGUUUCUUUUAGAGUGUACAUUCCAAAACAUUAUAGCCACUACUAGAAAAGUGAUUUUGAUAUUUGAGUUAGAUAUCUUUUGAUUUUGACAAAGGUUGAAUCAUAUAUGUUUCAGAUCUAUUGUUGUAAAUUUAGAUUUGGCUCAGAUCUCUUUUAUUUUGAUGAAGUUUGCUUCUUUUGAUAAAUUUUUGUACUUAAUUAUGUAAAUUGUUGUAAUAUGUAAUUAAAUGAUUUUAUAAUUGUUGAAAAUGAUGAUUAGAUUUUUGGUUUCCAUCAAUGUAUAAUUUGUUGCUUAAAACUACCUGACAACAAGGACAAAAAACCACAGAAAAAACCAAAAAAAUAUAAUAAAAUAGCACCAAUAAAAAAAAUUCAACUCUAAGACAAUUAUUAUAUACUUGUCUUAGAAUGGUGGACAAACUAAGUCGGUUAUUAAAUGAUCGUCUUAAUUUGUCAACCAUUCUAAGACGGUCAUUUUAAUAAUUGUCUUAGAUUCACAACUAUGAACAGGACAAUCUAAGACGGUUAUUAUUUAAUCGUCUUAGUAUCUCUAUCAUUCUAAAUCGGUUAAAGAGAAAAUCGUCUUAGAAAGUAGAGUAUACUAAGACGGGUUAGGUGCAAAAACCGUCUUCGUAGAUCUACCUAAAGGUCUUAGAAUAAUCAUCUUUCUAAGACGGUUCAACAACUGUCAUAGUAUAUGUGAUGCCAUUUUACGACAUGCUCUUUCAAGACGGUUAAAAACCGAUUUAGAACGACCUAAUCAACCAACUUAGAAAAUGCUAAUUCUAGUAGUGUUUGGUCAUCCAUGCAUCUGUUUUUAGGGAUUAUACAUUGAGAAAUGAUAAUGUCUAAAAGAAUUGGAAAAGAGCAUCUCAACAUUGCAUUAUUAGGGAUAUAAUGACUUUGUUGUGUCUUUGUAUAUAUCUUCAUACUUAAUUUUAUUUAUGAUUCAAUCUUUACAAAGGGAUUUGGGAGAGAUAAUACAUAAAUUAGUAGAUGUGGGUGAAAAUUGGAAAAGCAGUUAAUAGAGAAAAAUAUUAAUAUUGCAUCAAUGAUAGUUAGGCAUGCUAGGCUUCAACAUAAUUGCAUUUUGAAAUCAUCUUUUGUUCUCUUCUUGUUUAUUUUCUUGUUUAUUUUAUUAUUCUUGCCUUUUUAAAUUUAAUUUCUUUCUUUCUUCUUAUUUCUAUUCUACUUGCUCUUCUCUUGCUUAUGAAUUGGAUAUUUAUCAACACAAGUACAAACAAAGUCCUUGUGGACUUGAUACUCGAUCUUUCAUUUUAAUCUUUACUACUUGUGAUAAAAUUGGUACAUUUGUCAAUCUGUUAACAGUAACUUGAUAAUGCGAUUCGCAAGGCGUUCGAAAUUGGUUAGGUAUUCGUUCACUGUACCCCUCUAUGGCAGCUUGAACAACGAACCCUAAGGGUCAUCAUAAAAAGAUGGUGCAAAUCACGAUUCCAACACUUGAAGCAUGGUUGGCCAAGAGUAAGGAAACAAUUCUUGUACAUCCACUGAUACCACGAAAGGGCAGGGUCUUCCAUAUAGAAUGCGGCUACGGUGAGUCGUUCUGCUUCAGGUAUGCCUUGGUAGUCAAAAAAUUGUUGAAUUUUAAAAAUCCACCCAAGUGGAUCUUGCCAUGUCAAAUUUGGGGACCUCUGGCUUCAUGUGUGGUUUGGUGGACAGAGGAGGACGUGGUGGUGUUUUGGGUGAAGGUGGGGGAAUGGUGAGGGUGGCAAGCUGAUCCAGGAUGAUUUCAAUCUUGUUGUUCAACUCUGUGUGGCCUCUGGUGAGGUGAGCCAUUGCUUCUUCCAAACAUUCAAUUGAAGCUUGGCGGGUAUUGUGUUUCAGCAUAAAGGCACGGAAGGAGGAGCAGGUCGAACCAAAACCAAAAUGUUAGGUAAUUUUAUUCCACUGAUAAGAAAUAAAUUGUAAAGAUAAUUUUCCUGUCUAUUCUUAUUGAAACUUCAGAUAUUUAAAGGGUAACACAAUACUGCAAAGCACAAAACUAUAAAGCCGAUAAUGGACAUAACAGAAAUGCCACCUAAGGAAUAAUAGAAUUCCACUAAAGGAGUAACAGAAUUCAACUAACAGCCUAAUGGUUGUCUAUCAAAGGGAGAGGGAAUUCUCUAGCGGUAUCAGACAUAAUCCUCUAAAUGAGUGGGCCUUCAGGUUAUACUUUUGGGUCUGCUAUCUCCCUUGUUAGAAUUCCAAACAGUAAGUUGUAAUCUAGGAUUUCUCCAUGUCAAAGAUGAUGGAAGCUUGCUUGUGGGGCUUCUAUGGAGGCUGGAUCUUUGAGCUUCAAUGGGGUCCUUUAAUGGUGAUUUUCCACCAUGGGGAUGCAGCGGAAGACAAAGGAAAAGAGGUGAGAGGAGGCGCCAUCCAUUAAGGAAUAAGCCAUGGAAGAAAGAGCUUCACCACCAUGAUGAGCCUUGGAUAAGAAGCUUGGAGAGGAUGCUUCAAUGGAGGAAAAGAAAGAGGGAGAGAAAGAAAGAGGGGGGAGCACAAAAUUGAAGGAAGAAAAAGGGAGAGAAGUUGAACUUUGUGUUGUGUCUCACAAGACUCUCAUUCAUCAAAGUUACAACAAGUGUUACACAUGUUUCUAUUUAUAAACUAGGUAGCUUCCUUGAGAAGCUUUCUUGAGAAAACUUCCUUGAGAAGCUUCUUUGAGAAAACUUCCUUGAGAAGCUAGAGCUUAGCUACACACACCCCUCUAAUAACUAAGCUCACCUCAUUGAGAAGCUUCCUUGAAAAGAUUCCUAAAGAAGCUAGAGCUUAGCUACACACAUCUCUCUAAUAGCUAAGCUCACCUCCUUGAGAUGAGAAGCUAGAACUUAGCUACACACCCCCUAUAAUAGCUAAGCUCACCCCCAUGACAAAAUAUAUGAAAAUACAAAAAAAAAAAGUUCCUACUACAAAGACUACUCAAAAUGCCUCGAAAUACAAGGCUAAAACCCUAUACUACUAGAAUGGCCAAAAUACAAGGCCUAAACGAAGGAAAAAACCUAUUCUAAUAUUUACAAAGAUAAGCGGGCUCAUACUUAGCCCAUGGGCUCAAAAUCUACCCUAAGGCUCAUGAGAACCCUAGGGCCUUCCCUUGGAUCUCUGGCCCAAUCUACUUAGAGUCUUUUAUCCAAUGCCCUUGCGGGGUAGGGUUGCAUCAUUCCCUCCAUCUUGGAAAGGAUUUGAACUCAAAUCCCGAGGUUCUUCAUACUUUGGGCUCCUUCCCUCAACACCUGUAAAAAGAACAAAAACAUAUGUAUUAGUGGUGUUUGGUAUGUUGAAGUAAGGUAAGGUCUGAAAACCCAUUUCCUGGGCAUCUUCCCAUGAAGGAACAUGGUUUCUCACCAACUCAAUGAGUGGUGCUACAAGUAUAGAAAAAUAUGGGACAAACCUUUUGUAAAAGUUUGUUAAGUCAUGGAAGCCCCAAAUUUUUCUUAUACUUGGUGGAGUGGGCCACUCAGGAAUGACCUUUAUUCUCUUAGGGUUCAUGGGAACCCCUUGAUCACUAUUUGAAAAAUUAAGAAAAGUAACGCAAUAAAACAUACCUUUUUCUGUAUUUUCAUAUUGAUUAUUCCUACCAAAAAGUAUGGCAAACCUAAGGUGUCCCAUAUGAGUACCUAAGUUUGUAUUGAAACUAAAAAUAAGAAAAAACCUAUCUAAUGGGUCCCUAUGUACACACACCAUGAAGAUGUUAGGUGUACGAGUGAUUUUACAAAAGAGGGUUGUACCACUCAAAACAUUUAUCAUACCACCUAUUUUAGGGACUUGGUGCCUAAUAAUACCUAUUUUAGGCACCAAAAAAGCACAAGGAUUUAAGCUCUUGCAAACCAAACCCUCAUCCAACAACUUCUUUACUUGAGGAAUAAACUCAAGUCCAAGAGGUGUGGCAAUGCUAGCAAGUGUCUUUAUACAAAAGAGAAAAUGUGGAGAUUGUCUAAGAGGGAAAGUUUCUUUAAUGUUUGUCUUUAUUGUAAAAUGAGUUUGCUUCUUAGCUAACCUCUUGGAGGAGACACUUACCUCCUUACACUUCUCUUUAACCACUAAUGGUUGUCCAUCUUCUUGGGGGUAGAUUUCUUCACUAGAUUCUUCCCCUUUUGCUUCUUCACUUUCACUAGAGGAAGGUGAAGUAAUAGCCUCAUCUUGGCUACUAUAAAUGUCUUGGCCCCUCAUAAUCAUGGUUUUUGUGGUGGGGCAUUGAGAAGUAAUGUGUCCUCUUCCAAGACAUUUAAAGCACUUUAUAGAGCUAGUUUUCUCUUGCAUACUAGCCUUAGGGGCUUGCUUUUCUAUUGCCUUCCCCUUAUCAUCUUUGGGCUUAGAAGGUUUCACCCCUAAGAUGCCUUGACCUUGGUCUUUCUUUGGAUAAGAGUGAGAGCCAUAAGAUUUUGAAGUAGACUUCUUUUUAAGUUGUUGCUCUACCCUUAUUUCCCAAUCUAAGUUAGCCUCUACAUUGUCCUUCCCAUGGAAGUAUGAGAGGUUAAUGUUAGCCUCUUGAGGCUUUCUUUCCUUUUCUCUUCUAUGGGAGUGAGGUCUAAGAUGUGACCUAUGUCUUCCUUCGUAAUAGUCACGAAGUUCUUCACUUAGGCUCUUGCAAGAGUUAUGACUACUAUAGGAGGCAUGUUUUUCUCUUUUCAUUUCUUUCAUUAUUUUUCUUCUUUCUUCCUCUCUUAUUUUCUUUCUUUCAUCUUGACUUAUUUCUUCCACUCUUCUUUUUUCCUUUUUCUUUUCUCUCUUGUUUUUCUUUCCAUAACUUGAGGGAACUUAAAUCAUCUAAGAUUCUAGAUAAAGGGUCUUUAUGACUAGUACCCUUGCCAUUAACACUAGAUGAAUGAUGACUCAUGUUGGUUCCUAAGUUGUGGUUCUUUCUUGUUGGAGGUUUGAAAACAAAAGGUAAAAGAAACUAUGGUUGAAACUAGCCAAAAUAAACACUAAAAGAGGUGUGAAAGAUAAGGUAAAAACUAAUUGGUAAAAUGCAAGCUAUCUAGGCGGUUUGACAAUGGAAAGUAAAAGAAAUAAGCUACGAAAGUAAGCAAGAAAUGUAAAUUAGGCGAAUCCUAAGAGUGUUUGGAUGACCACAUUUAAGGUUCCCAACAAAACACUCACAAUCCUAAGGGAAAAUUGCCUAAAAUUAUUACACACAAAAAGAAGUAGGGUGACCUAUUGGAGGCUCCCAACUUACUUCCAACGAAAGGCCUUUUUGUUACAAAAUUUGAAAGCAAUGAAAGUAAAGUAAAUUGUCAAUUACAAAAUUGCAAAAAGGUCCUCAAUUUUGGUGGUUUUUCUCUCUUUGGUGAUUCACUCAAUUUGGAGUGCUUCUUAGUCCAAUAGCUCAUAAGGUGAUUGGCCCCUUGCUUCUUGACUCAAAUUCUUCAAGGGAUGGCACCAAUCCUCCUUUCCAAUUCCCUAUAUGGCAACUUACAAACAAGGAAACAAAGAGACAACAAUAACCAAAGACCAAAAAAUGAAAUGAAAGUUAAACCAAUGGAAUUUUAACAAGACAUUUUUUUCUAGGAUUAUUCAACAAUUAAAGCAAUGAAAAGGACAUAGAAGCAAGUUAGGACUCAAAGAGAAACUUAGAAUGGCUCUAGAGUAGAGUAAAAAAACUAAAAAAAAGACUCAACAAAACUCUAGCUUUGGCACUUGUUUUCACACUAAUUUUCUAUUGAAAUUUCGGAACUAAGAUUGGUAUAACAUAGGCACCAAUUAUAGAAUAAAUUUUGAGCCAAAACAACAAGCACACUUCCCUUUCACUUUUUUUUUCCUGGAUACUGAUUUUUCUGCCAACUUGUGUGAUUUUUAGUAUUUUUUCCUUUUAUCCAAAUCACUUUUUUCUUUUUGUAUAAAUUUUUUACAGAUGUCUAGAAAAUUCAGUAAAAAUUUCAGCUCAAAAUUCGAUGUAACAAAUUCUCAGUAAUUUUUACAAGUUUAUAUGUCCAAGCUGCCAGCACCAGCGAUUUUUUUUUAAGCAUGGUAUAUUGAUUGCCUUGGGCUUACUUUCAACCUUACUAUGUAUGUAGAACUCACUAAUCUUGUUUACCACAGUUUUAGGAGUUCAAUAUUCACUUAGGAAUAAAAUUUCAGCCAGCAAUUCAAUCACCAAAACUCAAAUUCACAAUAGACACAAUCAUAAGGAAACCUAAAAGUUCAAGAAAAGGUUCACAAUCAAAGACUUUCUAAGAAUUUUGCAUGAACAUGUUAAGGACUAAUUAACAUGCAAGAUUUGACUCAAAUCAAAUAAUAGGCUAAAAGAAUUUCAUACACUCAUGAACAAAUGAGUUAGACAAAGAAACAAGAAAAUAAAAUUCAGCACAACAUAAGAAAUCUUAUGUGACAAGUUUCAUGAUAGACAUGACUUCUAUGACAAAACUACAAUAGGUGAACAAGUCACUCUAGAUUUUUGAGGUUUUCUUCUACUUUAAUAUUUUUGUAAGAAUUUUAUGGUUUAGGUUUCAGCCAAAAAAAAUAACAAGACAAAACUCAAAGGAACCUAAACUCAACAUAAUUCAUGGUUCAAGAACAAGAACAAGAAAUUUGAACCAUAGAAAAUCAAAUCUAGCUUCUAUAGCAAGUUUAAUCGGUGGAAACUCUAAAGAAUCAUGUUAACAACAUUUAGCACAAGACAUGUGAGGAGAUACAUGGAGAAAAAUGAAGAAACAACAAUGGAAGAGAAGGUAAAGCAAAAAAUUUAAUGGAGGUUUAAGGAGCACCUACUUGAAGCUCUUGUGCUCUGAUUACCACUUGAUGGAAGCUUGCUUGUGGGGCUUCUAUGGAGGCUGGAUCUUUGAGCUUCAAUGGGGUCCUUUAAUGGUGAUUUUCCACCAUGGGGAUGCAGCGGAAGACAAAGGAAAAGAGGUGAGAGGAGGCGCCAUCCAUUAAGGAAUAAGCCAUGGAAGAAGGAGCUUCACCACCAAGAUGAGCCUUGGAUAAGAAGCUUGGAGAGGAUGCUUCAAUGGAGGAAAAAAAAGAGGGAGAGAAAGAGAGAGGGGGGAGCACGAAAUUGAAGGAAGAAAAAGGGAGAGAAGUUGAACUUUGUGUUGUGUCUCACAAGACUCUCAUUCAUCAAAGUUACAACAAGUGUUACACAUGUUUCUAUUUAUAGACUAGGUAGCUUCCUUGAGAAGCUUUCUUGAGAAAACUUCCUUGAGAAGCUUCUUUAAGAAAACUUCCUUGAGAAGCUAGAGCUUAGCUACACACACCCCUCUAAUAACUAAGCUCACCUCCUUGAGAAGCUUCCUUGAAAAGAUUCCUAAAGAAGCUAGAGCUUAGCUACACACACCUCUCUAAUAGCUAAGCCCACCUCCUUGAGAUGAGAAGCUAGAACUUAGCUACACACCCCCUAUAAUAGCUAAGCUCACCCCCAUGACAAAAUACAUGAAAAUACAAAAAAAAAAGUCCCUACUACAAAGACUACUCAAAAUGCCUCAAAAUACAAGGUUAAAACCCUAUACUACUAGAAUGGCCAAAAUACAAGGCCUAAACGAAGGAAAAAAACCUAUUCUAAUAUUUACAAAGAUAAGCGGACUCAUACUUAGCCCAUGAACUCAAAAUCUACCAUAAGGCUCAUAAGAACCCUAGGGCCUUCCCUUGGAUCUCUGGCCCAAUCUACUUGGAGUCUUCUAUCCAAUGCCCUUGCGGAGUAGGAUUGCAUAAAAAGAAAUGCAAGAUUGUUCAUGUGUUGAAAUUUUGCUAUUUCAAUUAAUAAAUAUAUAAAAGCAUCUUUGUAUUCUUCGAAGUUAUUACUCCCUAAGAUUAAGAAACUUGAAGCACCGCGCACAUAAUAUGCAAAAGCAGCAACUCUUGCCGUGGAAUAACUGGGUUGGCUUUACGUCAAUAUUUGCUUAUUAACUAGUGUUUUUAUUAUAGGAAACAAGCUCUUAAUUUGGACAAAGAACAUGGGACAGGACCUAAACCGAAGUGGGUCACUGAAAUGGUGCAAUCCAAAUGAAAUGCAAAAGCUGAAUCCCCUGUAAUAAUUACACAAUCUGUCCAAUUGCUUUUAUCUAGAGAGCCUUAAAGCAGUCUUUCUAAUUGUUACUUUAUUGCAAAUGAAGUGCACGAUGGAUCUGUAAUUGAAAAUGCUACUGCACAGUUUAAUACAAAUACAAUGGAUAAAAACAAAAUGAAUGUAAAAGUAAGGAUUCUAAUCGGUUGACAUAAUUAUCUUUGUCCCAAAUGUAAUUUUGUAACUGCAAAACAAAACAUAUUCAAAUUUGGCCAAAUAUCAAACUUUGAGAAAUUAUUAGGAAAUUUAAGAGCAACAAGUGUCUAUGCAUGUUCUCAACCAAUGUUUGCGCAACACAUUCAAAAUGUAUAAAUUAUAAGAAAUAAUUAAUAACACUUUGCUUGCUUCACGUCAUGUGACGUUUAAAGAGUGAUUAUGUGAUUCAGAAUUGCUUAAUUUCUCAUACAAUGCAUGUAAUUUUUAGAAGAAACAAAAUAGUACGUAAAGACCAUUUCUCUUCCUUUUAUUCCAGGUUGCCGUAAUUUUGUGUGAGUAAUUAUCGCUUUUCGAUUUCUCGUUUUAUUCUCUUUCACAAAGAUAUAUCAGAGUUUGUCUGUGGCAUCAUGCUUUAAUCAAACCAACUUAAAAUUCAUGUAUAUAAAAAGAAAAACCAACUUAAUAUUCAAAAUUUUCAUUUGCCUUUUGUUUCUAAAACUGCUACCUUUCUUUCCUUUUUUUUUAUCUUUAUCCAAAAUUUAUUAAAUAACAAUCUCGCGUAGUUUGGGGAGGCACAAACACACCCAUUAUUUAGGCUCCUUCCCUCUAUCUUGUUUUUAUUCUCACUUACACUCUAAGGCAACUUUUCUCUCUUUACGUAUACUCUCCUUUCUCUGCCCAUAAAAAAUUGACACACUUUAAUUAAUCACCCACUCACAUGCGCAUGUUCUGACACACACACCAAAAUCUCUCAUCAGUAAACUUCAAUUCAGAGCGUGUUUGUCCCCGUUCAAGACACAGGAUCUCCGUCCAAGCACAAGCUAUCAAGUGUGUGUUUGAUUUGAUGUUAGAAAAUAUUAUAAAUCUAAAAUUGAUAUUAGAUUGAAUUUUACAUGUUUAAUUUUAUGUUAAAAAAAUUAUAAAAUUAAUUUUAGAUUUAGAAUUGAUUCUAAAUUAAUUAAAAUAAUUUUAAAUAAUUUAUUAAAUUAAUUUUACCAACAGUGUAAGAAUAGCUUCCUAACUUUUUUUCAUACCAAAUGGGAAGUUGACGUGGUUUUGAAGUGAAAGUAUAUAUGUUGACAGUAAAAAGUUUCCACCCACAGCACUCUCACUGGCCUAACAAUAUUUACUGACCCUCCCACGUACUUAUUGUCUUGGCAACCAUUUCUUCAAUUCGAAAUGUCUCAUUUUCAUGCACAUAGUGAUCAUAGUGCUGCUGUGCAAAUGCCACUAGCAAGACUUCAUCAUUGCACCAGUAGCAACCAAGGCAUGCAUAUAUGUCCGUUUAGUUUUGGUACCAAAGAGCAACCAAAGUCUGAGAAUUUAUGCCUUGGAGAAGCUUCACGAAUUCUUUUGGAAAAAUCCGCUAAAUUAACAAUCUUCAAACACUCGAGAUCAGAAUAUAAAAUAGAGAAAAUUUGUAUUUUCUGAUUGAUUGAUUCUGUACAAAGGGUCCUCAAAUAUGUAGGUACAAGAAUCGGCUUAAAAAUUCCUCAAAAAAAUCGGCUAAAAAAUCCCUCAAAAAAAAAUAGGCUAAAAGUGAGAAAAGAAUAAACUAAAUCUAAAGGUAUGAUCCUAGUUAAUUGCAUAAUAUCAGUAAAUCUCCUUAAAAUAGGCUAUAAUAAUGAAAACAAUAAAAAUAAAAUGUAGAUAAAGCAAAGCCAACCAAAUCUAUACCAUAUCUCCAAAUGAGAGUCCCUAUCAUAUAAUAUCCCAUAAUUUUCAUAUCUCAAAAAAAAAACAAAAAGCAUAUUAGCCCAAACAUCACCCGUAGUCCCCACAUGAGCACAAACCACUUUUUAAGUGGUGAAAUCCCUUUCGAAGCAUCAAUGUUAAAUUGUACGUUAAUGUAUGUCCUUAUCACAUAACUAAAUGCAUGUUAAAUCAUGUGCAAAACCAGGUUAGAAAUCGGAAGUACUUUCACCCACUAAGACACACAGGGGAUCUUUAUAUAUAUAUCGUGAGAGAUGAACUGAAAGAACAAUAAGACACGAGAAACUAUAGGUUCAAAGACAGGUUGUCUUCAACGAUAGAUUAUUCGAAAAUUAUCUUUAUCAUCAUUUCCUAUAAUUAUAAAAACUAGACACACAUUACGCGUGGCGCGGGUUUAUAAAUAAUUAAAGAAAUAUUUAAAUAAAUUAUUUGUUUGAUAAAUUAAAUUUAAAAAUAUAAUUAUCAAUGAUAUUUCAUAUCAUUUUUUGUUAAAUGCGACAAAAGAAUUAUGUAUAAAUUAAAAUAUUUUUUAUAUAUUAAUAUAUUUAUAAGAAAUAUUCUAAAAUCAGAGAUUGACCAUUCAAUUAAAGUUGAUUAACGCGAAAAUAAAAAUAAGCGUUGAGUAUAAAUUUUAUGAGGGUAAUAUAAGAAUAAAGUGAAAUUGACAUAAUAAAGCAGUCAAAGAAAUAUAUUUAAUGAAAGAAAAAUAAUCAAUCAUAAUGGUAAAAAAACAUAAAAAUGAUACAAAUAAAACACCAAAAAUUAUUCAUUUAAAUAGACUUUUUGUAUCUUUUGAUGAUGAAGAUGUAUCUUUUGACUUCUUGGAUGGUUGUACCUUUGGACUUUGACUUCUGACAAUUUGUUUAUUCGCCUUUUUUUUUAAUGGACUUUGUGAAAUUUGAUAGACUUGUUCAUUAGAUGAUGAAGAUGUACCUUUUGACUUAUUAGAUGUUUGUAACUUUGGCCUUUGACUUAUAAUUAGUUUUUCACCUUACUCAUCUGAUGAUAUUUGUUGUGGUGAAGUAGGCUUCUUUUUUAAUAAAAAUAUUAAUCAGUGUACAAAACUAUUAAUAUUUUGUACAAGAAGUAAAAAUGAAAAUAAAUUAUAAAUAUGGUUACAUGUUCUUGAGGAGAGAAUCAUGUUGAAUGAUAUUUUUUGAGAUAAAAGUACUUGUGACGGUUUCAAAUCCUUCCUUCAAGUUGUGAGCAUGAUUUCAAAAAUAGAAGUAUAUUUGCAAAGGAUAUACGAUAUUGGGGUAUGUCAGUCUUAUUUGCACUUUGGGUGUGAAGGAAUUCAAAUGUUGCGAUGUUUAUAAUUUGUUGUGCAUCUCGAUCAAACAUUCUGAAUGUUGCUACAGCUAUGUCAUUAGAGACUUUCAAUUGUAUCCUCAACCUAAAAGAUAUUUUUAAAAUUUUAAUAUUUAUUUAAUUAUGUUAUAAAAAAUAAUUCAUUAUAUACAAAAUAUUAAAUCUUGUUGUUGGAUACUUGGAUGGUUGUUUGCAUUCUGUACAAGUGUAUUGAUUUUCCUCUUUUGUAACUUUCUUUUGGCAUCUCUCACAUGCAACAUAAUUCCAACCAAACGUAUAGUUGAUCUCAUUGAUUGUUGCAUGAAUUGUGAACAUAUUAUCCUGUUAUUUUAUAUAUGUUAAAACUAAGAAAAAAAUAAAGUAUUAUUAAAUAUGAAUAUGAAGGUCAUGGUAGGUUAGCAUACUUGUGAUUCUUAUAUUCAUUCUUAUAUCUUGCAAAUAUCUUCUAUUUUUUUACAUUCUCUUGUCAAGAUCAAUCUUGACCGAACUUGAAGAAUUAUAUACAUAAAGAAAAGAAAAGAGAUAGAGUAGUAAGAUAUAUAAAGUGUAAAAUAUAAAUUUUGUUAAAGAUUUUAAAUGUGUGAAAGUAAUCAAACCUCUGAAUUUCUUAACUAUGAUAAAAGUGAUUGUAAUUAUCUUUGAGUCUUCUUCUUAGAUGUUGAUUGUUUUUUCAAAUCCUAAGACUAUGUUUGCCACAAGUAACUUUAACAAUUUCAUUCUUGAAAAUAACCGAUAAAAAAAAGAUGUGAAAAUAUAAUGUUCUAUAUUACAUUCUUCAUUUCCAUGUGAAAAUAUAAAGAAAUAUAUAAUGAAUUCUACAAAAUUAUUACUUAAACAAAAUUUAUAAUUAAUGAUAAAGAAAGGGUAAUUUAUUUACUCUUUUAGUAGCAAUUUCAAUCUCCUUAUUUUUGUUGGUUUGUCAGUGACAAGUACAUCUUCUUCAUUUCCAAGUGCAUGAAGUGUACUAAUAAUGUCAAUAAUAAAAUAUGAGAUAUGAUAGAGUGAAAUAAAUUAGUAAUGCAUUUGCAAAAUAUUAAUGUUGUACUUGUUAAGACAACUCUAUCAUCCAUCUUUGAUCUAGAGUUUUCAUUGAACCAAACUCAACAUAGUGUAUUGGAUGCUAAUGGAUAUGUUAUUGAUUUUCUUGACAAUAGUAGUAAGUAAAAAUAAUCUUUUGAACGAAAAUGCAAAUCGGAUUAAAAUUAAAAAUAUUAAAUAAAUUUAAUCAAUAUAAAAUCUGUUUAAAGUAAUUUAAUUCAAUUUUUUUUUUUUGCAUUUUGUAAUGUGUAAUAUUGGAGAUAGCAAAUAAAAUUAUAUUUGUAAUACUUAAAGUUGAUGUGAAAUAUAUUUCUUUAAAGACUAAUGUGAAAAAUAAAUAAAUUUCAACUUUGUUUAACCAACAUAUUUUUUUAUAGAUUAGUUUGAAAACUAAUUUUAGAUCAUGAACUUUGUUGAUGUGAAAUAUUUAUUUUUUAUAUAUCUUUAUAGAGCAGAAAAUAUAUUAGAAUUUAGAAAUUACUAAUAUGAAAAAAUUGAAUGAUAUGUAAAAUGUAAAAGAAAGUGAUUAUAAAAUACAAUAUAGAACAUUGAAGAAUUUGGGUCUUGAACAUGAGAAGCAUUUGGAGAUCAGUAAGAUUGAAUUGAAAUGAUUUGGUAUAGAUUUUGUUAUGUUGUGAGUAACAUUGAAAAAGAAAGAAUGAAAAGAAAAGAGACGUGAUAAGUACAAAAGUAUAAUGUUCUCCUUCCUCCAUAUCAAUUUUGCUGACAUGACAAUAUAAUAGUCAGGAGGUCAACUUUUAUAUAAAUUAAUUUUAGAUCAUGAACUUUUUUUAUGAGAAAUAUUUAUUUUUAUUUAUAUUUAUAGAGCAUAAAUAUUAAAAAAUAGAAAUUACUAAUAUGAAAAAAUUGAAUGAUAUGUAAAAUAUAAAAGAAAAUGAUUAUAGAAUGUAAUAUAGAACAAAGAAUGAGAGUCAUGAACAUGAGAAAAAUUUGAAGGUCACUAAUAUUGAAUUAAAAUAUUUUGGUAUAAAAUUUUAUUAUGUUGUGAGUAACAUUGAAGAAGAAAGAAAAAAAAAGAUUGACCGACACAAAAGAAGAAUAUUCUCGUUCUUCCAAGUCAUUAAAUUUACUUACUUAAUAUGAGGAAUUCAACUUUUAUAUAUUAUAAAUAAAUUGUCAAUAUAUUAUUUUUAAGAGAUUUAUCACAAUCAUAGUUGGUACUUCCUAAAUAAUAUUUUUUAUAGUAGUGUAUUUUUAGUUACUUAGAUGGCAUUACUAGGGAAUAUUUUGGUUAAAUGAAAUAGAAUAAAAUAAAUUUUAAAAAAAUAUUUAAAUUAAAAUAACAUGAUUAAAGUGUGAGACUCGUUGAAAUUUCUGAAAAUUUUCCUUUUUUUCUUUGUAGAGAAAGUAUAAAAAAACAAAUUGACUUCUAAAAUUUUUCAUAAUUUCUUUGACUUUCUUUCCCAUUAAAAUUUGAAACUUUUUUUUUCCUCUUGUUUUCCUUUCUUCAAAUCAAAAGGAUCAUAAGGUCUAAUAGCUUGAAUAUUUCAUCACAAUUCUGCCACCCGUGAAGACGAUAGAUGGAGAAAAAUUGUAAGAUGUAAUAACGUUCCCACGUACGGGGACCAGUGCUAUUGUAUACUAUUUCCAUGUUGUACAGUUCAAUUCUAUUAUUACGAUUUGUGAUGUAAUCCCUUACAUCACUUCUAAAUACUAAACUCUAAGCAAUUAAUUAACGAUGGAAGUCUUCUCGACAGCGAAGGUAUUUUUUUUUUCUAUUUGUUUCUGGAUUGUUCUCAUGAUUUUAGUGCAAAAAAAAAAAAAAAAACCUAAUACAAAAUAAUUCUUAGUCAACAUCGCGUAGGCUGAAUAUUAUAUUAUACUAAAAUAUUGUACUAAAAUAAUCUUUCUAGCUCUAUAUAUAGCCCACCAAGCCUUAGCAAUUUGAGAACAAAACAAGUGUUUCGAAUAGAUUAUCCUAAGUCUUUGGGAAUAGUGCUGCAAUGGCUUCAAGUCAGGAGGAGGUGACCCUUUUGGGAGCUACUGGAAGCCCAUUUGUGUGCAGGGUUCAUAUUGCCCUCAAGUUGAAGGGAGUUGAAUACAAAUAUGUCGAAGAAAAUUUGAGGAACAAGAGUGAACUGCUUCUCAAAUCCAACCCAGUUCACAAGAAGGUUCCAGUGUUUAUUCACAAUGAGAAGCCCAUAGCAGAGUCUCUUGUGAUUGUUGAAUACAUUGAUGAGACAUGGAAGAACAACCCCAUCUUGCCUUCUGAUCCUUACCAAAGAGCCUUGGCUCGUUUCUGGUCCAAAUUCAUUGAUGAUAAGGUAAUUCAACUUUUCUUCUUUCCUUGUUUUGUUCUUAUUUGUCCCCUAAACACCACCUUUCAUGAUAUCUAUUUGUAUGUUGGAAUAAGUUAGAGAAACAUUUAAAAAAAAAAUUGAAUAAAUUCUAUUCAUUAAUUGUAACAACUUUGUCUAAAAUCGUAUUAAUUGGGGUGGGGUAUUAUAUAUGUUUCACAGUUGGUUGUACAGAAAUAUCAGCAACACAAUUUUUAACAUGCCUUUUUUUCAAUCAUUUUCUAUUAUUAAUUAAAAUUUAUUAAAAAUAACAAGUUUAAGUGAAUCACACUUUUAAAUCUUUCCUAAUCUUGUAAUUUUUAAUCAACUUUAUUCAAUAGUAUAGUUGUUAGAAAGAGUGUAGAGAUUGUUUUGCUAGCAGUUAGCACUACUUUUUAUGCUAUAUAUAUAACCCAGUUAAGUCUGUCCUAAUUAUAAUAUAAAUUAAGCACUAAUAAAUACUGUGAUUUAUGAAAUAGGUUUUUGGUGCUGCAUGGAAAUCCGUUUUCACAGCUGAUGAGAAAGAGCGUGAGAAGAAUGUUGAGGAAGCAAUUGAGGCUCUGCAGUUUCUUGAGAAUGAGAUAAAGGACAAGAAGUUCUUUGGAGGAGAGGAGAUUGGGUUGGUAGAUAUUGCUGCUGUCUACAUAGCAUUUUGGGUCCCUAUGGUUCAAGAAAUUGCAGGGUUGGAGUUAUUCACAAGUGAGAAAUUUCCUAAGCUCCACAAUUGGAGCCAAGAAUUUUUGAACCAUCCAAUUGUCAAAGAAAGUCUGCCCCCUAGAGAUCCUGUUUUCUCCUUUUUCAAGGGUCUCUAUGAAAGCCUUUUUGGUUCAAAAUAGAUUUGAUGAUGUGGUGUGAGACUUAGUAUUUCUAAGAAUUAUGUGUUUGUUAAAGGCUUCUAUGAAAGCCUCACUGCUUCAAAAUAGAUUCAUGUAUGUGAGACUCAGAAUCUCUGGGGAAAAUUGUGUGUGGUGUGGACUACUUGUUUUGUUUGUCAUUGAGCUAUAUUGCUGUUAAUUAGGAUUUUGUUUCAAAAUGAUGCUUAUAAGUUGUAAUCUAGGAUUUCUCCCUUUGAAAUCCUAGGUUGUUCUUGACAUUUGCUAUUUCAAAGAAUAAAUAUAUAGCAUCUUUCUAUUUCUCAAAGUUCUUUCUCUUUAUGAUUUAGAAACUUGAAGCAAAGCUGUGUUUGCAAUGAUUGGAAUUUCUUUGCCAGAUAUUAUGAGGGACAUUGCGUAUAAUAAUGUACUAAUUGCAGUGGUAAACUAUUGCCAUGGAAAGAAUAAUCGAUUAUUGAUUCAUACUAGAACCCAAAAGUUCUAAAGAUCAAAAGAAUCAAUUAUAAUUAAAAAUAAUCAAUUAAAUAUGUUUGAAAUUGUUGCAACUGGUUUUCAAACUUGACUUUUCCUUUCAUUUUUCACUUGCCUAUAAAAGGUUAACUUUCAUGUGAUAGUGAGAGAGAGUAAUUUCAAAUUUUACAAAAGAAAAACUUCAAAAAAAUGAAAAAAAAAUAUUUUAUCAAAAUACAAAAAAUAAAAGAGACAAAAUUAAAUUUUACAAAAGAGAGAAAAGAAUGAAAAUUUGUAUUUUAUAAAAUUUUACCAAAGAAACACCUUCAAAAAGAAUAUAUAAAAAUAAAAGAGACUAAAAAAAACACAAUUUAUUUACAUAUAAUUUUAUCAAAGAGCGAGAGACUGCAGUUUUCUAAUUACACAAAAAAAAAAUGCACCCUUACUUAUAAGUAAGUCCACCACUGCCUUCAACAUUUCUGAAUAAUUAAUAACUCAAAACCAUUGUAUAGCAAUACAGAUAAUUAUACCUUUAAUAUUUUUAGUUACUUAAGAAUCUUAGAUGACAUUAUAAAGUUUAAAAUGAUUAUUAUAAUUUAAUUUGGUAAUUAUAAUUAAAUUCUUUUUUCAUAGGUAGAAUAAUUUAUCACAAUUCUGCAGACAAGUGAAAACGAUAGAACUGUACUACAUAAGAUAACGUUCCCACGCUUAUAAUGUGAACCAGUGUUACUGUGUACAAUUUCCAUUUUGUACGGCCCGAUUCUUUUAUUAGGAUGUUGCUGAUGUGAUCCCUUGCAUCACUUCUAUUCUAUCGACAAUGGAGUCAUCCCCACGCUGCUUUUUCAAUUAUUGUUUCUGGGAACAUGCGAAUAUCUAUUUAACUAUUCACAUCUGUAUGCAUUAAGUUAUGAGAAAAAAAGGAAGUAUAUUUACUUACAAUUCUUUUUAACACAAACUAAAUGAAAAGGAAAAAUUGAAGUUUGUGAUAAGAUAUCAUAGCAGUGUGUGGAAAGUGGAAACACUAAAAAAAAUUAUUACAGAAUGUAUUAUAAUGGUUUUAGAAUAUGAUACUUAUUCUUAAUUUAUCGAUGCCUCCUUACCGCACUUUAUAGUCAACAACGCGUAAACUGAAUAUUAUAUUAAAAGUGAAUUAAGUUUUUAGUCGUGAAAAAUAAGGGUUUUGAAUUUUUUAUCCUAAACUAUUUUCUUAAAAUAUUUGUUCCUUAAAUAAUUUUCAUUAUUAUAAAUAGUAUCUACAAUUAAUAAUUUUUGUUAAGUGUUGAGUUAUUAUUUAAGUGAUCACAAACAUCAUCAUAGAUUAUAGAUGAGGAAAAUAAAUUCUUGUUCAGUGUUGUACAUCUUCUCGUGAGUAAUUAUAGUAUAUUCAUAAAUGUUUAAAGCGUUCGAAUUUAACAAUAAUUCUUCUAUCUUUCUUUUAUAUUUUAAUAAUAUAAUAUUUUAAUUAUUUAUUUAAACAUAAUAAAUACGUGACAUGUAUGUGAUAUUUAUAUUUCAUGAUAUUUUAUCGGUUAACAGAAAUGUUAAAGGCAGAAAUUAUUUUUUGAAAGAUAAAUAUUUUAAGAAUUAAAUUUUAAAAAAAUAAUUUGAGAACCAAAACUUUAAAAUCUGAUAAAGGAAUAAAAAUUUAAUUAAUCCUUUAUUAAUUUAAUCUUCCUAGCUCUAUAAAACCAGAAGCGAUGGGAGUCUAUGACCAAAAUAAAUCUCUUGAAUUGAUUGUUUUAAGACUUUGGAAUUGAGGUGCUGCAAUGGCUUCAAGUCACGAAGAGGUUACCCUUUUGGGAGCAAUUGCAAGCGCAUUUGCUUGCAGGGUGAAGAUUGCCCUCAAGUUGAAGGGAGUUAAAUACAAAUAUGUGGAAGAAAAUUUGAGGAACAAGAGUGAACUGCUUCUCAAAUCCAACCCAGUUCACAAGAAGAUUCCAGUGUUUAUUCACAAUGAGAAGCCCAUAGCAGAAUCCCUUGUGAUUGUUGAGUACAUUGAUGAGACAUGGAAGAACAACCCCAUCUUGCCUUCUGAUCUUACCAAAGAGCCUUGGCUCGUUUCUGGUCCAAAUUCAUUGAUGACAAGGUAACUCUACUUUUCAAAAAUCUUCUUUUCUUGCUUUGUUGAUUUGUCCCCAAAACAUCACCUUUAAUGCCAUCUAGAAGUGAAAUCUUGGAAUAAGUUAGAGAACCAUGAAAAAAGUUGAAUAAAUUCCAUUCAUUAAUUGUAUUAACUUUGUCUAAAUUCAUACUACUGAUUGGUCAAGUUCAUUUAAGAACUACCUCCGAUUAUCAUGAUUUAUAAUCUUUAUGGACUCAGUAUUUUGGGGGAAAACAAUAAUUUUGGGGUGGGUUAGAACUUAGAAGGUAUUAUGUGCCAUAUUUGAUUAUAGCAAAAAUGAUACUAUGAUAGUAAUACACGGUUUAAUAUUGACUAAAAUUAAUUUAAAAUUACAAAUUUUGACAUAUCACACUUUUUACUUAAAGGUUUGUCACCUGAUUUUGUAAUAUUAGUAUAGUAUGUGUUAGAAAGAAUAUGUUAGAGAGUAUGUUGGUAACUCGAUUAUGAUUGUCCUUAUAACUUUAUAAAAAAAUCACUAAUAAAUAAUGUGAUUUGUGAAAUCAGAUUGUGGAUGUUGCACGGGAAUCUGUUUUCACGGUUGAUGAGAAAGAGCGUGAGAAGAAUGUUACAGAAACGUAUGAGGGUCUGCAGUUUCUUGAGAAUGAGCUAAAGGACAAGAAGUUCUUUGGAGGAGAAGAGGUUGGGUUGGUAGAUAUAGCUGGUGUCUACAUAGCAUUUUGGGUCCCUUUCAUUCAAGAAAUUGCAGGGUUGAAGUUAUUAACCAGUGAGAAAUUUCCUAAGCUCUACAAGUGGAGUCAAGAAUUUGUGAACCAUCCAGUUGUCAAAGAAAGCCUUCCCCCUAGAGACCCAUGAAAGAGAAAAACUAGAAAUUAUAGAAUGUAUUCAUUUUAUUUUCGUAUUGAAAAUGAGAAUCAAUAUCUAAGAAUACAGGGUGUAUAAUUAGAAGGACAGUGUGUAUAAUUAGAAGGAUUAAGUACAAUAGUCACCAAAGAAAAAGAAGAAGAAAGAAAGAUGUUUACACAUUACCACUCCCCUCACUACACAUUCUCUCUCCUCUAAAUACCACUAUUAGUUGGUUACAUAAUCCACCAAUUUAGAGUUGGGUUUUCUCUCUCACACACUCUUUCUAUUACCCAUAGUAGGUAUGUAAGAUUUGUCAAAUAUUCUCCUCAGCUGAGUUGUUUCAAUUGAGUCAUUUUUUCCUUCUAGAAGCUUUUCUUUAUAUGAGAUCAUUACAACCCAGUUUUUGCCUUUUUCAAAGAAGGCUAUGAGAGCCUUUCUGCUUCAAAAUAGAUUUGAUGAUAUAGUGUGAGACUCUCAGAAUUUCUAAGGGAAAUUAUGUGCACUAGAUGUUUGACAUUGAGUUGUUAAAAUUUCGUUUCAAAAUGGGUGCUUUUAAGUUGUAAUCUUGGAUUUUUCCAUGUCAAAGAAAUCCAAGGUUGUUCCUGACAUUUUUCUAUUUCAAUAAAUAAAUUAUGUAGCAUCUUUCUAUUACUCAAAGCUCUUACUCCUGAUUAUUUAGAAACUUGUAGCAAGCUGGUGUUUUGCAAAUUGCAAUGAAUGGCAUUUCUUUGCCAGAUUAUGAAGAAUAAUGUAGUAUGAAAUUGCAGCUGUAACUCUUGCCAUGAAAAUUUCUUUUCCUUAGGUCAAUAUUCACAUAUUGAAAUAGGACAGGGGUUAUACAUAAUGGCGUUAUUGUGAUUUUGAAGUAGUCAUUAUGAUUUUAACGAGCAUCUAAACAUCUUACAAGUAUUACAUUAUUUCAUAAGUUAUAAGGUUAAUUUGGUGAUUAAAAAAAAACUUAUGUAAUUUAGUUAAACCUCAUAAGAGACUUAUAUAAUUUACUCAUAUUAAAAAAAUAUAAUAAAAUGCAUGAAAAAAAUAUCUAAGUGAUAAAACUCACAAAAUAUUAAAUAGUUUUUCUUGAUUUGUCCCCAAAACAUCAUCUAUCAUGACAUCUAUAUGUGAAAUCUUGGAAUAAGUUAGAGAAACAUUAAAAAAAAUGAAUAAAUUCCAUUCAUUAACUGUAUCAACUUUGUCUAAAUUCAUAUUAUGUUUCAUAUUUAAUUCUACAAAAAUAUUAGCAACACGAUCUUUUUUUCAACCCAUUACGAAUUUUAGUGAAUCACACUUUUGAAUCUCUCUUAAUAGUUUCAAUAGUAUAGUCGUUAGCUUGUCGUUGUGUAGUUAGCUUGUGCAGAUUACACAACGUUAUUGUGCUGAUAAAAAAAUAUUGAUUUAUGCAGCACUUAAGUUGUGGUUGUUUUUUAAAUUGGCUCUAUGCGGAUAAAUCAACUACAUGGUGUCGUUGUUGUACUAGGGGUAUCAUAAAUUCAAGGACCCUAUUACAUGAACUAGAAUUAUUUUACUGUACAAUAAAAAAAAUUAGAGGAGCUAGUGUAGUACUACUCAAACACUUCGAUUUAGACUUAAUUAGAAUUUAAAACUAAUUAAAAUAAAAUAAAAUAAAAAACUAAUAGACCUUAUUCAAAUAAAUUGUUUUUUUUUAUACAUCAUUGGCAUGAAGAUUUUUUUUUACAGCAACCAGUGUAAAGAUUUUUAUGCACUCAAUUAACUAAAAAUGAUUUGAGAUAUAAGUUUUAAUAUUAGUUACUACAAAAUCAAACAAUUUUUUCAUACAUAACCCUUCUAUCUAACUAAACCUUUUUCAUUUGAAUACUCUCUUCUCGUGAAGUUGUGAACUAUGCUUUCCAAACAUGCAUCUGAAAUAUUCUUUUUCAUGCUUUUAAUAUCAACUUAAGUAAUAUCAACUUAAGUUGAGCCUGAAUGUGGAAAAACAUGGACCCCAAAAGUGUGUUUGGAUGCGCAUUUUGCAUGUCCCAAAUGCACAGAAUCCAAAAAGGAAAUUUGACAGCACUCUUAAAGCUUAUAUUUAUGGAUCUUCUUCUUACUUAUAUGGUACUCAAUUUUUUUACUUUUAUCCAAUGUGGAACUUAAUCUUACACUUGUACUACAAUAAUAUAGUCUAUAUUGCUGAUGCAAUUCCUUACAUCACUUCUAAGCCAUUGACCGAGCCAAGUUUUCUGUAAUAUUUCUUUUAUACAUACAAAAUUAUAUUCAAGAACUCAUAAAUUAAAUAUUAUAUUAAGUUCAUCUUAGCUCUAUAAAAGCCUGAUGCCUUGUGACUCUCGAUACCAAAAUAAGACUUUGGAAUUGAUUGUUCUUAGGAGUGGGUAAGCGGGUCGGCCCAGCCCGUCCCGCGUAAGGUCCACCCGCAUAAGUCCGCAUUGGCAGCAGAUCGGGUCAGUCCGUCCCGCUUCAUAUACGAACCAAAUAAAUUGUUUCGCCCCCGUCCCGCGAAUCUCGUGGGUCAAACGGGCCGGUCCGUGGGCCUAGUUUUAAAAGAAUUUCAAUUUUAAUAAAAAUAUAAUACAAUCAAAUUAAGUUCAAUACAGAUGUAAAUAAAAUCUCAAUAAUUAGUCAAUUGCAUCAAUAAAAUAAAUAAUGUCUUAACAAAAGAAAAUCCAAGCAAUAAAUCUAAAAUAUGAAAUUUAAAUAUCUCCUACAACAAAUGAUUCCAUAUUUGAAGUAGCUUGAGCCUUCUCCAUCCCCAUAUUUAAGAGUACAAUAACAAUGAAUCAACCCCAACAAAAAUAGGAUAAAAAUAAAUUCUAGAGAGAGAAGAGAUGUACUUUGCGUGGUGGCACGAUGGUGGGCCGAGGCUGUGCCGCUGUAGUGUGUCGCGUGACUGUGUGAGUGUGAGUCGCGUUUUGUUUUCCUUGUAAGGGAACGAGUCGUAUGACUUGCGCGCGUGCAUGACUGUGUGGUGGAGAAAAACCGUGAGGAGAAAAAGUGUUCUUAGCCUGCUACAAUGAUAACGGUUAUAUAUGAUGUGAGCUAUUUUUUAUAAUAAAAAUAUAUUGAAAUAUCGUUAAAAAUAUUUAUUUAACAAUUAUUUUUAGCUUAAAUGAUAAGAAUUGACAUUUUUAUUAUCUAUGACUUACAGAUAUGAAAAUGAUAGAUUAAAAAAAAGAUCGAGAAAAUAUCAAAAAGGAAGAUUUUUAGCAUGUUAUCUCUUAUGUUUUUUUAUCUUAAUCUUUUAUUUUUGUUAUCUUUUAUUUUUCUUAUCUUAUCCUUUUCUAUCUUAUCAUCUUUUAAUUUAAAUAUUUUAUUUUUAUCUUUAAAUCUUUAACUUAUCUAAUAUAUUUCUUUAUCUGUUAUUUUAAAAGAAAAGUUUAAAGUGAAAAAGAGAAAUCAAACCUAAUAUAAUUAGGUCAGGGUCACACAAAUCAAACCUAAUGCGGGCUGCGGGCAACCCAUGGAUCCCGCGGGCCAAACCUACAUAGUUCGCGGGUUAAGCGAGGUGGGCCCAAAAAUAUGACAUAACCAUGGACCGUUUAAAAAAAUUGGUUCGUAACCCACGUGGACGAUGGGCCCCGCAGGCCAGUCCAUGGACUUGGGCCCAUUUACCCACCCCUAAUUAUUCUAAGUCAUUGGAAUUGAAGUGCUACAAACAAUGGCAGCUAGUCACGAAGAGGUUACCCUUUUGGGAUUUAGGGGAAGUGCAUUCAUUAGUAGGGUUCAAAUUGCUAUCUAGUUGAAGGGAGUUGAAUACAACUACGUUGAAAAAACUUUGUUCAACAAGAGUGAUCUGCUUCUCAAGUAUAACCCAGUUCACAAGAAGGUUCUAGUGUUUGUUCACAAUUAGAAGCCCAUAGCAGAGUCCCUUGUGAUUGCUGAGUACAUCAAUGAGACAUGGAAGAACAAUCCCAUCUUGCCUUCUGAUCCAUACCAAAGAGCCUUGGCUCGUUUCUAGUCCAAGUUCAUAGAUGACAAGGUAUUCUAAUUUUUUUAUGUACUGUUUGUCCUCAAAACAUCACCUUUCAUGACAUCUAAAUGUGAAAUCUUGGAAAGUUGGAAUAUGUUAGAGAACUCAGUAGUUAAUUAACUCUCAAAACAAAAAAGAAUUUUGAAUAGUUUUCAUUCAUUAAUUGUAUCAACUUUGUGUAAAAUCAUACUUAUGAUUAACUUAUUAAGGGAGUUUAACUCAAUUAGUGAAGCAGGGGUGUGUAAGUUGUUAUAAAUCCUCUCUGAUAUAUGUCUUCUAUGAUACACUUAAGAACUACCUCAAGUUAUUAUGAUUUGAAGAAUUCUUGUACCAUAUUUGUUUCCACAUUACUCAAUCUAAAUUCUGAUAGUCCUAAUUAUUUUAUAAAAUAAUCACUAAUGAAUACUCUGAUUUAUGAAAUCAGGUUGUGUUUCCUGCAUGGAAUGUUGUUUUUAAGGUUGAUGAGAAAGAAUGUGAGAAAAAUGUUGAAGAAACAUUUGAGGCUCUACAGUUUCAUGAGAAUGAACUUAAGGACAAGAAGUUCUUUGGAGGAGAGGAGUUUGGGUUGGUAGAUAUUGUUGUUGUCUACAUAGCAUUUUGGGUCCCUAUAGUUAAGAAAUAGGGAGAUUGGAGUUAUUAAGCAGUGAGAAAUUUCCUCAGCUCUACAAGUGGAGCCAAGAAUUUGUGAAUCAUCCAAUUGUCAAAGAAAGUCUGCCCCCUAGAGAUCCUAUUUUUUCCUUUUUCAAGGGUCGCUAUGAAAUCCUUUUUACUUCAAAAUAGAUUUGAUGAUGUGGUGUGAGACGUAGAAUUUCUAAGAAUUAUGUGUUUGUCAUUAUCACAUAACUAAAUGCAUGUUGAAUCAUGUGCAAAACCAGGUUAGAAAUCGAAACUACUUUCAACCCCUACGAAGACACACAGGGGAUCUUUAUAUGUGUGUGUGUGUGUGUGUGUGUGUGUGUGUGUGUGUGUGAAUGAUGCAAUAUGUCAGCUGGAAAGUAGGAAUGGUGAAUGAUUCAAUAUUUUUAUGGAACCAUAUGAUAGCAAAGAUACUAGAGGAUGAAUUUACCUUGUCUUGCCUUUUACGUUCCUUUUCUCGCAUUUCAUUUAGAUCCAACUCGUCUCUAUCCUCUUCUUCAAUGAAUUCACUCAAAAAUAACAAUUUGCUCAAUGAGCAUGAAAACCAGACCCACGAGGUCGCCCCAAAACACAAUCUCUUCGAUAAGGAAGUUCGAUUCGAAGAUAUAAAUCAAAACCAUGGAUGACUGGAACAUUCUAGAAAUCCCUCAGGACACACUGUAUGUUCCUGAGACAAUUAAAGACAAACACAACUUUGAUUACAUAAUCAAAACUGUAGAAAAUAACAUUUCUCUAGGACAAGAUAUAGGGGAAGAAUUUCAAACUCAAUUUAUGAACAUAUCUGAAAAUAUAAAUAUUUACACAUCGGUUGUGUACAAGUAGCCAUCAAGCCCUUAAUUGAUAUGGGCAUAGAUGUAACAGUUUUAAUGUGCCUUAGAGACAUUAGGCAUAACAAAUUUGAAUAUUCCUUAAUAUGAACAGUAGAAACAAGCCUAGGACAAGGACCAGUAUACUUCAAUUGUUACCCAAACAAAACAGUGAGUCGGAUGGAUAGAAACAUUCUUAACUCUCUGUUCUUGAACAUCCACUUUCAUGGUCUCGACAUGAAAGAAAGAUUGAUCCCUGCAGCUCUAAUCUAUAGGAUCCAGUACAAGGUCAUGAACACUUGUGCAUCUAGAGUCCUAUUAAAACCUCAAAGAGGAGAAACAACUUUGUUUAUCACUGAUAUGACAAAGGUCAAUGUUUCUCUUCCGAGAACAAUAAAAUGGGAUGAGGUAACUCUUCCCAAAAAAUGGGUCAUGGAUAAGGCCACGCCCGUCUGUUCCCUGACCCGCUCUGACAAUUGAACAAAUCAAACAGGAUAACUCCAGUAAGGUAGAAAUAACCUUCAAUAGGAGAAAUUAUUUUUCAUCAAGAAUAGAAGCCUCUAGGUCUGAAUAUGAGUCAGCCAAAAGAUCUUUUUUAGUUAGAACUUGUACAAUCCCAGUAGGAUUAACCAGAUCUAAGUCCCACAACCAGUUUCCUACGGUAAAUCUCCAAGGAUUAGAUACCACAUCUAGUAUUCCUAGAACAACUUACAACCAAGAAUAGGAGGACGACCAAAAGUCGAUCCAUUCCCCAACUUAUUCUUCUAUGGAACCUUAUGAUAUUAUCUGACAACUUUAGCAUUGAUAAGGAAAUCCUUAGGAAAGACUUUUAUUCUCCGGAGAAUAAACCUCAAAGGAGAUGGUUUUUCCAACACUACAAGGGUACAAACAGAAAACAGAUAAAAGACAGGUUCUAUGAAUUUGUCGACAGAGUCAAAAUUAAUGUCCUUUUCUUUGAUUGGUUGCAUGCUUAUACCAUUAGAAAGGAUAUAGAUUACCCAUGGAAGCAAGACAUCAUAGGUGAUCCAAUGACAAAUGUUAUAACAAACUAGCAAAUGAAGGAUGGUGAGUUAAUCCAAUCGGAAUUACCUCCCACAACACAAUACCAACUACCAAAUGUCAAAGACAGUAAUAAUAAACUUGUCAUGGCCAUUCCGUUCAAAACAAAAGAUGUCAACGAGGAAGCAACCUCUAAAGACAUUAAAAGCCUAAUGGAACAGGCAAAUUAUACCAACAAAUAUUUACAAGUUUUUGGAGAGUCCAUCAAAACUAAGGUAAUUCCUAAACAUAAAACAAUUGAGGAAGCAUCAACAAGUAUUCCUAUUGAAAAACCACUAUUUAAACCUUUUAAAAUUAGUGAUAAAGCAAAACGAAAAAUUAGGGAACUUAGAAAAAAUAAGUCCUUAAUUGAAGGAGUAGGUGACAACAAUAGCGAAUUACUAAAUAAAAUUGAUAGUUUACUUAAAGUCAUCCCAGAAACUCCUCAAACCUUAGAAAAUACAUCAAAAAUGGUAACAAGGAGUACCUCCAAAUUAAUUAAUGUCAUUAAUGAAGAUAGUGACCAAAACUCAGAAAACACAACUAAGAUAGGUUCCGUAUCAGAAAAAGAUAUAAAUCCAAUUAAUUCUAAACAUUGGAAAACACCUUCUAAGUUAUAUUAUCAGCGUACAACUGCCCCUGACCUUCUAUUAGAAGAAAGAGGUGAAAAGAAUUUUAAGAGUUUUAGUGCAAACAACAUCUAUGAAUGGAACAUAGAUGCACAAACGGAGUAUAAUAUCAUGAAUACACUCCAACAUAUGACUAUGGUAGCCACAACCUACAAAACCUCCCAUGAGUGUUCGGAAGAAACAAUCAUAGAUAUUUUAGUGGCAGGAUUUUUCGAACAAUUGAAAGGAUGGUGAGAUAAUUAUCUCACAAAUGAAGAAAAAUAAAAAAUUUACAGCGUAGUAAAGACAAAUCUCAAUGGAAAAGUCAUUACUAAUGACGAUGAUAAAGAGAUUCAUGAUGCUAUUAAUACAUUAAUAUUUACAAUAGCCUAACAUUUUAUUGGAGACCCGUCUCUCUAGAAAGAUAGGUCUGCAAAAUUAUUAUAAAACCUUAAAUGUAGAACUUUAGCAGAUUUUAGGUGGUACAGAGAUACCUUCCUAACUAGAGUCUACACCAAAGAAGAUAGUCAACAACCUUUACCUUCCUAACUAGAGUCUACACCAGAGAAGAUAGUCAACAACCUUCCUGAAAAGAAAAAUUUCUAGCCGGUCUUCCAAGAUCAUUAGGAGAUAAGGUUAGAGAUAAAACCCGUAGCCAGUCUGCUAAUGGAGACAUUCCAUAUGAAAGCUUAAGAUACGGUCAAUUAAUUUCUUAUGUCCAAAAGGUAGCCUUGAAAAUUUGCCAAGUUGACAAAAUCCAAAGACAGUUAGCAAAAGAAAAGGCUCAAACAAAGAAGGAAUUAGGUUAUUUCUGCGAACAGUUUGGACUACCAGCUUGUCCAAAACAAAAGAAAAAACAAACCUCUAGGAAAGAAAUCCAUGAGAAUAAACCUGUCCACAAAAAGAGAUUUCCAAGAAGGAGAUACUCGCAUAAACCUUCAACCAGUAAGGAAAUAGAGAAUCCUAGACAAAAAUUAAAAUAAAAAAUAACAUGUUACAAUUGUGGAAAACAAGGUCACAUUAAUAAAUAUUGUAGGUUAAAAAAGAAAUUAAGAAAUCUUAAGCUAGAACCAGCUAUUGAAGACCAGAUAAAUAAUUUGCUCAUAGAAACUUCGGAGGAAGAAACAGAAACUUCAUCCUCUAUGCUCUCUGAUGAAAAUCUCAAUAUGGUCCAACAGGAUGACCAAUUAUCAUCAACUGAUGAUGAUGGACAAAUCAAUACUCUAAUAAGAGAACAAGAUCUUUUGUUUGAAAUAAUCAAUUCCAUACCUGGCCUCUAGGAAAAGAAGGUUUUCUGGAAAAACUAAAGAAAACGUUAGAGGUAAAACCUAGACAAAAGGAUUUUAUUACAAAUAAUAAAUUCGAUGUUAGUAACAUAUUCAAAUGAUUAGAAAAACACUUCUGUCAAACCAACAACAAUCUAGGAUCUCCAAACAGAGAUUAAUAAUUUAAAAAGAGAAGUUAGAGAACUUUGUCAACAAGAAGAAAUCCACCAAAUUAUCCUUUCUCAUCUCGAAGAAAGCAGUGAUUCUGAGAAUACUGAAACGGAUAACGAAAAUGAAAUCGAAAAUCUAGAAGAUGAAAUGUUUAUGGGAUUAAUCAACAAGAUUAAAAUCCAAAAAUUCUACAUAAACAUUAGAAUCAUAAUUAAUGAUUUUGUCUUAGAUACAAUGGCCCUAUUUGACAUAGGGACGAAUUCAAAAUGUAUUUUGGAAGGUCUAAUCCCAACAAAAUUCUUUGAAAAGACCUCAAACAAAUUAAGUACAGCAAAUGGUUCGAAAUUAAAAAUUAAUUUUAAACUAUCAAAUGCAAUCAUUGAAAAUCAAGGCCUUAGGAUUAACACAAACUUUCUUUUGGUAAAGAACCUUAAGACUAAGUAAUCCUAGGUACCCCCUUUAUUAGAGCAUUAUUUCCCCUUCAGAUAUCAAAAGAGGGAAUAACUACAAAUCAUUUGGGUAGGAAAAUUAUAUUCAAUUUUUCCACUAAACCAAUUUCCAAAAAUAUAAAUUUUAUAGAAAACAAGAUUAACCAAAUCAACUUCUUAAAAGAAGAAGUGUCCUUUAAUAAUAUUCAACUGUAACUAGAAAAACCUCAAAUAAAAGAAAAAAAUCUAAUCUUAAUUAAAGCAUAUUGAAUCCACAUUAUGUUCUGAUUUUCCACAUCCAUUUUGGGCUUUUGCUUUUUAUGUCAAUAAAUAGGCCAAACUUGAGCGAGGUACGCCUCGCCUAGUCAUAAAUUACAAACCUUUAAACCAAACAUUACAAUGGAUUAGGUAUCCUAUUCCAAACAAAAAAGAUCUACUCAACAGAUUGAAUUCGGAAAAGAUAUUUUCAAAAUUUGAUAUGAAAUCUGGAUUUUGGCAAAUCCAAAUCCAAGAAUCAGACAGGUACAAGACAACGUUCAUUGUACCUUUCGGGCAAUAUGAGUGGAACGUAAUGUUAUUCGAAAUAAAGAAUCUCCCUUCAUAAUUUCAAAAAAUUAUGAAUGAUAUCUUUAAUCCUUACUCAAAAUUUGUCAUUGUCUACAUAGAUGAUGUUUUAAUCUUCUCACAAAAUAUUGAUCAGCACUUCAAACAAAUUCAGAUUUUUAUCAAUAUUAUCAAACAGAAUGGAUUGGCAGUCUCCAAAUCAAAGAUCAAUCUGUUCCAAACUAAAAUUAGGUUCCUUGGUCAUAACAUAUAUCAAUGUAUGAUUAUUCCAAUAGAAAGGUCAAUAGAGUUUGCCAACAAAUUCCCAAACCAAAUAACAGACAAAACCCAGUUACAAAGAUUUCUAAGUUGUAUGAAUUAUGUAGGAGAAUUUGUUCCCUACUUAAAUAACAUUGUCAAACCAUUACAUGAUAAGUUGAAGAAAAAUCUACCUCCUUGGUCUGACAUCUAUACCCAAACAGUAAAAGAAAUCAAAUUCAAAGUCCAUUCUCUAAAAUAUUUGUAUCUUCCCAUUCCACAGGCAUUUAAAAUUGUCGAAACAGAUGCAUCAAACAUAGGCUAUGGUGGUAUCCUCAAACAAAGAGUCCAUACCCAAGAACAUGUCAUUGCAUACACAUUAAAGCAUUGGAAUUCUGCACAAGAAAAAUAUUCAACUGUUAAAAAAGAAGUUUUAGCAAUUGUUUUGUGCAUUUCCAAACUCCAAUCUGAUUUAUUAAAUCAAAAAUUUUUAAUCAGGGUUGAUUGCAAAUCAGCCAAAGACAUUCUUCAAAAGGAUGUUAAAAACCUUGCCUCAAAACAAAUUUUUGCAAGAUGUCAAGCAAUUUUAAGUGUCUUUGAUUUUGAAAUAGAAUAUAUUAAGAGUACCUCAAACUCUCUGCCUGACUACCUCGCACAUGAAUUCUUACAGAGAAACACUAAUGCCACCUAAGGCGAAGAAUUCCUCUGGUGGAGGAGGAAGGUCUAGCAAAGGAACAAUACUGGCUCUACCAGAGCCAAACACCAAAAAGGCAUCCUCAACAUUUUCUGGGUCAUCUACCCAGAAAUCAAAGCUUGAAGAGUCAUCAACUCAGGACUCCCCAAAACCAAUCACCACCAAACAGAUUGUGGCAAACUAUGUCUGGUCAAUCCAAACCCUCCAAGCUCUUAAAGAAAUGGGCCUCACCAAAGUUCUAAGGUUAGCCAAAAAGACCUGGGCAGAAAUGGCUUCAAAAUCAGAUGAUGAUUCUGAAAUAGAACUCCAAAAACAAAUCCAAAUUGCCAAGAAAACCAAGACGGUUAACAACCCCGAAGGCAAACAAACAAUGGUUCAACAAGACCCAACACCAAAACCAGCUAACAGCUAUGUUUCAAAGAAUAUUUUUUUUUUUGUUUUGCAGAUGGAGUCAGAGUAUUGGGACAAGAAUCCCUUUAAGGCAACUGCAAAAGCUUUCCUGCAGGGAUUCCAUUACAAGCCGACGAGCCUCAACAAAACCAGAAAAUUCUAUGAGUUCAUCUUAGUGGAUACAAAUUCAGUAUCCAUUAAACACUUCAAAGACUCCAAAGAUCCAAACCCGAAUACCCAUUCAACCAUUCAAAUCCUAAAAGUAAUGCAACCAUGACAUUAUGGAUCAAACCUAAACCAACCCAAGAAAUUCUCUGCUCCAUUUGACCAAAUAGGAUAUACGUAUUGGGAUUACAUUGAUGCCUAGACCAAUGUAUUUUGGCAUCAAAAUAAUAAAUUUAAACACUCAUGUUUGAUUUACUUUAAAAACAACACAGUGUAUAAUUUCCCAAAUUGGUUCCUCCAAUGGAGGAAUUAUUUCGGACCAAUUUCACAAAUUUAUCCAGAAGAAGUCCAACAAGGAUUUAACCAAUUCAACAAAAUGUUUAACCAGGAAUUAAGAAUUCCAGCUGAUUUAAUGUAUUUCUCCAACUUUGCUUUGUCAUGGAUUUUCUUAUGGCAAUAUAGAUAUGGGAAGACAGAAAACAUCAAGCAAUUUUCACCCCUGUAAAGACACGCUUUUGUCAAAUGAUGGACUCAAUUCGACACAUCAAAAGCAACUCCAGACCAAGUCAAAACUUGGUUUCAGGCCAACCCAAAAUUUUUAAAACCUGCUGAUCCGAAAACAUUAUUGUUUCUAAAUCAAAAGUCUCAGCUAGUAGCAUUCUUGGCUAGCUCCAAAUCCAAAGAAAGUCUGGCAAAGAAUCUAAAAGAGGUUCUCCAUCUACUUCAACAAGAAGAAGAAAGUAUCACAAAGAAGGAAGUUGAAUCCCCAGAAGAAAAUGAUGAUCAAGAUGACAAUCCCUUCUAUCAGAAUGAGGAUUAUUGUUUUGGCAUCUCUUUAGAAGAUGAUUAAUUAAUUAAGAUCACUCAACUGCUUAAUCAAUGUAAUUUAGUUUUUCGGUCAAGUUACCGGUAUUUUGCACCAAUCAUUGUAGUAGUUCCGGUCAAGUUACCGGUACUGUAGCAAACAGUAAAUCCUAUGGCUAUAAAAGGAGUCCUCGUCCAUAAUGUGAGGCACCCUUUUCAUUUUAGUCAUUUUUCAAGUUUCUGAGGCUAGAGGUGCUCUGCUUAAGAACAACUUUUGUAAGCACUUCUUCCAAAGUUUAAUAAAUUUCAAGUUUCAAUUCAUCUCCCUUCUCCCUCUUUGUCGAUCCUGUGCGGCUCUGCCGCCGUUUCGGUUGCUUCUUUUGUGAAAGCCUGGGAUUUGUAAAUCGUUUAACGGUGUGUCCUUGAUGAUUGUUUUAAUAUUUUGAUCUGUACUUGUCAUAUUGCAUCAUUCACCAUUCCUACUUUUUAUCUGUCUGUUUGAUCUCUUUUCGCUGAACUCUGGUAUCAUAUAUAUAUCAUGAGAGAUGUACUGAAAGAACACUAAGACACGAGAAACUAUAGGUUCAAAGACAAGUUGUCUUCAACGAUAGAUUAUUCAAAAAUUAUCUUUAUUAUCAUUUCCUAUAAUUAUAAAACUAGAUACAUAGUCGCAUGUUGCGCGGGUUUGUAAAUAAUUAAAGAAAUAUUUAAAUAAUUUUUUUGUUUAAUAAAUUAAAUUUUAAAAUAUAAUUAUCAAUGAUAUUUUAUAUCAUUUAAUGUUAAAUGAGAUAAAAUAAUUAUGUAUAAAUUAAAAUAUUUUUUAUUUAUCAAUAUAUUUAUAAGGAAUAUUCCAAAAUUAGAGGUUGACCACUCAAUUAAAGUUUAUUAACGUGAAGAUAAAAACAAGCAUUGAGAAUAAAUUUUAUGAGAGAAACAUAAGAAUAAAGUGAAACUGACAUAAUAAAGCAGCCAAAGAAAUAUAUUUAAUGAAAGAAAAAUAAUCAACCAUAAUGGUAAAAAACAUAAAAAUGAUACGAAUAAAAUACCAAAAAUUGUUCAUUUAAAUAGACUUUUUGUAUCUUUUGAUGAUGAAGAUAUAUCUUUUGACUUCUUGGAUGAUUGUAGCUUUGAACUUUGACUUAUGACGGUUUUAUUCGCCUUUUUUCUUAAUGGACUUUGUGAAAUUUGAUAGACUUCUUCAUUAGAUGAUGAAGAUACACUUUUUGACUUAUUAGAUGCUUGUAACUUUGGCCUUUAACUUAUAAUUAGUUUUUCACCUGACUCAUCUGAUGAUAUUUAUUGUGAUGAAGUGGGCUUCUUUUUUUAAUAAAAAUAUUAAUCAGUGGAUAAAACUAUUAAUAUUUUGUACAAGAAGUAAAAAUGAAAAUAAAUUAUAAAUAUGGUUACGUGUUCUAUGAGGAGAGAAUCAUGCUGAAUGAUAUUUUUUUAGAUAAAAGUCCUUGUGACAGUUUCAAAUCCUUCCUUCAAGUUGUGAGUUGUGAGCUGUGAGCAUGAUUUCAAAAAUAGAAGUGUAUUUGCAAAGGAUAUACAAUAUUGGGGUAUGUCAAUCUUAUUUGUACUUUGGAUGUGAAGGAAUUCAAAUGUUGUUAUGUUUAGAAUUUGUUGUGCAUCUCGAUCAAACAUUCUGAAUGUUGCUACAGCAAUGUCAUCAGAGACUUUCAAUUGUAUCCUCAACCUAAAAGAUAUUUUUAAAAUUUUAAUAUUUAUUUAAUUAUGUUAUAAAAAAUAAUUCAUUAUAUACAAAUAUUAAAUCUUUUUGUUGGGUACUUGGAUGGUUGUUUGCAUUCUUUGCAAGUGUAUUUAUUUUCCUCUUUUGUUACUUUCUUUUGGCAUCUCUUAUGAACACAUUAUCCUGUUAUUAUAUAUAUGUUAAUACUAAGGAAAAAAAUAAAGUAUUAUUAAAUAUUAUGAAUAUGAAGGUCAUGGAAGGUUAGCAUACUUGUGAUUCUUAUAUCCAUUCUUAUAUCUUGCAAAUAUCUUCUAUUUCUUUACAUUCUCUUAUCAAGAUCAAUCUUGGCAGAACUUGAAGAAUUAUAUACAUAAAGAAAAGAAAAGAGAUAGAGUAGUAAGAUAUAUAAAGUGUAGAAUAUAAAUUUUGUUAAGGAUUUUAAAUGUGUGAAAGUAAUCAAACCUCUGAAUUUCUUAACCAUAAUAGAAGUGACUAUAAUUCUUUUUGAGUCUUCUUCUUGGAUGUUGAUUGUUUUUUCAAAUUCUAAGACUAUGUUUGCCACAAGUAACUUUAACAACUUCAUUCUUGAAAAUAACCGAUAAAAAAAGGGAGAUGUGAAAAUAUAAUGUUCUAUAUUACAUUCUUCAUUUCCAUGUGAAAAUAUAAAGAAAUAUAUAAUGAAUUCUACAAAAUUAUUACUUAAACAAAAUUUAUAAUUAAUGAUAAAGAAAGGGUAAUUUAUUUACUCCUUUGGUAGCAAUUUCAAUCUCCUUAUUUUUGUUGGUUUGUCAGUGACAAGUACAUCUUCUUCAUUUCCAAGUGCAUGAAGUGUACUAAUAAUAUCUAUGAUAAAAUAUGAGAUAUGUUAGAGUGAAAUAAAUUAGUAAUGAAUGUGCAAAAUGUUAAUGUUGUACCUGUUAAGACAACUCUAUCAUCUACCCUUUGAUCUAGAGUUUUCAUUGAACCAAACUAUACAUAGUGUACAGGAUGCUAAUGGAUAUGUUAUUGAUUUUCUUGAUAAUAGUAGUAGGUAAAAAUAAUCUUUUGAAUGUUCCUUUGAUAGGUUUGUAUGUAUCAUUUCUUGAGACAAUCCUUAAAUUAUGUAUGGUGCAUAAGUUUUCAUCUUGUAAAAUAUCAUUGAAUUUUGAAAUCAUAUUCUCCCUUAUCACUACAUUUUGUGGAGUUGAAGUUUCCUAUGCAAUAUAUUUAAAAGUGAAAAUCGGAUUAAAAUUAAAAAUAUUAAAUAAAUUUAAUCAAUAUAAAAUGUGUUUAAAGUAAUUUAAUACAAUUUUUUUUUUGCAUUUUGUAAUAUGUAAUAUUGGAGAUAGUAAAUAAAAUUAUAUUUGUAAUACUUAAAGUUGAUGUGAAAUAUAUUUCUUUAAAGACUAAUGUGAAAAAUAAAUAAAUUUCAACUUUGUUUAACCAACAUAUUUUUUUAUAGAUUAGUUUGAAAAAUAAUUUUAGAUCAUGAACUUUGUUGAUGUGAAAUAUUUAUUUUUUAUAUAUCUUUAUAGAGUAGAAAAUAUAUUAGAAUUUAGAAAUUACUAAUAUGAAAAAAUUGAAUGAUAUGUAAAAUGUAAAAGAAAGUGAUUAUAAAAUGCAAUAUAGAACAUUGAAGAAUUUGGGUCUUGAACAUGAGAAACAUUUGGAGGUCAAUAAGAUUGAAUUGAAAUGAUUUGAUAUAGAUUUUGCUAUGUUGUGAAUAACAUUAAAAAAGAAAAAAAAGGAAAAGAGACGUGAUAAGUACAAAAUGAUAAUGUUCUCCUUCCUCCAUCAUCAAUUUUGUGGACGUGACAAUGUGAUAGUGAGGAGCACAACUUUUAUAUAAAUUAAUUUUAGAUUAUGAACUUUUUUUAUGAGAAAUAUUUAUUUAUAUUUAUAUUUAUAGAGCAUAAAUAUUAAAAUUAGAAAUUAUUAAUAUGUAAAAAUUGAAUGAUAUGUAAAAUGUAAAAUAAAAUAAUUAUAAAAUGUAAUAUAGAACAAAGAAUGAGAGUCAUGAACAUCAGAGAAAUUCGGAGGUCACUAAUAUUGAAUUAAAAUGUUUUGGUAUAAGAUUUUAUUAUGUUGUGAAUAACAUUGAAAAAGAAAAUUAAUAUGCACAAAAGAAGAAUAUUCUCGUUCCUCCACGUCAUCAAAUUUACUUAUUUAAAAUGAGGAGUUUAACUUUUAUAUAUUAUAAAUAGAUUGUCACUGUGUUAUUUUUAAGAGAUUUAUCACAAUCAUCGUUGAUACUUCCUAAAUAAUAUUUUUUAUAGUAGUAUAUUUUUAGUUAUUUAGAUGGCGUUACUAGGGAAUAUUUUGGUUAAAUGAAAUAGAAUAAAAUAAAUUUUAAAAAAAUAUUUAAAUUAAAAUAACAUGAUUAAAGUGUGAGACUCAUUGGAAUUUCUGAAAAUUUUCUUUUUUUUCUUUGUAGAGAAAGUACAAAAAAAAAAAACAAAUUGACUUCUAAAAUUUUUUAUAAUUUCUUUGACUUUCUUUCCCAUUAAAAUUUGAAACUUUUUUUCUCUCUUGUUUUCCUUUCUUCAAAUCAAAAGGAUCUUAAGGUCUAAUAGCUUGAAUAUUUCAUCACAAUACCCGUGAAAACGAGAGAUGGAGAAAAAUUGUAAGAUGUAAUAACGUUCCCAUGUACGGGGACCAGUGUUAUUGUAUACUAUUUCCAUGUUGUACAGUUCAAUUCUGUUAUUACGAUUUGUGAUGUAACCCCUUACAUCACUUCUAACUACUAAACUCUAAGCAAUUAAUUAACGAUGGAAGUCUUCUCGACAGCGAAGGUAUUUUUUUUUUCUAUUUGUUUCUGGAUUGUUCUCAUGAUUUUAGUGCAAAAAAAAAAAAAACGAACACAAAAUAAUUCGUAGUCAACAUCGCGUAUGCUGAAUAUUAUAUUAUACUAAAAUAUUGUACUAAAAUCAUCUUUCUAGCUCUAUAUAUAGCCCACCAAGCCUUAGUAAUUUGAGAACAAAACAAGUGUUUCGAAUAGAUUAUCCUAAGUCUUUGGGAAUAGUGCUGCAAUGGCUUCAAGUCAGGAGGAGGUGACCCUUUUGGGAGCUACUGGAAGCCCAUUUGUGUGCAGGGUUCAUAUUGCCCUCAAGUUGAAGGGAGUUGAAUACAAAUAUGUCGAAGAAAAUUUGAGGAACAAGAGUGAACUGCUUCUCAAAUCCAACCCAGUUCACAAGAAGAUUCCAGUGUUUAUUCACAAUGGGAAGUCCAUAGCAGAGUCUCUUGUGAUUGUUGAAUACAUUGAUGAGACAUGGAAGAACAAUCCCAUCUUGCCUUCUGAUCCUUACCAAAGAGCCUUGGCUCGUUUCUGGUCCAAAUUCAUUGAUGACAAGGUAAUUCAAUUUUUCUUCUUUCCUUGUUUUGUUCUUAUUUGUCCCCAAAACAUCACCUUUCAUGACAUCUAUAUGUAUGUUGGAAUAAGUUAGAGAAAUAUUAAAAAAAAUUGAAUAAAUUCUAUUCAUUAAUUGUAACAACUUUGUCUAAAAUCGUAUUAAUUGGGGUGGGGUAUUAUAUAUGUUUCAUGGUUGUGCAGAAAUAUCAGCAACACAAUUUUUAACAUGCCUUUUUUUUCAAUCAUUUUUUAUUAUUAAUUAAAAUUUAUUAAAAAUAACGAGUUUAAGAGAAUCACAAUUUUAAAUCUUUCCUAAUCUUGUAAUUUUUAAUCAACUUUAUUCAAUAGUAUAGUUGUUAGAAAGAGUGUAGAGAUUGUUUUGCUAGCAGUUAGCACUACUUUUUAUGCUAUAUAUAUAACCCAGUUAAGUUUGUCCUAAUUAUAAUAUAAAUUAAGCACUAAUAAAUACUGUGAUUUAUGAAAUAGGUUUUUGGUGCUUCAUGGAAAGCUGUUUUCACAGCUGAUGAGAAAGAGCGUGAGAAGAAUGUUGAGGAAGCAAUUGAUGCUCUGCAGUUUCUUGAGAAUGAGAUAAAGGACAAGAAGUUCUUUGGAGGUGAGGAGAUUGGGUUGGUAGAUAUUGCUGCUGUCUACAUAGCAUUUUGGGUCCCUAUGGUUCAAGAAAUUGCAGGGUUGGAGUUAUUCAC
rnacentral:lncRNA from 1 species